AUAAUAUGUAAAAGAAAAAUAUUUUAUUUUUUUACUGUUUUUAUCGCCUUUUAAAAAACUACUUAUUUUAAUUCUUAAUUAAAAAAAAUUAUACUAAUCAGAAAAAGAAAUUUUCAUUUUUUGAUCAAAGAAAAAAAAAAUUUAUUUUUUAAAAUCAAACUGAGAAAUUAUUUUAAAGCAUAAUUAAAAACUUCUCGUCCUCCUCCUCCGGCCCCAUCUCUACCGCCACUGCCGCUGGCAUCCCUCUCCUACUAUUCUUCUUGCCACCAUGGCCGUUAGUUAGAGUGGUUGUUGUCAUCAUCGUCGGUAGUAGCAGCAUCGGUUGGGUCUCGUUGUACGCUCUAGUCAUCCUUCUCCGAAAGCUUCUUUUGAUUAUUGAUUAUUAAUAUGUAUUGACUUGUCAUCAUCGGUAGCAUCAACGCGUUGGCAUCAUUGUUAUCAUCGUCAUCAGAGCGAGAGGGAGAGGGAAGGGAGGAGGGAAGGGGAUGGAAAGGGAGGAAGAGGAGAGGGUGGAAAGGGAGUACGGAUUAGAAGGAGAGGGAGUAGGGAAGGAGGAGAAAGGAAAGGGAGGACGGAGUACAAGGAGAGGGAGUAGGGAAGAGGAUAGGGAACGAGGAAAAAAAAAAACACGGAAGAGCGAGGGGCGGGAAAGCAAAGCGACCAAUAAUAUAUUUUCUAAAGUUUUUUUUUAAUCGUAAAAUUACUCUAAAAAAUCUAUAUUAUAGAGUAAUUUUUUUAUUUUAUUAAACUAAAAAACAAAAUUUUUUAGAAAACAGGAUAAUUUGGUAUGCUUUCCAAAGAGACCCUUAAGUAGGUGAUAUUACCGAAGGCAUGCACUAGUAGAGACCUCUUCGCUGGAAGCACCAGGUGAUUUUGAGCCAGAACAAAAAGACAGAUGAAACAUUCGACUGUUGACUCAAAGUUGAAGAAGCAUACAAGGGAACACGCCUUAAGUAGUUAGUUAUAUAUUCAUUUACAACCAUUUUCGUACCCAAAAGCUAUGCAUAAGCACAAAUUAUCAAGUCCUUAUAAUUAAAGAACACUUCAAUUCAACUACCUAUGGUUUAGCGCAUUUUCAAUUUGGUACUUUAUAAUUGAAAUAUUUUACUUUACUACCAUGUGAUUUUACUUUUAUCUCGAUGUUAAACCUACCGUUAAAUUUAUAAACCUCAAGACAAUAAAAUAAUAUAUUUUACAAAUCUUAGAGUGGCAAAUUAUAGUAUUUUACUACGCUAUAUUUUCUUUUAUAUAGCCGCCUUAUAAUUUGUAAAAUAUAUCAAUUUUAUAACCUACUUAACGACAGGUAUUAACGGCAAGGUAAAAAUAAGAGGGGUACUAAUAUACCCUUAAAGAAUUUUGGACUUUCUUAUUUAUCCCUCUAAAAAAGCUAAUAUUAAAAAUAAAAGAUUCCAAAAUCUUUCAAAUAUACUUUUAGAAUUAAAUUCUACUAGAAAUAGCCGUUAUCCACUUAUCCCUAUAAAAUUAUUAUUUUGUCCUUUUAAAUAUAUUCUUCUACCGUUACCAACUUUUCUUAUUUAUCUUUAAGUUAGGGACAAAAGAAGUAUUUCAACUUUUUACCUUUUCAAAAAUAUCCUUCUGCCGCUACCGACUUUUCUUAUUUGCCCUAAGUUAGUAGCCAAAUAGAUUUUUUCAUUAUGUUUAACUAUGAUAGAAAUUUAAUUCAAAUUUAACACGAACUAAUUUAACGGGCACUAACAGCAUAGGUAUUUUUGAAUAAUGGAAAAAAUAUAUGGAGGAUAUAUUUGAACUAAAAAAAAAAAAGCAAGAAUAAAUGAGAUAUUUAAAAAAUUUUGAAGGGUAUAUAUAGGCAAUUAUCUCAAAAUAAAACCACAAGAUAGUGACGUAAAAUACUUCAAACAACAGGAUACCAAACUAAAAAAGUGCUAAAUCACAUGGGACAUUUGAAGUUUAAGUAUUACACAAAUAUAAACUACGAAGAAUCUAUUGCACCGUUUCGCAAAUUGAUUUAAUACGAACAAAGCAUCUAAGCCGCCCGAGGAAUGUAGGGUUAAUUGCAUAUAGGUCCCCGCAAACAUAAUGAAUUGCAAAUAUAUCCCUAUAAAAUUCAACUUUUAUAAGUUAUCCUGCAAAAGCCCUAAUAUUUUCAGAUAUAUCCCUCUGGUUUGUUACCGUUAGAAAACCGUAGAAACUAUUUAUAUUUCCAAUUUUGCAUCACAAAUGUCCUUCAGAAGUUAUAACAGUAUAAUAAUAGAGUAAAAAUGUCAAAACUUAACCAGGACAAAGUAUUUAAUCUAUGGUUACAACUAAACUUUUCUAAUGGAUUCUAACGAUAGGAACAUUCUGAAAACAUUAGAACUUUUGUAGGAAUAACUUGAUGAAAAUUGAACUUACAGAGUAUAUUUACAAUUCACUAUAGUUGCAGGAACCUGUAUGCAAUUAACCCAGGAAUGUAUUUACCGAGAUACAUAGACAAGAUGCACCUACAUCUUUUUAUAAAUAUAUCAUAGAAUAAUCAGUUGUUACCUUCUGAUCUUCUUCUCUGAAGCAAUAGCUACUUGGCCCCACAUGCACAGACAUGCGUUUUGUCCUGUAAAUUUGAAAGGGAAAGAAGAAGAAAUAAAAAUAUAAAAAAAAGAGCAAAGGUUACUAGAGGGAUGCAAUACCUAAACCAUGCGAGAUACAAGAAAAGAGGCAAAAAGAUUGACGCAUGGUGAGAACUGUGUAUCAGAAUAUCAUUUUGUAGCCCAUUAUCUGAGAGAAAAACACACUAAUUUCAAUAUCAUUUAUCAUGACAUGAGAUUACAAUCAACUCAUAUCAGAAAGCCCAAAAACAACCAACAUAUCAACUUCGGAGGUACCUCCCAGGGCAACAAUUCGUUUAUGGGGCAAUUUAAUCUAUUCGUAAUUCAAAGUAGGAGAAGCACGUGGAAUCACGAACAUAUUAUAAAAGAAAAAAAUGCGAUAAUCUUAACUAGGACCUCAUUGGCUACUGAUACCUCAAUUCCUCAACUGACCUCUAUGCUACUUGGUGCAAAUUUCUAGGAUUUCAUCACGACAAAGGUUUUAAAUCCUACAGCUGGAACCAAACAGAAAUCGCAAGAAUCAUCCUUUAAAGCAAAUAAAAUAGAAUGCUCAAACGAUCAGCUAACCAUAGGAAUGUGUGUUUACAGAUGAAAUUCAAACUCCUACCUGAACUACAGUUAAAGGACAUUUAAGGCUCAAAAUAGAUAUUAAAUGUUAUGAACAAGCAACGCUCAUUAUAUAUAUAUUAUAGUAUUAUACUAUAUAUAUGAGAGUGAGCCUAUAUCUAUCGGAAGCACGGAGCCUUCCGUGCUUCCAGCUGUUUUCCAAAUAUUGGACUUUCGAAUCGUCGAUCGUCCGUUAAACUUGAAUCUAGAGUAUUGAAGUAUCCUUAAAAAAAUAAAUUUAUUAUUUUACGAUAAUCAUUGCCUAACUGAAACGAAGGGUUCAAAAUCAACGGCUGAAAAUAAAAAUCUUACAAAAUGUAAUAAUAUGACAUUAAAAUUUUAAAUCAAAGAUAUUAAUCUUGUUUUAUAUAGUAUAAAAAAUUUCUAUCAAAAUUUCACGUGAUUUGGAUAUUUCUACACCGUUAAACUUGUAAACGGCUCACUACGGCCAUUGAAAUUUGUUGAUUUUGAGCCCAUUCGAUCACUAGGCAAAUGAUAUCGAAAAAUAAUAAAAUUUAUUUUCUAGGUACUCCAAAUACUCUAGAUCAAGUUUAACGGAGCCGAUCGACGAUUCGAAAGUCGCAACGUCGAAAAUGAGCUGGAAGCACGGAAGGCUCCGUGCUUUCGAUAGCAUAGUAGCCUCACUCUAUAUAUAAAUAUAUAUAUAUACAUGUAUAUAUAUGUAUAUAUGUAUAUACAUAUAUAUACAUGUAUAUAUAUGUAUAUAUGUAUAUAUAUAUAUAGUAGGGCUAUUAUGAGUACGGCUAGAAUACUUGUAAAAGUAUCAUGGGGGUGAUACUUGUGUGUUUUUAGCCCUUGGAUGGAGAGAUGUAAGGUUGAGAUGAUGGUGGUAGAUUAUAUAUGUAUAUGUAUAUGUAUAUGUAUACAUAUACAUAUGUAUAUGUAUAUGUAUACAUAUACAUAUGUAUAUGUAUAUGUAUAUGUAUGUAUAUGUAUACAUAUAUGUAUAUGUAUAUGUAUACAUAUAUACAUAUACAUAUACAUAUACAUAUACAUACAUAUACAUAUACAUAUACAUAUGUGUAUGUAUACAUAUACAUAUAUAUAUGUAUAUAUGUAUAUAUAUAUAUAGUAGGGCUAUUAUGAGUACGGCUAGAAUACUUGUAAAAGUAUCAUGGGGGUGAUACUUGUGUGUUUUUAGCCCUUGGAUGGAGAGAUGUAAGGUUGAGAUGAUGGUGGUAGAUUAUAUAUGUAUAUGUAUAUGUAUAUGUAUACAUAUACAUAUGUAUAUGUAUAUGUAUACAUAUACAUAUGUAUAUGUAUAUGUAUAUGUAUGUAUAUGUAUACAUAUAUGUAUAUGUAUAUGUAUACAUAUAUACAUAUACAUAUACAUAUACAUAUACAUACAUAUACAUAUACAUAUACAUAUGUGUAUGUAUACAUAUACAUAUAUAUAUGUAUAUAUGUAUAUAUAUAUAUAGUAGGGCUAUUAUGAGUACGGCUAGAAUACUUGUAAAAGUAUCAUGGGGGUGAUACUUGUGUGUUUUUAGCCCUUGGAUGGAGAGAUGUAAGGUUGAGAUGAUGGUGGUAGGUGGUGGUAGGUGGAAUAGUGUUUAAUCCAAGGGCUAUUAAUAAUCAAAAAGUAGAUCCAAUGGCUUAAAACCUAAUAGCACCAUGAUGGUGAUACUUGUAAAAGUAUCAUAGCUCAACUCGGGCUAUUAUACUAUUAUGAGUAUAGAGCCCUUUCGUACUCGUAAAUUGUUUUCAAUGUUAGGGUUUUCGAAUCGACGAUCCACACCGUUAAACAUGAUCUAGAGUAUUUGAAACUUCUAGAAAAUAAAUUUCGUAAUUUUUCAAAAUCAUUAUAAAGUCCAUCAAGCGGGUAUAAAAUGAACGGUCAAAAUCAAACAAAAUCCUAAAAAUGGAUGAUCGGAUCCUUCAAUUUAAUAUUGGAGUUAUUGAUCUUUAUUUAGGUAGUGAAUAGAAUUUUUUAUCAAAAAUUUAAUCUAUUCCGAUUCUUUUACACCGUUAACUAGCAAAUAUUCCAUACCGACCGUUAAAAAUUGUCAAUUUUGUGAGCUUUUGAUCGUAGGGUGAAUGAUAUCGAAAAUUAUAAAAUUUAAUUUCUAAAAGUUUUAAAUGCUCUAGAUAAUGUUUAACGAUAUGGAUCGUCGAUUCCACAACUCUAUCAUCGAAAACAACUUAUAAGUACGAAGUCGAUCAUACUCAUAAGAGUAUAGUAUAUAUAUAUCACUCUACAUGAGUGAGGCUAGUAUGCUUCUUGGAGCACGGAGCCCUCCGUGCUUCCAAGUCGUUUCCGAUGUUGAAACUUUCAAAUUGACGAUCGGCUCCGUUAGAUUUAAUCUAGAGUAUUUGAAGUACCUAGAAAUAAUUUUUGUGAUUUUUCGAUAUCAUUUGCCUAGUGAUCAAAGGGGCUCAAAAUCAAUAAUUUUAAUGGUCGUGGUGAGCCGUUUGCAAGUUUAACGGUAUAGAAAUAUUCAAAUCACGUGAAAUUUUGAUAGAAAAUAUUUUUUUACUAUAUAAAACAAGAUCAAUAUCUUUAAUCUAAAAUUUUAAUAUCAUAUCAUCACAUUUUGCAAAAUUUUUAAUUUCAGCCGUUGAUUUUGAGUUCCUUCGAUCACUAGGUAAAUGAUAUCGAAAAAUCGCAAAAUUUAUUUUCUAGAUACUUUAAAUACUCUAGAUCAAGUCUAACGGAGCCGAUCGUCGAUUCAAAAGUCUCAACAUCGAAAACGACUUAGAAGCACGGAGUCCGUGAUUCCAGAAGCAUACCAGCCUCACUCUACAUAUAUAUAUAUAUAUAUAUAUAUACAUAUAUGUAUAUAUACAUAUAUAUAGAGUUGAGCUGGAAUGUUAUCGGUAGCAAACGAGCCCCAUUGCCACCCAUUUGUUCUCAAUGAUGGAACCUUCAAAUCAAUGAUCGGCACCGUUGAACAUAAUCUAUACUACUUGAUAUAUAUAUAUAUAUAUAUAUAUCAAGUAGUAUAGAUUAUGUUCAACGGUGCCGAUCAUUGAUUUGAAGGUUCCAUCAUUGAGAACAAAUGGGUGGCAAUGGGGCUCGUUUGCUACCGAUAACAUUCCAGCUCAACUCUAUAUAUAUAUAUAUAUAUCAAGUAGUAUAGAUUAUGUUCAACGGUGCCGAUCAUUGAUUUGAAGGUUCCAUCAUUGAGAACAAAUGGGUGGCAAUGGGGCUCGUUUGCUACCGAUAACAUUCCAGCUCAACUCUAUAUAUAUAUAUAUAUAUCAAGUAGUAUAGAUUAUGUUCAACGGUGCCGAUCAUUGAUUUGAAGGUUCCAUCAUUGAGAACAAAUGGGUGGCAAUGGGGCUCGUUUGCUACCGAUAACAUUCCAGCUCAACUCUAUAUAUAUAUAUAUAUAGAGUUGAGCUGGAAUGUUAUCGGUAGCAAAUGAGCUCCGUUGCCACCCAUUUGUUUUCGAUGAUGGAGCCUCUAAAUUGACGAUCGGCAUCGUUGAAUAUGAUCUAUACCACUUGAAGUAUCUAGAAACCAAAUUUUAAAUCUUUUUGACAUCAUUAACCUAAUGAUCAAAGGGUUUCAAAAUUUGUAAUUUUAAUGGUAGAUAUAAGACGUUUUCUCGUUUAACGGUGUAAAGCUACCUAAAUCAAUUGAACUUUGGUUAGAAAAUUCUUUAAACUAUUUAGAAUAAGAUCUAUACUCUCGAUCUUGAUUAUAAAAUUUCUAUCAUCACUUUUUAGAGAAUAUUCAUUUUCAGUCGUUCAUUUUUCCGCCCACCUGAUGGACAAGAGAAUAAUAUUGAAAAAGCAUGAAAUUUGAUUUCUAGAUAUUUUAAGCGGUAUAGAUCAUGUUCAACGGUGCCGAUCGUCGAUUUGGAGACUCCAUCAUCGAAAACAAAUGGGUGGCAAAAGAGCCGAUUUGCUAUCGAUAGUAUUCUAGCUCAACUCUCUCUCUCUCUCUCUCUCAUUGGGCUAGAAUAGCAUUAAUAGUAUUUGGGCUCGUUUGCUAUCGAGUUUUUAAUACUUCGAUAAAAAAUUGUAACGUUAAAAUGAUAGUGGUCCCCUAUAUAUGGGUUUAGCAAGGUUGUAAAUAGUAGAUAGCGGGUACAUAGUAUUUGCAGAGUCUCAUAGCAGAAAGCAGAUAGCGGGCGCUAUGAACCCACAGCUAGUUUCAUAAAUGCAAAUUUAACAUAUUUAUAUUCCUUAUAAAAAAUAUACAUAUAAUUUUGAAGAANNNNNNNNNNNNNNNNNNNNNNNNNNNNNNNNNNNNNNNNNNNNNNNNNNNNNNNNNNNNNNNNNNNNNNNNNNNNNNNNNNNNNNNNNNNNNNNNNNNNGCUGGGACCACGUUCGGGAACCGGUCCCGCCCUGUCAGGGACCGGUUGCAUCACGCAACCCCGCUACGACCAGCCAGGGGAACCGGUCUCUCACCUGCAGAGACCGGUCCCCGAGAGCAACUUCUGCCCAAUGAUGCCAUUUGCCUCAUUUGCUCUCGCGGACUCAACUCCAAGGCACUUUUUGUGUUUUGGACAUUCCCAACUCCCACAAAGGUAUACUCUCGACAAUUAGUCGAUCCUGGAUGGAGUGCAAUCCUCAUAUUUCGAGAAUUCACUUCCUUACAUAUCCCGACUGCAAGUCGAUCUUAGAAUACACGCUAGAUCCCUGAAGCUGAUCAAAUAGAUCAUCAAUCCUCGGCAACAGAUACUUGUUUUUAAUCGUGACUUUAUUAAAUUCAUGAUAGUCCACGCACAAGCGAAGUGAUCCGUCCUUUUUAUUAACAAAUAGAACCGGUGCUCCCUAAUGUGAAACACUUGGCCGAGCAAAACUCUUGUCCAACAAAUCUUGCAACUGUGCCCUCGGCUCUUUCAACUCUGCUGGUGCCAUCCUAUAGUGUGCCUUUGAGAUUGGAGUAGUCCCAGGGACGAGAUCUACCACAAACUCAAUCUCCCUAUCAGGUGGCAUACCUGAAAACUGUGCUGGAAGCACAUCUCCAAACUCCCGUACCACGAGAAUAUCCUCAAUCCUAGGGGCGUCGACGUCACCCCUCAACACUACACUAGCUAAGUAAGCUAUGCAACCUCUGCUGAUCAACUGCCUAGCUCGAGAGGAGCUAAUUAUCAUCGCAAACAGCAAACUCUGGCAUCCUCGGUAUACAACCUUCUCCUGCCCCGGCUCUCUAAAAGUCACCGUUCAAUUCUUGCAAUCGAUAGUGGCGAAGUACUUGGUUAACCAAUCCAUGCCCAAGACAACAUCAAACUCUCCGAGUUUAUGCAAAGCCAACAAACCCACGGGCAUGAUCCAAUCUCCUACCCGAACAGGGCAACUGGGGCAAAACUCCCUAAUGUCCAAGGAGUGGUCGGGGACAACAACACGUCCCGAAUGCAACAAAGAAACAAGUGGGAUGCCAUGCAACUCGGCAAAUAGCCGAUCUAUGAAUGAAUGCGAUACACCGGUAUCAAAUAAUGCACGAACUCGAAUGUCAUUUAAUAAAAUGAUACCUGCAACCACAUUCUCGGCUGCUGCAGCCUCCUCAGUCUGGGCCGCAUACAUGCGCCCGCUCGGGACCUGUUGUGACUCCUCCGUCUGUCUCAAAACAGGUGGCCGCACGGCCUGGUAGUGAGCAGAAGGCAUCCCCUGGCUGGGACCCGGUGAAGCUGGUGCCGAUGCUGACGACGGCGCUGGAACAGAUCCUCUCGGGCAGUCCGACUGGAAGUGGCACUCCUGGCCACACAAGUAGCACCUGCCCCUAUGCUGUGUGCACGGCCGCGGAGGGUGGGGACCACCGCAGAUCACACAACGAGGAGCCCGGGAACGGUCAGACCCUCCACGCUGCGCGGUCGAGCCGCGCCCACAUGACUGGCUCCUAGGGUACCUCGGCGGCCUCCCAGAGUGCGUCUGACUCGCACCCUCAGCCGCGGGCCUUUUCCUCUUACCCUUUUCCAAGCCCUCUCGGCGCUCGCCGUUCUCCACAAUGAGCGUGCGGUUCACCACAUCACGGUAGGUCUGGAGAUUGGAGGAAUGCACAAAUCGAAAGAUCAACAGCCGAUGUCCUCGUUCGAAGAUGCGGGCCUUGUCCUCGUCGUCCCACACAAUGAAAGGCACGCAAUGCAAAAGCCGUGAGAACUCCCUCUUAUACUCGGCCACAGUCCAGUCCCCUGGCGUAUACUGCGCAAACCCUGCUCCAUCUUCCUCUUGAAACUGUCGGGGAAGUAGUGCUCCAACAGAAGUUCCUUGAACCUCUUCCAGGUAAUCGCCGCAAGGUCAGUGUUGGGGUUGUCCUGGAUAUCCAACCACCAACUGUAGGCCUCGCCGUCUAGGUGAUGAGUGGCAAGCCAAACUCGAUCUCUCUCCUCCACGAAAGUGUCGCGGAACAACUUCUCCAUAUGCAUCAACCACUUCUCUACAAUCCAGUGGUCGGCUUUCUUUCCGUCAAAGGUCAUGGGAUUACAUCUUCUGAACUCGUUGAGGUGACCCAUGAGCCGAUCCUGCUCCGCUCCCUCAACUAUCACAGAAAAAACUGCCCCCUCCAAAGGCACCUAAGCUGAUGGUGCCGCAACGUCCUCCUCCCGAGGUGCCACCGCAAAGGCCGUCCGAGAAGUGUCCAGUGCAGGGGACGACACCCUGGUCGCAACUACCUCCCCCGGCGCGGGUGGUGUAGGGACCUGAGCCUCCCUGGCAGCCGCCUACUACAGUAAAAGGUCCUCCAGGCGCUUUAUCCUCGCCUCCUGCCAGCGCGCCACGUCUGCAUGCUGCUGAGCCGCCACUGCCUGCUGGGCAACCAAGUCGGUGAAGGCCGCAAGCUGGCUCCUCAACUCACGGACCUCGCCGGAUCCGGAGGUAGCGGAGGUCUCCACCUCCUCCAAGUUUGCCGCAUUAUCCGCUCCAACAGACUUAGAGCGUGUCGUCGGUAUUAUCACUACAACAUCAUAAAAGCGCAAGUUAGUAAAACCCACACUAUCGCAACCCCGCUGAGCACAUACAACCCAAGUCAUGCGAAAGUAAGGAAGUGUCCUUUGCUACUAACUUCUGAUGUUACGUUGUCGGCCGCCAACGUAACCCUCCGCGAAGUUAGAAGCUAUACACUUCAAUCAACUCCAACAUUUUAGAGUUAUCAUAACCCAAUCAUAAUACUUUCGCUUACAAAUCAAAUAGACAUCGUCUCUCACAAGCCUAUUUCCUAAGUCCAAUAGGCUGGUUGCCGACGGUUGACUAUUGAGCAUAUCAGCAUUGAUCGCCCGAUACUCAUACGCACUUUACGAACACCAGCAGUCUGAUCCACUGCAAGAGGGUGUUCUUUUCCGAAAAAGUGGUUGGAGGUGCCAACCCGUGAGCCCAUAGGCUACCUUGGGUUAUAUGCAGGUAGAGUGACAGCUUGAGGUCUGCGGUGCGGACCAACAAGGCAUAGCAUGAGGUCUGCGGUGCAGACCAACCGAGCACAGCUUGAGGUCUGCGAUGCUGACCAACAGAGCACAGGUUUCAGAUUGGGUAUUUUUGGACUUGUCAUCCGGUUGAUGUAUACAUACAGUAGCGGUAGUUGUUCAUAUAUAUAUAUCUCGUUCGUUUAUUAUCGUUGCUACUGUACUAUCUUUACCCAUGCCUUUGUUUAUUCUCCUUNNNNNNNNNNNNNNNNNNNNNNNNNNNNNNNNNNNNNNNNNNNNNNNNNNNNNNNNNNNNNNNNNNNNNNNNNNNNNNNNNNNNNNNNNNNNNNNNNNNNNNNNNNNNNNNNNNNNNNNNNNNNNNNNNNNNNNNNNNNNNNNNNNNNNNNNNNNNNNNNNNNNNNNNNNNNNNNNNNNNNNNNNNNNNNNNNNNNNNNNNNNNNNNNNNNNNNNNNNNNNNNNNNNNNNNNNNNNNNNNNNNNNNNNNNNNNNNNNNNNNNNNNNNNNNNNNNNNNNNNNNNNNNNNNNNNNNNNNNNNNNNNNNNNNNNNNNNNNNNNNNNNNNNNNNNNNNNNNNNNNNNNNNNNNNNNNNNNNNNNNNNNNNNNNNNNNNNNNNNNNNNNNNNNNNNNNNNNNNNNNNNNNNNNNNNNNNNNNNNNNNNNNNNNNNNNNNNNNNNNNNNNNNNNNNNNNNNNNNNNNNNNNNNNNNNNNNNNNNNNNNNNNNNNNNNNNNNNNNNNNNNNNNNNNNNNNNNNNNNNNNNNNNNNNNNNNNNNNNNNNNNNNNNNNNNNNNNNNNNNNNNNNNNNNNNNNNNNNNNNNNNNNNNNNNNNNNNNNNNNNNNNNNNNNNNNNNNNNNNNNNNNNNNNNNNNNNNNNNNNNNNNNNNNNNNNNNNNNNNNNNNNNNNNNNNNNNNNNNNNNNNNNNNNNNNNNNNNNNNNNNNNNNNNNNNNNNNNNNNNNNNNNNNNNNNNNNNNNNNNNNNNNNNNNNNNNNNNNNNNNNNNNNNNNNNNNNNNNNNNNNNNNNNNNNNNNNNNNNNNNNNNNNNNNNNNNNNNNNNNNNNNNNNNNNNNNNNNNNNNNNNNNNNNNNNNNNNNNNNNNNNNNNNNNNNNNNNNNNNNNNNNNNNNNNNNNNNNNNNNNNNNNNNNNNNNNNNNNNNNNNNNNNNNNNNNNNNNNNNNNNNNNNNNNNNNNNNNNNNNNNNNNNNNNNNNNNNNNNNNNNNNNNNNNNNNNNNNNNNNNNNNNNNNNNNNNNNNNNNNNNNNNNNNNNNNNNNNNNNNNNNNNNNNNNNNNNNNNNNNNNNNNNNNNNNNNNNNNNNNNNNNNNNNNNNNNNNNNNNNNNNNNNNNNNNNNNNNNNNNNNNNNNNNNNNNNNNNNNNNNNNNNNNNNNNNNNNNNNNNNNNNNNNNNNNNNNNNNNNNNNNNNNNNNNNNNNNNNNNNNNNNNNNNNNNNNNNNNNNNNNNNNNNNNNNNNNNNNNNNNNNNNNNNNNNNNNNNNNNNNNNNNNNNNNNNNNNNNNNNNNNNNNNNNNNNNNNNNNNNNNNNNNNNNNNNNNNNNNNNNNNNNNNNNNNNNNNNNNNNNNNNNNNNNNNNNNNNNNNNNNNNNNNNNNNNNNNNNNNNNNNNNNNNNNNNNNNNNNNNNNNNNNNNNNNNNNNNNNNNNNNNNNNNNNNNNNNNNNNNNNNNNNNNNNNNNNNNNNNNNNNNNNNNNNNNNNNNNNNNNNNNNNNNNNNNNNNNNNNNNNNNNNNNNNNNNNNNNNNNNNNNNNNNNNNNNNNNNNNNNNNNNNNNNNNNNNNNNNNNNNNNNNNNNNNNNNNNNNNNNNNNNNNNNNNNNNNNNNNNNNNNNNNNNNNNNNNNNNNNNNNNNNNNNNNNNNNNNNNNNNNNNNNNNNNNNNNNNNNNNNNNNNNNNNNNNNNNNNNNNNNNNNNNNNNNNNNNNNNNNNNNNNNNNNNNNNNNNNNNNNNNNNNNNNNNNNNNNNNNNNNNNNNNNNNNNNNNNNNNNNNNNNNNNNNNNNNNNNNNNNNNNNNNNNNNNNNNNNNNNNNNNNNNNNNNNNNNNNNNNNNNNNNNNNNNNNNNNNNNNNNNNNNNNNNNNNNNNNNNNNNNNNNNNNNNNNNNNNNNNNNNNNNNNNNNNNNNNNNNNNNNNNNNNNNNNNNNNNNNNNNNNNNNNNNNNNNNNNNNNNNNNNNNNNNNNNNNNNNNNNNNNNNNNNNNNNNNNNNNNNNNNNNNNNNNNNNNNNNNNNNNNNNNNNNNNNNNNNNNNNNNNNNNNNNNNNNNNNNNNNNNNNNNNNNNNNNNNNNNNNNNNNNNNNNNNNNNNNNNNNNNNNNNNNNNNNNNNNNNNNNNNNNNNNNNNNNNNNNNNNNNNNNNNNNNNNNNNNNNNNNNNNNNNNNNNNNNNNNNNNNNNNNNNNNNNNNNNNNNNNNNNNNNNNNNNNNNNNNNNNNNNNNNNNNNNNNNNNNNNNNNNNNNNNNNNNNNNNNNNNNNNNNNNNNNNNNNNNNNNNNNNNNNNNNNNNNNNNNNNNNNNNNNNNNNNNNNNNNNNNNNNNNNNNNNNNNNNNNNNNNNNNNNNNNNNNNNNNNNNNNNNNNNNNNNNNNNNNNNNNNNNNNNNNNNNNNNNNNNNNNNNNNNNNNNNNNNNNNNNNNNNNNNNNNNNNNNNNNNNNNNNNNNNNNNNNNNNNNNNNNNNNNNNNNNNNNNNNNNNNNNNNNNNNNNNNNNNNNNNNNNNNNNNNNNNNNNNNNNNNNNNNNNNNNNNNNNNNNNNNNNNNNNNNNNNNNNNNNNNNNNNNNNNNNNNNNNNNNNNNNNNNNNNNNNNNNNNNNNNNNNNNNNNNNNNNNNNNNNNNNNNNNNNNNNNNNNNNNNNNNNNNNNNNNNNNNNNNNNNNNNNNNNNNNNNNNNNNNNNNNNNNNNNNNNNNNNNNNNNNNNNNNNNNNNNNNNNNNNNNNNNNNNNNNNNNNNNNNNNNNNNNNNNNNNNNNNNNNNNNNNNNNNNNNNNNNNNNNNNNNNNNNNNNNNNNNNNNNNNNNNNNNNNNNNNNNNNNNNNNNNNNNNNNNNNNNNNNNNNNNNNNNNNNNNNNNNNNNNNNNNNNNNNNNNNNNNNNNNNNNNNNNNNNNNNNNNNNNNNNNNNNNNNNNNNNNNNNNNNNNNNNNNNNNNNNNNNNNNNNNNNNNNNNNNNNNNNNNNNNNNNNNNNNNNNNNNNNNNNNNNNNNNNNNNNNNNNNNNNNNNNNNNNNNNNNNNNNNNNNNNNNNNNNNNNNNNNNNNNNNNNNNNNNNNNNNNNNNNNNNNNNNNNNNNNNNNNNNNNNNNNNNNNNNNNNNNNNNNNNNNNNNNNNNNNNNNNNNNNNNNNNNNNNNNNNNNNNNNNNNNNNNNNNNNNNNNNNNNNNNNNNNNNNNNNNNNNNNNNNNNNNNNNNNNNNNNNNNNNNNNNNNNNNNNNNNNNNNNNNNNNNNNNNNNNNNNNNNNNNNNNNNNNNNNNNNNNNNNNNNNNNNNNNNNNNNNNNNNNNNNNNNNNNNNNNNNNNNNNNNNNNNNNNNNNNNNNNNNNNNNNNNNNNNNNNNNNNNNNNNNNNNNNNNNNNNNNNNNNNNNNNNNNNNNNNNNNNNNNNNNNNNNNNNNNNNNNNNNNNNNNNNNNNNNNNNNNNNNNNNNNNNNNNNNNNNNNNNNNNNNNNNNNNNNNNNNNNNNNNNNNNNNNNNNNNNNNNNNNNNNNNNNNNNNNNNNNNNNNNNNNNNNNNNNNNNNNNNNNNNNNNNNNNNNNNNNNNNNNNNNNNNNNNNNNNNNNNNNNNNNNNNNNNNNNNNNNNNNNNNNNNNNNNNNNNNNNNNNNNNNNNNNNNNNNNNNNNNNNNNNNNNNNNNNNNNNNNNNNNNNNNNNNNNNNNNNNNNNNNNNNNNNNNNNNNNNNNNNNNNNNNNNNNNNNNNNNNNNNNNNNNNNNNNNNNNNNNNNNNNNNNNNNNNNNNNNNNNNNNNNNNNNNNNNNNNNNNNNNNNNNNNNNNNNNNNNNNNNNNNNNNNNNNNNNNNNNNNNNNNNNNNNNNNNNNNNNNNNNNNNNNNNNNNNNNNNNNNNNNNNNNNNNNNNNNNNNNNNNNNNNNNNNNNNNNNNNNNNNNNNNNNNNNNNNNNNNNNNNNNNNNNNNNNNNNNNNNNNNNNNNNNNNNNNNNNNNNNNNNNNNNNNNNNNNNNNNNNNNNNNNNNNNNNNNNNNNNNNNNNNNNNNNNNNNNNNNNNNNNNNNNNNNNNNNNNNNNNNNNNNNNNNNNNNNNNNNNNNNNNNNNNNNNNNNNNNNNNNNNNNNNNNNNNNNNNNNNNNNNNNNNNNNNNNNNNNNNNNNNNNNNNNNNNNNNNNNNNNNNNNNNNNNNNNNNNNNNNNNNNNNNNNNNNNNNNNNNNNNNNNNNNNNNNNNNNNNNNNNNNNNNNNNNNNNNNNNNNNNNNNNNNNNNNNNNNNNNNNNNNNNNNNNNNNNNNNNNNNNNNNNNNNNNNNNNNNNNNNNNNNNNNNNNNNNNNNNNNNNNNNNNNNNNNNNNNNNNNNNNNNNNNNNNNNNNNNNNNNNNNNNNNNNNNNNNNNNNNNNNNNNNNNNNNNNNNNNNNNNNNNNNNNNNNNNNNNNNNNNNNNNNNNNNNNNNNNNNNNNNNNNNNNNNNNNNNNNNNNNNNNNNNNNNNNNNNNNNNNNNNNNNNNNNNNNNNNNNNNNNNNNNNNNNNNNNNNNNNNNNNNNNNNNNNNNNNNNNNNNNNNNNNNNNNNNNNNNNNNNNNNNNNNNNNNNNNNNNNNNNNNNNNNNNNNNNNNNNNNNNNNNNNNNNNNNNNNNNNNNNNNNNNNNNNNNNNNNNNNNNNNNNNNNNNNNNNNNNNNNNNNNNNNNNNNNNNNNNNNNNNNNNNNNNNNNNNNNNNNNNNNNNNNNNNNNNNNNNNNNNNNNNNNNNNNNNNNNNNNNNNNNNNNNNNNNNNNNNNNNNNNNNNNNNNNNNNNNNNNNNNNNNNNNNNNNNNNNNNNNNNNNNNNNNNNNNNNNNNNNNNNNNNNNNNNNNNNNNNNNNNNNNNNNNNNNNNNNNNNNNNNNNNNNNNNNNNNNNNNNNNNNNNNNNNNNNNNNNNNNNNNNNNNNNNNNNNNNNNNNNNNNNNNNNNNNNNNNNNNNNNNNNNNNNNNNNNNNNNNNNNNNNNNNNNNNNNNNNNNNNNNNNNNNNNNNNNNNNNNNNNNNNNNNNNNNNNNNNNNNNNNNNNNNNNNNNNNNNNNNNNNNNNNNNNNNNNNNNNNNNNNNNNNNNNNNNNNNNNNNNNNNNNNNNNNNNNNNNNNNNNNNNNNNNNNNNNNNNNNNNNNNNNNNNNNNNNNNNNNNNNNNNNNNNNNNNNNNNNNNNNNNNNNNNNNNNNNNNNNNNNNNNNNNNNNNNNNNNNNNNNNNNNNNNNNNNNNNNNNNNNNNNNNNNNNNNNNNNNNNNNNNNNNNNNNNNNNNNNNNNNNNNNNNNNNNNNNNNNNNNNNNNNNNNNNNNNNNNNNNNNNNNNNNNNNNNNNNNNNNNNNNNNNNNNNNNNNNNNNNNNNNNNNNNNNNNNNNNNNNNNNNNNNNNNNNNNNNNNNNNNNNNNNNNNNNNNNNNNNNNNNNNNNNNNNNNNNNNNNNNNNNNNNNNNNNNNNNNNNNNNNNNNNNNNNNNNNNNNNNNNNNNNNNNNNNNNNNNNNNNNNNNNNNNNNNNNNNNNNNNNNNNNNNNNNNNNNNNNNNNNNNNNNNNNNNNNNNNNNNNNNNNNNNNNNNNNNNNNNNNNNNNNNNNNNNNNNNNNNNNNNNNNNNNNNNNNNNNNNNNNNNNNNNNNNNNNNNNNNNNNNNNNNNNNNNNNNNNNNNNNNNNNNNNNNNNNNNNNNNNNNNNNNNNNNNNNNNNNNNNNNNNNNNNNNNNNNNNNNNNNNNNNNNNNNNNNNNNNNNNNNNNNNNNNNNNNNNNNNNNNNNNNNNNNNNNNNNNNNNNNNNNNNNNNNNNNNNNNNNNNNNNNNNNNNNNNNNNNNNNNNNNNNNNNNNNNNNNNNNNNNNNNNNNNNNNNNNNNNNNNNNNNNNNNNNNNNNNNNNNNNNNNNNNNNNNNNNNNNNNNNNNNNNNNNNNNNNNNNNNNNNNNNNNNNNNNNNNNNNNNNNNNNNNNNNNNNNNNNNNNNNNNNNNNNNNNNNNNNNNNNNNNNNNNNNNNNNNNNNNNNNNNNNNNNNNNNNNNNNNNNNNNNNNNNNNNNNNNNNNNNNNNNNNNNNNNNNNNNNNNNNNNNNNNNNNNNNNNNNNNNNNNNNNNNNNNNNNNNNNNNNNNNNNNNNNNNNNNNNNNNNNNNNNNNNNNNNNNNNNNNNNNNNNNNNNNNNNNNNNNNNNNNNNNNNNNNNNNNNNNNNNNNNNNNNNNNNNNNNNNNNNNNNNNNNNNNNNNNNNNNNNNNNNNNNNNNNNNNNNNNNNNNNNNNNNNNNNNNNNNNNNNNNNNNNNNNNNNNNNNNNNNNNNNNNNNNNNNNNNNNNNNNNNNNNNNNNNNNNNNNNNNNNNNNNNNNNNNNNNNNNNNNNNNNNNNNNNNNNNNNNNNNNNNNNNNNNNNNGUAGAUCUCAUCCCUGAGACUACUCCAAUCUCAAAGGCGCCCUAUAGGAUGGCACCGGCGGAGUUGAAAGAGCUGAGGGCACAACAGCAGGAUCUUUUGGACAAGGGUUUCAUUCGCCCGAGUGUUUCACCUUGGGGAGCACCGGUUUUAUUUGUUAAGAAGAAGGACGGAUCACUUCGCUUGUGUGUAUCCAUUGUCAAGGAUCAAUGAUUUAUUUGAUCAACUUCAAGGGUCGAGUGUGUAUUCCAAGAUAGACUUGCAGUCGGGAUACCACCAGUUAAAGAAUGCACCUGAGGAUGCAUCGAAGACGGCUUUUAGAACACGGUAUGGACAUUAUGAGUUUACUGUUAUGCCGUUUGGGCUUACUAAUACUCCGACAGCUUUUAUGGAUCUAAUGAACCGUGUUUUCAAGCCUUAUCUAGACAGGUUCGUCGUGGUGUUCAUCGAUGACAUCUUGAUUUAUUCCCGAAGUGACAAGGAUCAUGAAGAGCAUUUAAGGCUUGUACUUCAAAUGCUUCGUGAAAAUAAACUAUAUGCCAAGUUGAAGAAGUAUGAGUUUUGGCUUAGAGAGGUAGCAUUUUUGGGACACUUGAUUUCUGGAUCGGGCAUAGCCGUGGAUCCUAGGAAGAUUGAAGCAAUCAAGAAUUGGCCUAGACCGACAAGUGUCACGGAGAUCCGGAGUUUUCUUGGUUUGGCCGGCUACUACCGGAGAUUUGUUGAGGGGUUUGCCAAGUUAUUUACUCCCCUCACGCGGCUCACACACAAAGGCACUAAAUUCAUUUGGAAUGAUGCAUGUGAGAGAAGCUUCCUAGAGUUUAAGCAAAGAUUGACGACCGCCCCAAUCCUAACCUUGCAAGUUGCUGGAGCAGGGUAUGUGAUUUAUAGCAAUGCUUCCUUUAAUGGAUUGGGCUGUGUUUUGAUGCAGAAUGGAAAGGUGAUCGUUUAUUCUUCUCGCCAACUGAAGGAAUAUGAAAGGAACUACCCUACACAUGACUUGGAGUUGGCGGUCGUAGUCUUUGCAUUAAAGCUAUGGCGCCAUUAUCUUUAUGGCGAGCGGUGUGAAGUGUACACGGAUCACAAGAGCUUAAAGUAUCUAUUCACUCAGAAGGAGUUGAACUUGAGGCAGCGCAGAUGGUUGGUGCUACUCAAGGAUUAUGAUUUGACGAUUCUCUACCACCCGGGCAAGGUUAACGUGGUGGCAGAUGCGCUAAGUCAAAAAUCAACGGAUAACUUAGCGAUGCUUUUUAAUAUACCGAAAAUUCGGAAAAUAAAAAUGUCGAACUUUAGUCAAAUUGACCAAAGUGCGAGGACGGUACACUUCGGAAAGUCCGAAGGUGUUAAAAUGAUUAAAAGUGAGUUACGGGAGGUUUUCGAGAGCUAUAGAAUCAAAUCUGCAUUCUGCAGUUUUGAGCUCUCGGGGACCGGUCCCUGGUGGGAGAGACUGGUCCCCGAACGCGUAUGAAGUGAGACAGCCGAAAAAUCGCCUAAGUCCUGAGGAAUUAGCUCUCGGGAAUCGGUCCCUGCCUGAGAGACCGGUCCCCGAGAGACCAGUCCCACCAGAGAGAGAUCGGUCGCAUUGCGCGCAACAGCUCUAGCUGCGCUAGGAGAGCUCUCGGAGACCGGUCCCUAGUCGGGGAGACCGGUCCCCGAGCCCGAAAUCUGCCCAGUCCAGGCAGUUGAAUAAGAUGAAAGUUGAGGGGUUUAUUAGCAUUUUUGCAACCCAAUGGUUAUGUAUGAGGGACAUGAGGGCUUUUCUCUCAUUCCACUCCCUCUCACACUCUCUCCUCUCUUUCUCUCUCUAGAAGGCAAAGAAGGAGAAGAAGAGGACAAGGAAGGGAAGGAAAAAGAAGAGGAAGAAGGUGAAGAAGAAGACAAGGAGAAGAAGAAAACCUCUCCUCUCCUUCUCUAGCUUGGAAAAGGAGCAAGUUUAGAGGUAAGCUUUGCCCCUUCUCAUGCUAAAUUCCAAACUAGGGUUUGGAUUAACCUAGAAAUGGUUUUAAUGGAGUAUUUAGAGUCAUUGAAGCUUCUUUUUGCUUCUUUAGAGAUCAAAGCCAUGGUUAAGCUCAAAGGUGAGCUUCAACCCACCUCUCAUGGUGAAAUCCAAACUAGGGUUUGGAAUGAGCUAGGAAUGGUUUAGAUGAACUCUUUAGAGUAUAUUGAAGCUACUUUUACUUCUCUAAGAGAUCAAACCCUAGGUUUGAUGAUGCUAUGGAGCUAGGGCACCCAAAUUGGGGCUUUUGCUCAUGAGGAUUUCUAAGUGCAAUUGACCCUCUAGAAACCUAAUUAGGGGUAUUUCCGACGCGUUGGUGCGCUCGGAUUAACAUUACGAAAAGCCGAUGAAAAGAUAUGAGCAAAAUGACCUAUUAGAGUUUCGUUUUGCCGCAGGUAAAGAACGAAGGGUCUAAGAAUCCCAAGAAAAUCAUCGGAGCAUCUUUGAAAGCCUACGAGGUGGAUGGUGCUUCUCAAACUCGUUGAACUUCUCUUUAUGCCUAAUGUGUCAUUCAUUUGAGCAUAUAUGUAUAUAUUGUUGCAUGCAUUUUAGGGUAAAGUAAUGAUGAAAAUGUAAUGAUGCAUGAUUGUGAGUACAACUUGUAUAAUAUGAUGAAUGAUAACUAUGUAAACAUCGAAAACCCUAUGUGUAUGCAUGAGAGAAAAGUGAGCACCUAAAGUGAGCAAAAGAACGGAAUGACACAAUGACCUAGAUCGAGUGGCAUUUGAUAAAGUUAAAGUGAAACGACACUAGAGUUAGUGUGAGCCAAAGAACCAAAGUGAUGUAAAGAAUGAUGAAAAUGACAAUGUGUAAAGUUAAAGUAAAGUGGGGCAAUAAGAACGAGAAAUGUAAUGAACAAGAAUGCUAGAGCUAGCAGAAGUAAAGAAAUGUAAAGAAUGUGAUUGCAUGAGUUUGCAACAUAAAGUGAUGUAAAGAACACUAGAGCUAGUGUAAAGUCAAGAUUGAACUUAUAAAAUCCUUUGAGUUAAGGAUAUGAUCAUACUUGCUAUGAGUUCCGUGCUCGAGGGCGGUCGCUCCCCCUCGGGCGAUGCGCUCCGGAGUUAUGCAUCACGGGUUGGAGUAAACCCGAAGGACGGUCCUAGCGGUUGAGUUCCUGCGAUGAUGGACUUAAUGUGAAGCAAGUUAAUGUGGCGACACCCCCGGGUUAGCCUCGAGAUUAAAGAACAAAGUGCAAAGAACAAAGUGCAAAGAACAAGAACAAAGAGUAAAGUGAAAAGAAUAAAGAAUUUGCAUAAUCUGCAUAUGUUAAUGUUGAGCAUACUCCUUGCUUUAUUUUCAGGCAUAUUAGCAUCAUGUAUAGAUUGGUUACUAUAUACAGCUUAUUCUUUCUAUUAUGCCUGAGUUAGUCCUAGUGGGAAAGUCGGUGAUGUUGAGGCCGAACCCACUAGGAACUUCGUUGUAGUUCUCACCCCACUAUUUCCACAGAGCCGGGACCGAGCGAGCCGGCGAGCGACCGAGGUAAAGGUAUCGUGCCUUAGUCAGAGGCCACCAAAGUUGGGGUACAUUUUGUUAGUAGACACCCUUUUAUCAUCUUUUGUACUUGAUGAUUAGUGAUAUAAAGAAAGAAUGUAAAGCUUAUUUUGAGGUAAAUGUGAUGUAAGAAAGAAAUGAUGAAAUUAUGUAAUAAAAUGCAAAGAAUCCUAAAUGUAAAAGAUGGAUGCAAUGUAUAUGAUCUAAAAUGAAUCAUAUUACUUGUGUAGAUGUUUAGUUUUCCUUUCUUUCACUAAUAGCUAUUGCUUACCCUCAUGUAAGCCGUUUGUGUAUGUUUCCGCUAGUGCUUUUCUCUAUUGAUGAAAAUGUACAUGUGAUGAGCCUUGGGCGGAUAGGGGAAACUCUGUCCGCUCGGCGUCUGUUUGACGUGCUCGGGUCGGGCCAAAUUGGCGUCGAUCCCGGGGCGUGACAGAUUAGCGUGGUAUCAGAGCCAAUAGUGAAAGAAUAGGAAUGGACCUAGAGACCCUUAGGAUUGGAAGACCUUAAGGAUCUAGGAAACGUGAGUGACGUGGGAUCAAAGUUAGCGAAAGCAUGUGAUUGGGUUAAGUAGGGACGUCUCUAAUGUGAUUAGAGGCUAAUUUUAAUUUUCGUUUAUCCUCUACUUCUAGUGUGGUGUCGGGCGGCCGACGACAUAACGCUUGAGGCAAGGAUGAAUGUGUAUGUUGCUUUCGCCUGAUUGGGUGUGGUCAAGUAAUGUUGGUCAAGUGACUAAUGCGAGUUGCUUCUUUUCAGGAAGCAAUGGCACCUCGUGGACGACCGCAGACAAGGUCGAUGCCGGAGGAGCCGAACGUGGAGCCUGAGCGAUCCGGAGCGAGGGGCGACGGAGAGCUUAGGGAGCAAAUGGCCGCGCUUAUCGGAGUAGUGCGGCAACAAGCGGAGUCUGUUCAACGCCAAGGCGAGCAGAUUCAACGGCUCCAGGAGGCCUUGGAGCGACAACAAGCGACGGCGGCCCAGGCGGGUGUCGAGCAUGUCGCGCCCCCUGUGGUAGUGCCAAGCGUGGACGAGGGAGCGGCGGCAGCAGCGGCUGUUCCAGUUACGGUAGUACCGGCCGGAUCGGGAACCUCAAAUCCCGAUAGCGCGGCGGUAGAAGCGGAGCGAGAGCGCACGUUGGCGGCGCUUAUACAAUUCAAGAAGUUCGACCCACCUACCUUCGAGGGCGGUUUGGUGGAGCCGGCGGUCGUGGAGUCAUGGAUCGACUCAAUGGAGACGCUCUUCGAGGAUCUCAAUACCUCGGAGAAGGAUAAAGUGUACCUCGCCACCCAUUCUCUUGAGAAAGCGGCAAAGGUGUGGUGGAAGCGAGUGAAGCGGGAUCGUCCUACCGAUCUCCCGCUCAUGCUUUGGGAAGAGUUCAAGAUAGCGGUGUUCGCGAACUACUUCCCCCACACGGUGAAGCGGAGGCUACAAGAAAAGUUCCGCAAGUUGAGACAGGGUGAUCGAUCGGUGGGAGAGUAUGAGCAAGAAUUCUCCCACAUUAUUGACUGCGUUCCCAAUGUUGUUCGUGAUGAUCGGGACCGGGCGGAUUGGUUCUUGCGAGGACUCCAACCCCGGAUUUAUGAGAAAGUGCAGAUCUUGAAGUUGUCGACCUUUGCGGAGGUCUUUGAUCGAGCUUUGUGGGCGGAGCACGGUAGCGCCCAUGUACGUGAAGAGCGAGAAGCUAUGGCCGAGUCGAAGGACAAGGGCAAGAAGAGAACGGCGGGCGGUGCCGGGGGCCGGCCAAACGCUAAGAAACCCCCUCGGUAUCCUCGACAGCAGGCGAGGAAUUGGAGACCGCCUCGAUGUGUCAUUUGUGGCGGUGAGCACAAGGUGUCGACUUGCCCGCAGCGAGACGGCAAGUGUUUCAAGUGUGGCCAACCGGGACAUCUUAUCCGGGAGUGCCCGUCAUGGACGUCGUCUGCGCCAACGGCGGCUUCAACACCGUCUACCCCGAGACAGCUUGCAGGGUUACCACCGGCGAUAUCGGCUGGACGCGCGUGAGCACCGCGUCAGCCGGAGGGAUCGAGAGCGCCUAGCGGUCGAGUCUUUGCCGCUCAGGUGGAGGAGCAACAACCUGCAGCACCCGACGACGUCGUGGCAGGUAUAAUUGUGAUUAAAGGCACUAGAGCUAGAGCAGUGUUUGAUACAGGCGCAUCUCAUUCAUUCAUUAGCACUUCAUUUGCUAAAACACAUGGCAUAGAGAUGGUAUACAAUGAGAAUUACUGGUGGGUGAACGCCCCAGAACAUUCAUUCAGUGUCCACAACGAGUGUUUGGCGUGUCCGGUGAAAAUAGGCGAUUGGAUUAUGCCGAUUGAUCUGCUAGUGCUAGAUCAGAUGUGGGGAUUUGAUGUUAUCUUGGGGACCAACUUGUCACGCCCCGAGACCGCUACCAAUUUGGUUCGGCCCCGGGCGCGUCGAACAGACGCCGAACGGACAGAGUCUCCCCUGUCCGCCCAAGGCUAACCAAACGAUCAUGUACAAGAAUUUACCCCGGAAUCAAUUCAUAAGUACACAAUCACGAGAGCACAACAAGUGCUAACAAGACGAGAGCAAGAUACGAGUAUAGAAACAUAUACAAGUACAUCAAGAGAGAAGAGCUAUCUAUUACAUUCAUUUGACUUAAUACAUUCAAUUACAUCUUUUACAUUCUUCCAAAAUAUAAGUACAAUCACUCGAACCUCACCCUAUACAUCAUCUACUCUCAAAUAUAAAAGGGUGACAGCUAAUACAAAAGGGAGGUAGCUAAUGCGACUAAAGCGCCGGGCCCUUACCGCGAUCCUCGCGCUCACCGGGGACACCCGAACUGGAACCUGUAGUAAAAUGGGGGUGAGAACUAACUUCCUUAGUUCCCAGUGGGUUCGGCCGCCGACUCCGCCGAUCUCCCCACUAGGUCCAAGCGGGCACAAGUAGAUAUACCAAUAGAUGGAUAGAUAGAUAGAUAAGGAAGCUGUAAAUGACGGAAAUGAAGCUAUUCUACUAUGCCCAAUCAUAAAUAUAUGAAUGCAUGUCCAAUGAAUUGGUAAGCAACUAACCUGUCAUCAUGUCCAAAGGUGAAGCUAUUCACUCGUUCAUUAACAUCAUUUACUUGUUCAUUAAUCUCAUGGCUUACCCGAAGGCUCGCCUACAGCUCACUAGCCAUCUCGACACGUAGGGAGAAUCAACUCACACUACGGACCCGAGACCGUCUGGCGGGGCCAUAUAGGCAAUCCCUGGCGUGACCAACAUCCGGAGCGCACUACUUGUGUGGGGCUUCCAUCACAAGAUUUAACAGACCGUGAGCAUGAUCCAAUCCUCUAAGCUCGAGGAUACCCUGUCCUCUAGAGUCACAGUCAUCAUAUAGUCCAUAGGUGUCACAUACCCUAUUAACUAGAUUGUCCGUUUGUUCGCUAUCGACUAGAUGCCACUCGUUCAUGGUUUACUAUUGACUAGAUGCCACUCAUUCAUAGUUCAUCAUUUCCUUUACAUUAUAGGAUUCACAAUCUAGACCCAAUCCUUAUCAAUCCAAUAUAUCAAAUAUCCAAUGUACGCUACGAUAUCAUCAAGGAUGGCAUAAGGAAAGGCAAUGCAUGAUAAUCCUAUAAUGCAAUAAUACAAGAUGCAGAAUCGACGUGUACUAAGACAUAGAAGGGAGCCCGAUUGCUUCGGGAUGGACACCACCCACCUUUUGGCGAUGCCGCGAUGAUAGAAAACCCGACGUUGCGGUCGUUGCACGCCGCUUCAACUCCUCGGGGCGAAGCGAGCCCUCGAGUACCCGAUUCGGCGAUUUCUCCGCACCUGCUCGUCGGAUCGGCAAACCGUUUUCGCCGACGCGUUCCGAGACCUAGCAAUUAGGUUUACGACCUAUUAAAAUAGAUCAAAACCCUAAAUUUCCCAAAACCCCAAUCCGUGCCCUAAAAUGGCAACGGGAAGGAAAUCCACGGUGCGAGCUUCGAUUGUGAGCUCGAACCUUCCAUUUAUCCCUAAUAGGUUCCAUUUGAACCAAUUCUAAACCCUAAAACCUCCAAACCCUAAAAAUACCAUUAAAGGGGUUUGGACCUUACCUCUCGUCAAGACUCCUUCAAGCUUGAGGGAGAGGGAGAGAAGAAGAUGUCUUCUUCUUCUUCUUCUUAGUCUUCUCUUUCUCUUCUUCUUCUUCUCUUUCUUUCUUCUUCUCUUUCUUUCUUCUCCUUCCUUUCCUCCUUCUUCCCUUUCUUUUCUUUUCUUUCCUAGAGAGAGAAAGGGAAGGAGUGAGAGAGAGAGAAAGAGCAGCUGAGAGAGAGUGAGAGGGGUCCCCCACCUCUAAUAAAGGCUAUUUUGCAAAUAGCCCCCUCAACUUCUCACCUCUAUGAUCAGCCCUCUCUGGGCAUUUUCGCAGCGAGGGACCGGUCCCAGCUCGGGGAGACCGGUCCCCGAAAGCUGCCAUUUCGAGCAGAGGGGAUUUCGCGUUCGGAAACCGGUUCUUGCUUGAGAGACCGGUCCCCGGGAGACCGGUCCUUGUCCGAGAGACCGGUUCCCGAGAGCUGCAUUCUCGGGACUUAGCCAAAUUUGGCUAAGUCUCGCCAGGCCAACGUUCGGGAACCGGUCCCUGCCCACCAGGGACCGGUCUCAUCAGAGACCUCCGCAACCCAGCCUGAUGGAACCGGUCCCUCCCUGCCAGGGACCGGUCCCCGAGAGCAAUUCUGCUCCAGUGCAAGUUUUGCAAGCUGGGUCUUCCGGGCCUUCUUCAAUGCACUUUAUGCUUAUACGCCUUCGGGCUUUCCGAAGCUUACGCACUCGACCAGUUAGUUCGAUUCUGACCGAAGUCUAUUCCUCUGAGAUUUCGAUGAUUCACUUCCUACACCAACCUGGCUCUCCAAGUUACUAUGCGGUGAUAAUUGUGAAAGCAAUGGGCUGAUCACUUUUUCGUGAAGCCUAAUCAGAGAGUUGGUCUGACCAAGCGUUGCAAUAGUAGGCGGCUUCCGGCGACCAUAUCGUCUGUAAGCGAGCGGACGAAAAUGAUCAAAGGAGUGUCUGUAAGCCCUAUUUGGCAACAUGUGUGGAUGCUUCGAAAAGAAGAGUAGUACCCAGACAGUUGGGAGAUAUUGAGUAGUAUGCGAGUCCGGAUGUAUUUCCGGCGGAGUUACCGGGACUGCCACCGGACCGGGAAGUUGAGUUUGUCAUUGACUUGAUUCCCGGGGCGGAACCAGUUUCGAAGGCGCCGUAUAGAAUGGCACCGGUGGAGUUAAAGGAGCUAAAAGGUCAACUACAAGACUUGCUCGAUAAGGGCUUUGUGAGGCCAAGUGUGUCACCGUGGGGAGCUCCGGUGCUAUUUGUGAAGAAAAAGGACGGUACACUUCGACUCUGCGUAGAUUAUCGCGAGUUGAACAAAGUAACGAUAAAGAACAAGUACCCGUUGUCGAGAAUUGACGAUCUAUUCGAUCAGUUGCAAGGGUCCAAGGUGUAUUCGAAAAUUGAUCUCCAAUCGGGAUAUCAUCAGUUAAAGAUCAGGCCGAAGGAUGUGCACAAGACGGCGUACCGUACGCGGUAUCGCCAUUAUGAGUUCACGGUAAUGCCGUUUGGGCUUACUAACGCCCCGGCAGCAUUUAUGGACUUGAUGAAUCGAGUCUUUAGGCCAUUGUUGGAUCGAUGCGUCGUGGUAUUUAUAGACGACGUGUUGGUUUAUUCGAAAAGUGAAGAGGAGCAUGAAGAGCAUCUGAGAGCGGUGUUGCAGAUACUCAGACAAGAGAAGCUCUAUGCAAAGUUAAAGAAAUGUGACUUUUGGCUAAAGGAGGUCACAUUCUUGGGUCAUGUGGUAUCGGGCGACGGAGUUUCGGUAGACCCGAAGAAAGUGGAGGCGAUCAAGGCGCGGCGGGCGGACCGCCGAACGGAUAGCACCUCUCCUGUCCGCCCAAGGCUCAACAACAGGAAUGUGUACAAGAAUUUACCCAGGAAUUUUCAACGAGGGCACAAACAGUGCCAACAACAAGAAGAGCAAGUAAUCCACAAGUAGAAACAAGUGAAAUAAAAAAGAGUACUUUACUAACUAUUACAAUAGUUUGCAUUUACAUCCUUUCUCAAAAUGAAUACAUUCAAUCCUCAAAAUACAUAGCUUUCCAACCUCACCUACAUGAAUUUCUCUCAAUACAUAGGUGUGCUAAUGCAAAAAGGAAAGCUACUAUACUACCACGGUCUCACUGGUCGGGAGCGAUGCCCUUGACGCGGUCCUCGCUCGGUAGACCUGUACCUACCACUGGAAAUAGAGUGGGGUAAGAACUAUCUUCCAUAGUUCCCAGUGGGCUCGGCCGCGGACUCCGCCGAUCUCCCCACUAGGUCCAAGUGGGCACAAGUAACAACAAAUAGAUAUAUAGAUAGAUAUCUAAAAGCUGUAAAGGCAUAAAAGAAUACUAUGCUACUAUGCCCAUAAUCAUGUAUAAUGAAUGCAUGCAUCAUAUAGUAAAGAUUUACUAUCAUGCUAACAAAUUCGAUCCAUGUUCGAAUGAUAAUGUUCCAUGACAUUGUUAACUGUUCAUUUACCCAAUCUGUGGCAAAGCCCUUGGGUUCGCCCUCGACUCACUUUGUCAUCCCAUUGGGUGGGGAGCUCCAUGUGCCCCCAGACCCAGGACCGUCUGCGGACCUCCAAGUGGUCCGGACCUCCCAAGUGGUCCAAAUCGCUCGACACUCCGGAGUACUCGACGACAAUCCCCUCCAUGUGGGGAUAUGGAUGGCUAUACCACCCCAAAAGCAGACUGUGAGCAUGAUCCAUCCCCUCCAUGUGGGGACAUCCUACCUCUAGGGCCAACAUCUCAAUAGACACUCGUCUAUAUCCUCUCCAUGUGAGGAUACCCUAUGAACUAGGGUCAACAUCUCUCGCGGAAUCAUCUGUUCCCGACAUUCAUGCAAUGCUAUUUAGCUUUUCUAAAUUCAUUGUUCACAAGGCAUUUUCUAAGGGAUCCACCUAUCCCUAGGUCCAUCGACCUCUAGUGUCAAAUACACUACAUUAAUGCCACUCGAUAUGUUCUUUAUCAUUUGAUGCCACUCGUUUGUUCUUUAGCAUUUAAACGCUACUUUCUAUGUCACCAAACACCCAUCGUGUUUCAUCUCUUUUCUUUAGCACUAGGAUUCAUGUUCCGACCCAAUCCUCACCUAUCCAAGUCACCAAGCAUUCCAUGUACACUAGGUUAUCAAUUAGAAAGCAUAAGAAAAAGUACUACAAUGCAAUCCUACAAUGCAAUAUGCAAGAGAUGCAAAUUAUGUAUUUCUAAGACAUAGAAAGGAGUCUGGUUGCUUCGGGAUGACACCCCCCACCUUUUGUAGUCGAUAAUUGCUGUGGAGGUCCUAGAAGUGUUCCUCGGCACUUCAAACCACUUGUUCUCCGCCUAUUUGGGAGAAACGAAGCUAGGUCGGUCCUACUUUGUCGAUAUCUCUACACCCACUCGACGAAUCGAAAUUCCGACUCCGCCAACGCGUUUGGACACCUAGCAAUUAGGUUUACAAGACCUCAAAUGAGAUCAAUCUCAUCUAUUUCUAAAAAUCCCAUUUUGGGUGCCCUAGGGUUAGCAUCAUGCCAUUUGCACCAUGAAACCUUAGCCUCUAGCUCUAAUCCACCAACAAUGGUGCUAGAAGUCCAUUUGACCUCAUCUCAAAAGCUCAAAACCCAAAACCCUAGAUUCUACAUGUUAGGGUUCAAGAGCUUACAUCUAGGUUAGCUCCAAAGGAAGAGGAGAUGAAGAUGGAGAUGUCCAAAGCCUUCUCUUUGGUCUCCUUCUUCUUCUCCUUCCCUUUCUUCUUCUUCUUCUUCCUCUUCUUCUCCUCUUUUUCCUUCUCCUUCUUUUCCUUUCUAGAGAGAGAGAGAGAGCAAAAGAGAGUGAGAGGGAGAGAGAAUGAGAGGCUAAGGGAGAGAGAGAGGGUCUACAUACCCCUCUAUUGUAACAAAAUCCAAUUUAGCCCCUCAACUUUUCAUCCAUUGCACGGCCUUCACUGGGCAGAAUUCGAGCGGAGGGACCGGUCUCCCCGACUUGGGACUGGUCCCCGAGAGCAGCCCAUGCUGCCAGGGGCCUUUCUCGCGUUCGGGAACCGGUCUCUCCCCGGGAAACCGGUCCUCGAGAGACCGGUCUUCGCCUGAGAGACCGGUCCCCGAGAGCUCGAUUUUCAAGACUUAGCUGAUUUUGGCCUUCUCUCGCUGGCGUCGCACACGGGGACCGGUCCCCUCAGCCAGGGACCGGUUGCAUCAAAGAUCCCCAGCAACCCCCAGCCUCAGGGACCAGUCUCUCCCUGCCAGGGACCGGUCCCCGAGAACAAUUUUAGCCCAGUGCAAGUUUGCACUAUAUGCUCUCGCAGACACGUUUCCAAUGCACUUUUUGUGUUUUGGAUAACCUUAGCUUUCCCGAAGGAUACUCACUCGACAAGUAGUCAAUCCAGGACGAAGUACAACUCUCGAAUUUCGAGAAUACGCUUCCUUACACUAGCCAUUCGAGUCCUUGCGGUGCAUAUUGGCUGCAGUAGGUUCAAUGUAGGAAUAGGAUGUGCACUUAUAUAGAAUCUAUCUUCCUUGGUAGAUAGGGGUGUUAGUCCUAUGUGAUUUAUGAGACCGAGUUUAGAAGACCUUGGCCAGAGCAGAGUUAAUAGCGCAAAAAGAGUUUCCGAUAUUAGAAACUUGAGUCGAAUAAAUUUGACAUAUGACAGACAAUAGGGUUUGACGAGUUAUUCCAUGACCUCCGUCUAGUCGGGACUCAUGAUAGAAGGAUUGUAUCAUACAGUAACUGCACCAAGAGGUUCAGUAUUCCAUUCUACUUAAAUGUCACUAUAUGCUACUAGGCGUCACUGGUGGAUUGUGAGACUUAUGAGAAUUAUUUAAAUGAUCGAUAAUUCUUAUUAGGCUGAGUUUGAAUUAUUCCGAUCCACUAAAAGGAGUUUCAGUAAUAUUGUUGAUAGUGAUCAAAAUAUAUCUCACUACCAUAUAGAAUAGAACGUAUGGGGUCACACACAUAAGAGGUUGUGAUUGAUCAGAUAGCUAGAUCGCAAUUUUUGAAUCGUCGGAGGACCUAAUUGUCAAUAUGUUGAUAAUUGGACUAAUUCGUAAUUAUUACAAAUUAGUGCUAUUAAAGUGUAAACGUUAUAAGAGAGGCCUUACUAAUAGUUAGUAAAUUAUAAGAGGACUUGUGCAAAUAUUGCAUUAUUAUUUUNCGAUGUCAUGAUAGGUCUCUACCUAUUCAUUCUUGCCACUCUCAAGGCCAUAUCCGUGAUGAUGCCAUAAUUUGGUUAAACUAGAUUUAACGGUUUAUCUCUCAAUGCCAAUCUUGUUUCUAUGUCAAUGUCACCCUUGUUUUCUAUUGUCCAAGUCCAACCUCACAUUCACACAACUUGAGGGUCCAAUCACACAUAUCCUUUUGGUUCUAUCAUCCACUAUGUUCAACUACGUUAGAAACAUAUAAAUGAAGUCAAACCAAGUUCCACAUGUAUCUACCCUGCUAUGCAUGAAUGGGUAUAUCUAUACAUAUAUGCUCAAGAGUAGAGAAAACAGACAUAGAAGGGAAUCCAACGAUUCCAGCGUGCACCCCCCACCUCUAAUAUCCGUGUGGGUGUAGAAUAUGAACGCUCCCGCACUUUAUGAAAGCCGAUUCCGCGCCCUACAUUCAAAACGGUGCCUUAUUAGGCCCUUUGUACAUGAACUAUACUCUAACAUUUUCGUAAUGUUAAAAGGAGUUGCCCAACGUGUUUAGGGCACCCCCAAUUAGGUUUUUACGGGGUCAAUUCGUCCCUAAAAAAUCCCAGGGCAAAAGCCUUAUUUCCAAGCCCUAACAAUGUCAUUUAGGGUUUCUCCAUGAAUCGAUCCCAACCCUAAGCAAACAAUAGCCUAGGAUCAUCUAAGAACAAUCCUAGUAAGAUUUCUAGACCCUUGGAACCAACCCUAGGGCUUCUAUGGCAAACCCUACCCAACCAUCAUGAGAGCACUUGAGCUCUCAUGGGUUCCAUAGAGUUCAAGGCAUAUAGAAGGCUCCCAUGGCCAAAAACAACCCAAAGCUCCAAAACAUAGGGAUUAAAACCAUGCCCUAGACUCAUUUAUACCCAAAAACUCACCUUAGCCCAAGCUCCUCCAAGUGCUUCUUGUAGGACAGCUUGUAGAACCCACCAAAGUCUCCAAAUCCACCUUCCCUUGCUUCUUCUUCUUCUUCUCCAAGCCCUAGAGCAAGAGUUCUAGAGAGAGAAAGAGAGGAAAUAAGAGAGAAGGGUGAAAAUGGCUGUGGGAGAGAGAGGGGUGUCAACAUAUAGUGUUGUGACAAUUACAUUUAAGCCUCUCAACUUGUUUCCCCUUGAUCUGCCCAGACUGGGCGUUUUUCGCCUUCGGGGACCGGUCUCCCCGACCAGGGACCGGUUCCCGAACGUGGGUGUUCCAGGACUUAGCCAAAUUUUCGGGUUUUUCGGCUGUUACGCAGCGAGGGACCGGUCUGCCCCUUCAGGGACCGGUCUCACCACCAGGGACCGGUUGCCUCAGGACUUCCUGGCAGGCUACGCGUAUGGGGACCGGUCUCUCCUUGAGGGACCGGUCCCCGAGAGCACAAAAUCUGGGACUUAGCCAGAUUUCCAGAUUACUCUCUCGGGUCCCUUUUAGCCUCACUUAUGGACUCUAAUGUGCUUAAGGUCCACUCAAACUCGUUCAUCUCCGCGGUCCGCUCGUUUCGCGGGAACUUGGCACGAUUUAUGAGGGAUGUGGUAUGUUACAUUCUCCACCCCUUAAUUUAGUUUCGUCCGCGAAACUUCUAAGGUUGAAAUUUAAAUUUCAUACCUCACUUCGGAUCCUCGAAGAGGUGAGGAUAACGCUCCCUCAUUUCGCUUUCGAGCUCCCACGUUUCUUCCCGGUCAUCAUGUUCGCACCAAUGAAUCUUGACAUAUGGGAUUUCGCGGUUCCGAAGCUUUCGCACCUCCCGAUCGACAAUAUAUGCCAGGAACUCCUCAUAAGUCAUAUCCUCUUGAAGUUCUAUCGGUAUGUACGAGAGAAUAUGAUCCGGGUCGUACACAUACUUGCGGAGUUGAGAUACAUAGAAUACAUCAUGUACUCUCGCCAGCCUCGGUGGUAAUGCCAACUUGUAGGCCACCGCUCCAACUCGUUCCAAAAUCUCGAAGGGUCCGAUAUAGCGGGGGCUCAAUUUCCCGCGAACACCGAACCGCUUAACUCCUCGCAUCGGCGAUACUUUUAGAAAUACGCGGUCUCCUACCGCGAACUCAAUAUCCUUUCGCCGCUUGUCGGCAUAACUUUUGUGCCUUGAUUGCGCCGUUACUAACCUUUGUCGGGCAAGGCGGACCUUCUCUUCCGCCUCCCGCACCACAUCCGGGCCAAGAACCAUUUUCUCGCCCACAUCGCUCCGGUGUAUCGACGAGCCACACUUCCUUCCAUACAGGGCCUCGAAUGGCGCCAUCGCAAUACUUUCCUGAUAACUAUUGUUAUAUGCGAAUUCCGCCAUCGGUAAAUGAUCGUGCCAUCCGCCCUUAUAAUCAAGUACACACGCUCGAAGCAUGUCCUCAAGUAUUUGAAUCGUCCUCUCCGAUUGACUGUUACUUUGAGGAUGGAAUGCCGUACUAAAGUCGAGCCUCGUGCCUAGUGCCUCUUGUAAGCUUUUCUAGAAAUGAGAUGUGAACCUAGGGUCCUGAUCCGAUACAAUAGAUACGGAACCCCAUGAAGUCUCACCACCUCGUCGAUAUAGACUUGAGCUAACUUAUCGCCCGACCAAGUAGUGUGGAACGGCAAAAAGUGUGCCGAUUUUGUCAACCAGUCCACAACUACCCAUAUCGCGUCAUGUCCACCUUGUGACUUAGGCAGCCCCGUCACAAAGUCCAUUGCAAUGUUUUCCCAUUUCCACACGGGUAUAGGUAGACUCUGCAAUUUUUUCGCUGAAAAUCGACGCUCCGCCUUCACUUGUUGGCACGUGAGGCAUUGCGCCACGAACUCCCCUAUAUCCCUCUUCAUACCCGGCCACCAAUAAUGCAAUUUCAAAUCUUGAUACAUUUUGGUACCGCCCGGGUGGAUGCUAUAGGGAGAUUGAUGCACUUCUUGCAUAAUCGCCCUCCGAAGAUCGUCGUCCUUGGGCACGCACCAACGACCUCGAUAUCGUAGUGCGCCGUCAGUUCCAAUGCCACAAUCAUCGGCACUACCACUUUCAAAUUUGCCCCGCACCUUUUGGAGAAACUCAUCCGAUGCUUGUAAUUCUUUAAUUUUCUCCAACAAGGUUGGUUGCACAAUUAAGGUGGCAAGUGUUGCCGGCACUCCCGGCGCCACAACUUCUAGUCCCAACCGUUGCAUCUCCUUCUGCAAUGCCGGUUGAGGCAUAAUUUCCGCCGCCAAAUUUUCCGCCGAUUUUCUACUUAGAGCAUCGGCCACGACGUUCGCUUUUCCGGGGUGGUAGAGAAUCGUGACAUCAUAAUCUUUAAGCAACUCUAACCACCGCCGCUGUCGCAAGUUCAGCUCCUUCUGGGUGAACAAAUAUUUGAGACUCUUAUGAUCGGUGUAGAUCUCACAAUGUUCCCCAUACAGGUAAUGACUCCACAGUUUUAGCGCGAAAAUAAUUGCCGCUAGCUCAAGAUCGUGAGUCGGGUAGUUCUUUUCAUAACUCUUCAAUUGGCGCGAAGCAUAAGCUAUGACUCGGCCGUUUUGCAUUAAGACACACCCGAGACCGAUGUAUGAGGCAUCAUUGUAUACGACAUAGUUUUCUCCCGACGUCGGCAAGGCGAGCACCGGAGUAGACGUCAGUCUAGUCUUUAGCUCCUCAAAGCUCCACUCACACUCGGGGCUCCACACAAACUUCACCUCUUUGUGCGUAAGGCGCGUUAGUGGAGUUGUUAUCUUAGCAAUCCCUUUCAUGAACCGCCGGUAAUAGCCCGCAAGUCCAAGGAAGCUACGAAUUUUCGCUACACUUGUCGGGCGAGGCCAAUCCUUAAUCGCCUCAACUUUCUUUGGGUCCACCGAGAUGCCAUCUCCGGACACAACGUGGCCCAAAAAGGUGACCUCUGAAAGCCAAAACUCGCAUUUCUUUAGUUUUGCGUAAAGCUUUUCCUUCCGGAGUAUCUCCAACACGAGUCUUAGAUGCUCCUCGUGUUCUUCCUCGGUCCGAGAAUAUACCAAUACGUCGUCAAUGAAAACCACGACGCACCGGUCCAAUAGCGGACGGAAGAUCUGAUUCAUUAAGUCCAUAAAUGCCGUCGGUGCAUUAGUGAGCCCGAAUGGCAUGACCGUGAACUCAUAGUGGCGGUACCGCGUACGGUAUGCCGUCUUGUGCACAUCUUUGGGACGUAUCUUCAAUUGAUGAUACCCUGACUGCAGAUCAAUCUUUGAAUAUACCCUUGACCCCUGCAAUUGGUCGAACAGGUCAUCAAUUCUUGGCAACAGGUAUUUGUUCUUGAUCGUCACUCUAUUCAACUCGCGGUAAUCAACGCAGAGCCGGAGUGUUCCGUCCUUCUUCUUUACAAAUAGCACGGGAGCUCCCCACGGGGACACGCUCGGCCGCACGAAGCCCUUAUCGAGCAAAUCCUGUAACUGAGCUUUCAACUCUUUUAGCUCCAUCGGUGCCAUUCUGUACGGAGCCUUCGAAAUUGGCGCCGCCCCGGGAAUCAAGUCGAUAACAAACUCGACUUCUCGAUCCGGGGGUAGUCCCGGUAACUCCGCUGGGAAUACAUCCGGAUACUCCCACACAACUCGAAUACUCUCCAGUUCCGGGUAUUCUUUUCGAGGGUCUACGAUGGUCGCCAAGUAGGCCUUACAACCACCUUUAAUCAUCCUUUUUGCCCUCACCGUCGAUAUAGUUGCUGCGAAGCGUUUGCCCUUGCACGCCCGAUAGACAAACUCCUCUUGGUUGGGUUCACGGAACGUGAUCACCCUUCUUUCACAAUCUAUAACCGCGUAGUACUUGGAGAGCCAGUUGAUCCCCAAGAUUACUUCGAAUCCCCACAUUUCUUUCAACACGAGGAGGUCGAUCGACAUAACCCAAUCACCUAUUUGCACUGGGCAGUCCAAGCACUCAUCAUAGACGUCGAUCGAGUGCUCAGGAGUGUUCACCGACCAAUACUCCUUAUUAUGAGUGAUCUCUAUAUUAUGAGCUCGUGCAAAUGAUGCUAAUAUGAAUGAAUGAGAUGCACCCGUAUCAAAUAUGGCUCUAGCCCUAGUGCCUCUAAUCAGAAUAAUACCUGCCACGACGUCGUCGGGAACGAUGAUGGGUGGCUCCUCCACCUGAGUGGCAAAAACCCGCCUACUAGGUGCUCGAGAAGCCUCCGGCUGACGUGGCGCCGACGAUCGUCCAGCAGAUGUUGCGAGUGGCAGUCCCGCCAGCUAUCGCUGCGUGUACUGUACUGAGGCUGAUGACGGGGCUGGGAACGCGCCGCCCGAGCACUCUCGACUCAUGUGCCCUGGUUGGCCACAUCGAUAACACCGCCUCUCCCGCUGUGGGCAACUGGUGGCUCUAUGCUCCCCGCCGCAUAUCACACACGGGUAGUUAAUCUGGCCUCGUGUCUGACUCAUACCUCCCUGCCAUUGCGAUCGUUGUGGUCGCGGGGGUCACUUAGAACUCGACUGCCCCGCCGAUCCACCAGCCGACCGUUUUUUUGACUUAUCUCUUUCCCUUUCUCUCUCAAAGGUCUCGCGCUCAUCACGCGCGAUUGCAUUCCCGCGCUCCACCCAAAGCGCGCGAUCAAGCACUUCCUCGUAGGUAUUCAACCGGAAAGCAUGUAUGACCUUAAAAAUCUCGGGUCGCAACCCGCGCUCGAAUACUUCCGCUCGGUCCCUAUCUCCAUGGACCAAGUCCGGCACAUAGUUAAUAAUGUGCGUGAACUCCCUCUCGUACUUCCGCACUGAACGGCUUCCUUGCCUCAGCUUCCUGAAAUCCUCCUUGAUUUUUCUUUUGUCGCUUUCGGGGAAAUACUCCAUCAGCAGCAUCUCCCGGAACGCUUCCCAAGUAAGGAAAGGGUGCCCUAGCGAGCGAUUUUUUCUCGCUUGGUUCCACCACAACCGGACCGACCCAUCGAAGCAAUGAGCCGCUAGGUGAACUUUAUCCUUCUCAAGGGUAUAGAUAUCCUCGAAUAAGGCCUCCAUCGCGGCUAACCAAUUCUCCAUCGUCCACGGAUCCUUCACGUUACCGUUGAAGGUUGGAGGGUUAAACUACUUAAAUGACGUCAGCGCCGCCAACGUGCGCUCCUGCUCGGCCUCAAGUACAUCGAAAAUUGGAGCCGAUGAACCCGAUGCCGUCGGAGGAAUAGCCGUCACUGGCGCUGCCGCCACCGCAGGAGGUGGUGCUACAGGAGCAGCUGGUGCAGGCGGAUACCUCGGCACAGAUGCCGCCACUGCCUGUUGCGCCAUCAUUUCAUGGAGCUGCCCAAUCCGCUCUCCUUGAAGCCGCAUAGCCCCGGCCAACGCUGCUACCUGGGCUCGCAGCUCACGCACGUCAUCCGACCCCGACUGCCCGGGCUCCUCCCGAGGCUCCGCCGGUGUGGACCUCGUAACUCUCCUUGGUAGUGCCAUCGCGUCCUGAAACGCAAUGUAUACACACACAUUAGUACUCGAAGCACGUGAUUCUUACACGUUACAAACAACUACCCAAUUAAGCGAAAGCACAAGCCUAAUUAUUUCCACUCCCGGUGUUAUGUGGUCGGCCGCCCCACAGAGUCCCUUAAGUAGACAACAAUUAAGCCUUCUAAUCCAUCUCUACUUCCUUCUAGAGAAGUGUUAUAGUUAACCCAAUCAUUCGCUUUCGCAUAAACCAAGUCCACGUCAAGCGUUUUCUUAAGUCCUUAGAGUCUCCAAACCUAUGGUUUCUAGGUCACUCCUAGACUUUUGCUUUCCACUUCGCUCUGAUACCAUUAUAUCUGUCACGGCCCAAUCCCCGCCAAUUUGGUCAGGUUUGGGGCACGUCGACAGACGCCGAGCGGACAGAGCCUCCCCUGUCCGCCCAAGGCUCUAAGAACAAGUAUAAAUAGGCAAUCAACAAGCGAUUUGCAUAUGUAAUACAAGGCUUGCACGAGGGUAAGCAACAACGGAAACGAGAGCUCUAAACUAAUAUACUACAUACAUGAUACUUGAUUUCAUUUGAACCAAAUAUAAGUAAAUAAAACUAUUACAUUUCCAUUCAACCAUCAAAUCUUUUACAUUUAGUCAUCCACCCAACACAUGCUUGUUUACAUCUUUACAUCUCACUAAUUCAACAAAAUAAAGUUGAUACGUAUACACCAAAAGGGGAAUGACUACAAAAUGCAUAAUGUCCCGGUGGCCGCUAUCUAUGGCGCUAUACCCUUGCCUCGGUCCUCCGCCGCCCCGCUCGUGCUAGGGCCUGUAGGGUUAGUGGUGUGAGAACUACAACAAAGUUUCCAGUGGGCUUGGCAUCCGACCUCGCCGACUUACCCACUAGGUCUAUCCAGGCAUAAGUAUUUCAAAGGAGGAAAAGUAACCACCACUAAUUCAACUAGUAUUAUGCCUGCAAGAAAGAAGUCAGUAGAUAUAUAAUUUCAAUGCGAUAAUGGAAAUGCAUGCAUGCUCCAAUCAUAAUCAAGCUUUGGCUCUUACCCAAUCUUACCGGUUAACUCUGUUAACCCCAAUAACUCACAACCCAAAAUUCCUUAAUAACAGGGGACUCGAACCUCCCUAGGGACCGUCAACUGGUGGGACUUUACCUCGCCCAGUGGUGACCAACUCCGGAGCGCACCGCUCGAGGAGGAGCGACCUCCCUCAAGCCAAGACGUAAUGUGAGCAUCGAUCUAAUCCCCAACUUGAGGAUUCAUAACCACUGGUCACAAUGCCGAUGUCAUGAUAGGUCUCUACCUAUUCAUUCUUGCCACUCUCAAGGCCAUAUCCGUGAUGAUGCCAUAAUUUGGUUAAACUAGAUUUAACGGUUUAUCUCUCAAUACCAAUCUUGUUUUUAUGUCAAUAUCACCCUUGUUUUCUAUUGUCCAAGUCCAACCUCACAUUCACACAACUUGAGGGUCCAAUCACACAUGUCUUUUUGGUUCUAUCGUCCACUAUGUUCAACUACGUUAGAAAUAUAUAAAUGAAGUCAAAUCAAGUUCCACAUGUAUCUACCCUACUAUGCAUGAAUGGGUAUAUCUAUACAUAUAUGCUCAAGAGUAGAGAAAACAGACAUAGAAGAGAAUCCAACGAUUCCGGCGUGCACUCCCCACCUCUAAUAUCCGUGUGGGUGUAGAAUAUGAAGGCUCCCGCACUUUACGAAAGCCGAUUCCGCGCCCUACAUUCAAAACGGUGCCUUAUUAGGCCCUUUGUACAUGAACUAUACUCUAACAUUUUCGUAAUGUUAAACGGAGUUGCCCAACGUGUUUAGGGCACCCCCAAUUAGGUUUUUACGGGGUCAAUUCGUCCCCAAAAAAUCCCAGGGCAAAAGCCUCAAUUUCCAAGCCCUAACAAUGUCAUUUAGGGUUUCUCCAUGAAUCGAUCCCAACCCUAAGCAAACAAAUAGCCUAGGAUCAUCUAAGAAGCAUCAUAGUAAGGUUUCUAGACCCUUGGAACCAACCCUAGGGCUUCUAUAGCAAACCCUGCCCAACCACCAUGAGAGCACUUGAGCUCUCAUGGGUUCCACAGAGUUCAAGGCAUAUAGAAGGCUCCCAUGGCCAAAAACAACCCAAAGCUCCAAAACAUAGGGAUUAAAACCAUGCCCUAGACUCAUUUAUACCCAAAAACUCACCUUAGCCCAAGCUCCUCCAAGUGCUUCUUGUAGGAGAGCUUGUAGAACCCACCAAAGCCUCCAAAUCCACCUUCCCUUGCUUCUUCUUCUUCUUCUCCAAGCCCUAGAGCAAGAGUUCUAGAGAGAGAAAGAGAGGAAAUAGGAGAGAAGGGUGAAAAUGACUGUGGGAGAGAGAGGGGUGUCCACAUAUAGUGUUGUGACAAUUGCAUUUAAGCCCCUCAACUUGUUUCCCCUUGAUCUGCCCAGACUGGGCGUUUUUCGCCUUCGGGGACCGGUCUCCCCGACCAGGGACCGGUUCCCGAACGUGGGUGUUCCAGGACUUAGCCAAGUUUUCGGGUUUUUCUGCUGUUACGCAGCGAGGGACCGGUCUGCCCCUUCAGGGACCGGUCUCCCGAGGACCGGUCUCACCACCAAGGACCGGUUGCCUCAGGACUUCCUGGCAGGCUACACGUACGGGGACCGGUCUCUCCUUGAGGGACCGGUCCCCGAGAGCACAAAAUCUGGGACUUAGCCAGAUUUCCAGAUUACUCUCUCGGGUCCCUUUUAGCCUCACUUAUGGACUCUAAUGUGCUUAGGGUCCACUCAAACUCGUUCAUCUCCACGGUCCGCUCAUUUCGAGGGAACUCGGCAUGAUUUACGAGGGAUGUGGUAUGUUACACUAUAUGCUCUCGCGGACUCAACUCCAAUGCACUUUUUGUGUUUUGGAUAAAUUUAGCUUUCCCAAAGGAUACUCACUCGACAAUUAGUCGAUCCUGGAUGAAGUACAACUCUCGGAUUUCGAGAAUUCACUUCCUUACAUCCUUCCCUCCUUAAAAAGAGUUUCGUCCUCGAAACUAACUCGAUUCUUUACUUUAACUUAAAUUUUUACCUCACUCCUCGAACAAAUGAGGGUGGUGCUUCCUCAUUAAAUCCUCGAGUUCCGAGGUGGCCUAGCGAUCAUCAUGAUUGCUCCACUGAACCUUCACGUAGGGAAUUUCUCGAUUCCUCAACUUACGCACCUCUCGUGCGAUAAUCAUCACCGGAAACUCUUCAUAGCUCAAGUCCUCUUGAAGCUCCGAUAGCUCAUAUAGCAUUGCAUGCUCGGGGUCGUGAAUAUACUUGCGGAGAUUGGAGACAUGGAACACAUUGUAUACAUCCGCGAGCUUCGGCGGCAAGACGAGUCGAUAAGCCACCGUGCCAACUUGCUCCAAUAUUUCAUAGGGUCCAAUGUAUCGGGGACUCAAUUUUCUCCGCACUCCAAACCGCUUCACACCCCGCAUCGGUGAAACCUUCAAGAAUACGGGGUCGCCCACCACGAACUCUAUAUCUCGUCGGCGCCUAUCUGCAUAGCUUUGCUGUCUCGACUGCGCCGUGAGCAAUCUCUUGCGAGCAAGGUGGACUUUCUUCUCCGCUUCUCGCAGAAUAUCGGGGCCGAACUCUGCACACUAACCCACAUCGCUCCAGUGUAUAGGAGAUCGACACGUCCGCCCAUAGAGAGCCUCGAACGGUGCCAUCUCCACACUAGCAUGAUAACUGUUGUUGUAGGCGAACUCAGCCAUAGGUAGGUGAUCACACCAACUUCCCUUAUAGUCGAUGACACACGCUCGCAACAUGUCCUCCAGAGUUUGAAUGGUUCUCUCUGUUUGCCCAUCAGUCUGAGGAUGAAAUGCGGUGCUAAAGUCGAGUCGUGUGCAAAGGGCAUCCUGCAGGCUUUUUCAGAAGUGUGAAGUGAACCGGGGGUCACGAUCUGACACGAUCGAUUUCGACACCCCAUGCAGUCUCACUAUCUCGUCGAGGUAUGCCUGCGCUAACUUGUCACCCGACCACGUGGUGUGGAUCGGCAAGGAGUGAGCCGACUUCGUCAAUCGGUCCACAAUUACCCAAAUUGCAUCAUGGCCGCCCGUUGAGCGAGGCAAGCCGACCACGAAGUCCAUCGAUAUAUCCUCCCAUUUCCAAACGGGGAUUGGUAGGCUUUGAAGCUUUCCCACUGGGAAUUGACGCUCUGCUUUCACUUGUUGGCAUGUUAAGCACUUCGCCACAAAGCGUCCAAUAUCACUCUUCAUUCCCGGCCACCAGUAGUGCAUUUUUAGUCCUUGAUACAUCUUGGUGCUGCCCGGGUGAUCAGCAUAUGGAGACCGAUGCGCUUCUUGUAGAAUUAGCUCGCGAAGCUCUCCAUCUUUUGGCACACACCAUCGGUUUUGAAACCGGAGUAAACCACUGGUGUCUAAAUUGAAAUCGCCGCCUCGACCUUCCUCGAUGUUUUGCCGCACCUUUUGGAGUUCUGGGUCUGUGGGUUGUAGAUCUUUGAUCCUCUGCAACAAGGUCGGUUGAAUAACGAGCGCCAUUAACUGGGCCGGAACCUUGGGAGCGACCACCUCAAGGUUCAUCCGCUCCAUGUCUAACCACAAGGGUGAUUAAUUUGUAACCCACAUCGAGAGGUUCUCCGCCGACUUUCUGCUCAAUGCAUCAGCGACCACAUUGGCUUUCCCGGGGUGGUAGAAGAUAUCGACGUCAUAGUCCUUUAACAAUUCUAACCACCGCCGCUGUCGCAUAUUGAGCUCCUUCUGUGUGAACAUAUAUUUUAAACUCUUGUGGUCCGUGUAAAUCUCACAAUGGGCACCAUACAAGUAGUGCCACCACAGCUUCAAGGCAAAGAUUACCGCUGCUAGCUCCAAAUCGUGGAUGGGGUAGUUCUUCUCAUAGCUCUUCAGCUGAUGGGAUGCAUAAGCAAUCACCUUCCCGUUUUGCGUCAAAACAUACCCCAGUCCUAGAUAGGAGGCAUCGCUGUAGACUACGAAGUCUUCGCCUUGUACCGGUAGAGCGAGCACCGGAGUCGAAGUUAAUUUUUGCUUCAACUCUUUAAAACUCCGGUCGCACUCUUCGCUCCACACGAACCUAGUGCCCUUCUGAGUUAGGCGGGUAAGUGGAAUCACUAUCUUGGAAAAGCCUUCCACAAACCGCCUAUAAUAGCCCGCCAAGCCCACGAAGCUUCGAACCUCCAUGACAUUCGUCGGGCGCGGCCAAUCCUUGAUUGCCUCAACUUUCCUCGGGUCUACAAAAACUCCACCUGCGGAAAUCACAUGCCUUAUAAAUGGGACUUCACGGAGCCAGAAAUCACACUUCUUUAACUUAGCAUACAGCUUCUCCUCCCGAAGGGUUUGAAGCACUAUCCUCAAAUGCUCGGCAUAUUCCUCGUCACUACGAGAAUAGACCAACCACGACAAAUUGAUCUAAAAACUUCCUGAAGACAUGGUUCAUCAAGUCCAUAAAUGCCGCUGGAGCGUUCGUGAGUCCAAAUGGCAUGACCGUGAAUUCAUAGUGCCCAUACCGCGUACGAAACGCAGUUUUCUGCAUAUCCUCCGGCUUGAUCUUCAACUGGUGAUAGCCGGACUGCAAAUCUAUCUUCGAGUACACACACGACCCCUGCAACUGAUCGAACAGGUCAUCGAUUUGGGGUAGUGGGUACUUGUUCUUGAUCGUGACUCUGUUAAAUUCUCGAUAGUCCACACAGAGUCGAAACGAUCCGUCCUUCUUCCGUACAAACAACACUGGGGCUCUCCACGGUGAUACACUUGACCGGAUAAACUGUUUGUCGAGAAGGUCUUGCAAUUGACUCCUCAACUCCUUCAGUUCCGCCAGCGCCAUUCGGUACGGAGCCUUCGAGAUCGGUGCGAUACCGGGAACCAAGUCUAUGACGAACUCGAUCUCCCGAUCCGGUGAUAUCCCCGGUAAUUCCGCAGGAAAUACAUCCGGGAACUCUCGCACCGCCGAUAACUCCUGUAAUGUUGGAGCUACUCGUUCCACUUCCACAACAGUCGCUAAGAAUGCCGUGCAACCACUGUUAACCAACUUCCUUGCUCUCGUCGCCGACACCGUCGCGACGAAGCACGAGCUCUGACAAGCCCGAUAUGUGAACUCCUUUUGUCCUGGCUCACGAAAUGUAAUUACUCUGCUCUUGCAGUCGAUCGUUGCAUGAUAUUUCGAGAGUUAGUCCAUGCCCAAAAUGAUGUCAUAAGCCUCGAGCUUCUUGAGUUCUGGCGUUCGAAUAGGCAUUAUCCAGUCACCCACUUGUACUGGACGCGACGCACACUCCGAGUAAGUGUUAAACGUCGACCCAGGGCCCUCAACUCGCCACUUGUCAGUCGCCUCUAUGAGUAUGCCAUGCAUGCGUGUGAAUGAUCUACUUAUGAAUGAAUGCGUGGCUCAUGUAUCAAAUAAAGCCCUGGAGCGAACUCCGUUAAUUAAAACCAUACCUGCCACAAGGCGAUGCUCCUCCGCCUCCGCAGGCUCCUCGGCUUGAACCUGAGCGGCGAAUACCCGACCGCUCGGAGUUGAUCGCGUCACCUCGGGUUGACGCGGCAUCACCGCGCGUCCCGUCGACGCGGCCGCCGGUGGAGCUCCUCCAUAGUGAGCCGGAAUCGCCGACGCCAAUGCAAUCGAUGGGGCAGGUGAGGCUCCUCCUCCCGGGCAGUCCUGAAUGAAGUGCCCCGGUUGCCCACACUUGUAGCACUUGCCUCGGCCCUGCUCACGUCACGAGACUGGGUGGUCUCCGCCGCAUAUGAUACACCGUCGCGCUCCACCGCCCUUUGGCUGAGUCCGUGGAUACUUCGGGGGCUUCUUGGAACGUGUUUGUCCCCCCGAACCGCCGCCGCCUUGGCGUUUCUUGCCCUUGUCCUUGGACUCGGCCAACAUCUCACGCUUCUCUCGGACAUGGGCGUCUCCGUGCUCCACCGAAAGUGCUCAGUCGAAGACCUCCGCAAAGGUCGUGAGCUUGAGUAUCUGCACAGCCUUAUAAAUCCCCGGCCGAAGUCCUCGCAAGAACCAAUCGGCCCGGUCCCGGUCAUCCUUCACUACGUCCGGAACACAAUCAAUGAUGUGGGAGAACUCUUGUUCAUAUUCCGCCACAGAGCGGUCCCCUUGCUCCAACUUGCGAAACUUCUCCUUGAGCUUCAGCUUCAGCGUAUCGGGGAAGUAGUUGGCGAACAUCUCCCGCUUGAAUUCCUCCCACAGCAUUGGCAGGAGAUCGGAAGACCGAUCUCGCUUCACGCGCUUCUACCAUACCUUUGCCGCUUUCUCCAAACAGUGGGUGGCAAGGUACACCUUAUCCCUCUCCAAGGUGCGCAAGUCCUCAAAGAAAGUCUCCAUCGAAUCGAUCCAAGACUCGACCAUCGCCGGCUCCAUCUUCUCGCCCUAAAAGGUAGGCGGAUGGAACUUGUUGAACAUAAUAAGAGCCGCCAAUGCGCGCUCUCCUUCCACAUCUUCGGCCGUCACAUCGGGUGUAGCCGAUCCCGACGCCGCCUAUGGUACGAUCGCUGGCGGUGGGCGUGCCGUCACCGGAACAGCCGCUAUGCCCUCACCCUCUGCCGCUCCGGGUACAUGAGUCGAGGGUGCGGGUGGACCACCGCCCUCGUUCACCGUCGCAGCCGCCACCGCAACCUGCCGCUCCAAAAGAUCCUAGAGCCGCUCGAAUCAGGUCUCCUAGCGCUGCACCACAUUGGUCAACGCGGUCACUUGCGCCCGCAACUGUUCCAUCUCGCUCGGUUCAGCCUGCUCGGGCACCUCGGGAAGCGGUGCCGGAGUAGACCUUGUGCUCGGGCAUCCACUUGGAGCCAUUGGCUCCUGAAACGCAAGUACUUGGUUAAUUAUCUUAACCCGUUCGCCUCGUCGCAAUUACGACACACAACGACUCAACAACGAAAUCGGGCGGAAGCACACAAGUGUACUCGUUCUAGACUCUUGGUAUCAUGUUAUCGGCCGCCGACACAACCACCUCAAGACAAAAACUCAUGCCACUUAAAUCCGUCUCUAAUCACAACUAGAGACAUAUUACCAACUUCGACCCAAUCGAAUCAACUUCCGACAUCGCUAUAGGUUCACGUUCCGCUCACGCACUUAUAACCUUAGGGCUUACCAACCUAGGGUCUCCUAGGUCAUCCUAGACUUUCUCUCUUUACUUGCUCUUAUUACUGUGAUACCAUAUGACUGUCACGCCCCGCCCCGAAACUACUACCAAUUUGGUACGAUUCGGGCGCGCCGGGCAGACCGCAGAAUGGACAGCGCCUCCCCUGUCCGCCCAAGGCUCAACAACAGGUAUGUGUACAAGAAUUUAUCCAGAAAAUUUAAAUUCUAAACAUACACAUUCAACGGGGCACAAGUAGUGCCAAUAACUAAGAGCAAGUAAUCCACAAGUGAAAACAAGUGAAAUAAAGAGAAUACUUUACUAACUAUUGCAAUAGUUUUGCAUCUUUUUACAUGUACAUCUUUUCCUCAAAAUGAAUUCAUAUGUUCAUUCAAAAUACAUAGCUCUCCAAAUCCUCACCUACAUGAAUCUCUCUCAAUACAUAGGUGUGCUAAUGCAAAAAGGAAAGCUACUAUACUACCACGGUCUCACUGAUUGGGCGCGAUGCCCUUGUCACGGUCCUCUCUCGGUAAAUCUGUACCUACCACUGGAAAUAGAGUGGGGUGAGAACUAUCUUCCAUAGUUUCUAGUGGGCUCGGCCGCCGACUCCGCCGGUCUCCCCACUAGGUCCAAGUGGGCACAAGUAACAACAGAUAGAUAGAUAGAUAGAUAUCUGAAAACUGUAAAGGCAUAAAGAAAAACUAUGCUACUAUGCCUAUAAUCAUAUAUAAUGAAUGUAUGCAUCAUAUAGUAAAGGUUUACUAUCAUGCUAACAAAUUUGAUCCAUGUUCGAAUAUUAAUGUUCAAUGACAUUGUUAACUGUUCAUUUACCGAAUCUGUGGCGAAGCCCUUGGGUUCGCCUUUGACUCACCUUGCCAUCCCAUUAGGUGGGGAGCUCCAUGUUCUCCCAGACCCGGGACCGUCUGCGGACCUCCAAGUGGUCCGGACCUCCAAGUGUUCCAAAUCACCCGACACUUCGGAGUGCUCGACGACAAUCCUCUCCAUGUGAGGAUAUGGAUGGCUAUACCACCCCAAAGCAGACCGUGAGCAUGAUCUAUCCCCUCCAUGUAGGGACACCCAAUCUCUAGGGCCAAUAUCUCAAUAGACACUCGUCUAUAUCCUCUCCAUGUGAGGAUACCCUAUGAACUAGGGUCAACAUCUCUCGUGGAAUCAUCUGUUCCCGACAUUCAUGUAAUGUUGUUUAGCUUUUCUAAAUCAUUGUUCACAAGGCAUUUUCUAAGGGAUCCACCUAUCCCUAGGUCCAUCGACCUCUAGUGUCAAAUAACACUACAUUAAUGCCACUCGAUAUGUUCUUUAACAUUUGAUGUCAUUCGUUUGUUCUUUAGCAUUUAAAUGCUACUUUCUAUGUCACCAAACACCCAUCGUGUUUCAUCUCUUUUUUUCAGCAUUAUAGGAUUCAUGUUUCGACCCAAUCCUCACCUAUCCAAGUCACCAAGCGUUCCAAGUACACUAGGUUGUUAAUUAGAAAGCAUAAGGAAUGGUACUACUAUGCAAUCCUACAAUGCUACAUGCAAGAGAUGCAAUCAUAUGCUAUUCUAAGACAUAGAAAAGAGCCCAGUUGCUUCGGGAUGACACCCCCCACCUUGUGUAGACGAUGUUCGUUGUGGAGGUUCCAGAAGUAUUCCUCGGCGCUUUAAACCAUGUGUUCCCCGCCUCUUUGGGAGAAACAAAGCUAGGUCGACCCUACUUUGCCGAUAGCUCUACACCCGCUCAACGAAUCGUAAUUCCGACUUCGCCAACGCGUUUGGACACCUAGCAAUUAGGUUUACAAGGCCUCAAAUGAGAUCAAUCUCAUCUAUUUCCAAAAAUUCUAUUUUGGGUGCCCUAGGGUUAGCAUCAUGCCAUUUGCACCAUGAAACCCUAGCCUCUAGCUCUAAUCCACCAACAAUGGUGCUAGAAGUCCAUUUGGCCUCAUCUCAAAGCUCAAAACCCAAGAACCAUAAGUUCUACAAGCUAGGGUUUGUAGCUUACCUCUUGAGCUACACCAAUGGAGAGGAGAGAAAGAGAGGAAUGCUCCAAGCCUUCUCUAGCUUGAUCUCCUCCUUCUUCUUCUUCUUCUUCUCCUCCUUCUUCUUCUUCUUCUCUUCCUUCUUCUCCUUCUCUUUUGUUCUUUCUUUCCUAGAGAGAUAGAGGGAGCAAGAGAGAGUGUAAGAGAAAGAGAGAAUGAGAGGCUGAGGGAGAGAGAAAGGGCCUACAUACCCCUCUAUUGUAACAAAAUCCAUUUUAGCCCCUCAACAUUUCACCCUGUACACAGCCCUCACUGGGCAUUCUGCGCCCAGAGGGACCGGCCCCUCGUCGGGGAGACCGGUCCCCGAGAGCAGUCCUGGCGGCCAGAAGGCCUCUUCACGUUCGAGAAUCGGUCUCUCCCUGGGAGACCGGUCCUCGGGAGGCCGGUCCUCGCCUGAGAGACCGGUCCCCGAAAGCUCGAUUUUCAGGACUUAGCCGAUUUUGGCCUUCUCUCGCUGGCGUCGCACACGGGGACUGGUCCCCUCAACCAGGGACCGGUUGCAUCAAAGAUCCCCAGCAACUACCAGCCUCAGGGACCGGUCUCUCCUUGCCAGGGACCGGUCCCCGAGAGCAACUUCAGCCCAGUGCAGGUUUUGCACUAUAUGCUCUCGCGGACUCAACUCCAAUGCAUUUUUUGUGUUUUGGAUAACUUUAGUUUUUUCGAAGAAUACUCACUCGACAAUUAGUCGAUCCUGGAUGAAGUAUAACUCUCGGAUUUCGAGAAUUCACUUCCUUACAUAGCCAUUCCAUGCCCAAAACUACAUUGAAAUCCCCCAGUUUGCGCAAAGCUAGCAAAUCCACAGGCAUAAUCCAGUCUCCUACCCGAACAGGGCAAUUGGGGCAAAACUCUCGAAUAUCCAAAGUGUGGUCGGGUACUACAACCUGUCCCGGAUGCAAUAAAGAAACCAACGGAAUGCCAUGCAACUUGGCAAACAGCCAAUCUAUAAAUGAAUGCGAUGCACCGGUAUGAAAUAAUGCACGAACUCUAAUGCCAUCAAGUAAAAUGAUACCUGCAACCACAUCCUCGGCUGCUGCCGCCUCCUCGGUCUGAGCGGCAUACAUGCGCCCACUCGGGGCCUGUCGAGAUCCCUUGCUUGGUCGCUGGACGGAUGACCGCCCAGGCUGGUACUGUGUCGAUCGAGUCCCCUGGCUGGCGGCUGGUAGGGCCGGUGCCGAUGCAGAUGAUGGUGCCGGUGACGAACCUCUCGGGCACUUAGUCCGGAUGUGGCCCUCCUGGCCACAUUGGUAGCACCUGCCCGCCUACUAUGGACACUGCGGUGGGUAGUAAGGACCACCGCAGAUCACACACUGGGAAGGCCGGCGAUGAUCAGAACCUCCACGAUGUGUCACUGAGCCACGUCCACGCUGCUGGCUCCUAGGGUGCUUCGGCGGCCUUUUAGAGUGCGUCUGGCUCGCACCCUCAGCCGUGGGCCUCUUGCCCUUCCCCUUGUCCAAAGCCUCUCGCCGCUCCUGAACAUCUGCCGUGCCGCUAUCCACUAUGAACGCACGAUCCACCACCUCCCGGUAGGUUUGGAGGUUAGAGGAUUGCACAAACCGAAAAAUCGACGGCAACCCUCGCUCGAAGAUGCGGGCCUUGUCCUCGUCGUCCCGCACGACGAAAGGCACGCAAUGCAGAAGCCGAGAAAACUCCAUCUCGUACUCGGCUACAGUCUGGUCUCCCUGACGUAAGUGGCGCAAGUCCUGCUCCAUCUUCCUCUUGACGCUGGUCGAGAAGCAGUGCGCCAAAAGAAGCUCCUUGAACUUCUUCCAAGUAAUAGCCGCCAAGUCGGUGCUGGGGUUCUCCUGAAGAUCCAACCACCAGCGAUAGGCCUCGCCGUCCAGGUGGUGAGUGGCGAGCCAAACUCGAUCUCUCUCCUCUACGAAGGUAUCGCGGAAGAGUUUCUCCAUAUGCAUCAACCACUUCUCCAUGAUCCAGUGGUAGACCUUCUCUCCGUCGAAGAUCCGGGGACUGCACCUCCUGAACUCGCUGAUGCGCUCCAUCAAUCUAUCCCUCUCCUUUGCAGAAACCAUCAUGGGGAAAACUGCCCCCGCCGGAGGCACCCUGAGCUGGUGAUGCCGCAAUCGCCUCCCCGUGUGGUGCUGCAGCAGGCGCCGUCCGAGAUGUGUCGAGUGCAGGGGACGACCCUCAGGGUGCAACCACCUCCACCGAUGCGGGUGGCGUAGGAGCCUGUGUCUCUUUAGCAGUAGCCUGCUGAAGUAGGAGGUCCUCGAAGCGCUUCAUCCGCGCCUCCUGUCGGCGGGCUGCCUCCGUUUGCUGAGCCACCAUAUUAGUGAGGGCCGCAAGCUGGCAUCUCAACUCACGGACCUCGCCGGAUCCGGAGGUAGCGGAGGUCUCGACCUUUUCCAAGUUUGCCACAUUAUCCGCUUUGGCAGAUCGGGAGUGUGUAAUCGGCAUCGUCACUACAGUAUCAUAAAAGCGCAAGUUAGUAAACUCACACUAUCGAAUCCCGGCUCAAGUAGGUAAAAUCCAAAUCAUGCGAAAGUAAGGAAAUGUUCUUCACUACUAACUCUCGAUGUUACGUUGUCGGCCGCCAACACAACCCUCCGCGAAGUUAGAAGCCAUACGCUUCAAUUCAACUCCACUUUCUAGAGUUAUCAAAGAUACCCAAUCAAGAUACUUUCGCUUACAAGUCAAAUAGAUCUCGUCUCUCUCAUGAGCCUAUUUCCUAUAGUCCAACCAGCCUAAGGUUUGCUAGGUCCCCUAAGACUCAACCCUAGGGUCUGAUACCAAAUUAAUAUGUCACGCUCCGGGGCUCAGCGGAAGCCCGCCCGGCGCGUACCCAGACCCGCCAUAUGUCUAAAACAUAUAAGGCGUCUAGAACAAAGCGAUAAAUAAAGCAGUAAUACGAAGAGAGCUAGCGAUAUCAGAGCAAAAUACAUCUAGAUUUCUACAACAUGAUAAGGUAAAAGAAAACCAAAUCCACUAAAUAAAAGUCAUAAGUAAUACAAUAGAUAUCCCAAAACAAGAGCUAAAAGAGUACAUAGGUGAUCUCUAUACAUGGUACAAAAAUCUCUCUCUCACCAAAAACAUAAAAAGAGAGUAACUACCUAAGAGCAAGUAGCUCCCCGCUAUCCAGCUAGGCGACACCCUUGCCGCGAUCCCGUGCCUCCGCCGGUGCCGAAGGCUCUGAAAUAAAAUCAUAAAACGGGGGGCGUGAGAACUAUUAAAUAAUAGUUUUCAGUGGGCAAUUACUGACUUCAGUGAAAUGCGCCACUAGACCCAAAAGCUACAAAAAGGGGGUAAGUACGAGUAUAAGCAAAAGUGAUAUAUACGACAAGUAAAAGAACAUGAGUACUUGCUACUACAUGAUGUCUCUACUUAGCAUGAAAUUGCAUAAGUAAGAAAGUUAUUCUAUCAUGAAAUGCACGAGUAAACAACCAUCAUAAUGUCCCCAAUGUAAUAGUAAAAUGUCAUUGUUUACUAUUCUAGUCAAUGUUCACUUGACAUGUUAACUACUUAAAGUUAAAUCUUAGAAGAUCCGCCCGAAGGCUGUCUGGCCUGUAGACCCACCCGUAGGCUGUCUGGUCAAUGCCGAGCCUAAUGGCCCCGUGGUAGUCAACAUCCCCACUCUAGGAAUGAGCCUUACCCACGGCAAUCCACUUCGGCGCCCAAUCCCGCACGGCGAAUAUGUAUCGUGAUGUCCAUCUCCGGAGUGCUGGCUUGUAGGGAGCGACCCUCACAAGCGUGUGCGAAUGAGCACAAUGGCAGCAAGCAUAAGAUCCGUCUCAAGUCUAAAGUCAUCAUGUCUAAAACAUGAAAUAUGACAUAUGUCUCAAGGGCCUAUCUCUAUAUCAUCAUGUCUAAAAUAUGGAAUAUAAUCAAGUCACAAUGGCCAAACUCUGUCUCUAUGUUACAGUUUCAUAGUUUACUAGUUCAGGUGCCCCUUUAUGGCAUUUUGUUCACUAAGUCCAAGCAUGAUGAUUAUGUUCACGAGUACGUAAUUCUAGUCCUUUUCUUCAUAAGAGACAUAUUCCCAACUCAUAUAGGGAACCACUUUCCACAUGCAUGCAACAUACACAUAUAGCUCUACUAUAUAGAGUGAAAUUUUCGUUAUACAUAACACAUGCAUUUUAAGUGUUCUAAAAUUCACAUAAAUUCCAUUUAACAUGAAUAUGCAAUCAAAUUGACGUUACGACAAGUAUAGUACACAUAGGGGCCGUUUUGCCCCGAUUUCAUAAAGCCAAACCCACCGGACUUCUCCAAACCCUUCGUUUGCUCUGAUAAAGGUGCCCAGAAGCCUCCUAGUACCCUAGGAGCAUCAAAAAGGAAGUUAAACGAAUCUAAUGAACAACCAAGAGGUUGAUCAAAAACCAACUCAAGGAUAGGGCUAAAAACUCACCGAAUGCGAAGGAAACUCUCUCGAUCUCCAAAUGGGAGUUAGAGUCCUUCCAAUCUAACUUAAACAAAGGUUCUAAACCCAUCAAUUAGAUUCCAAAGCCCUCCAAACAAAAAUUUCCAAUUCUAACCCUAAAAUUCGAAUCUAGGGUUUCAUCUAGCAAAAUCUAGAAAAACAUGCAUCAAAUGAGGAAUACAUGCUACCAACCUCAAAAGAAGCUCCAAAACAAGCUCAAAGUGCUCUAGUGUUGAAGGUUGAUCCUCAAUCAAGCUCCUAGUCCAAGCUCCAAGCCACCAAUGGUGAGAAGAGAGGGUGUGGGGGAAGUCCAAAGUCCACCAAGCAAGCUCUCCUUCCUCUUCUCCUCCUUCUUCCCUUUCUUCCUUCUCCUUCUUCUUCUCUUUCUUCCUUCUCCUUCUUCUUCUCUUUCUUCCUUCUCCUUCUUCUUCUCUAGAGAGUGUGAGAGAGUGAGAAGUGAGGGAAAGAGAGAGAGAAAAAGCCCUAAAAGCCCUCUAAUGCAACAAAAUCCAUUAAGGCCCCUCAACAAACAAAACAGUGCACUGCCAGGUCUGGGCAGUUUUCAGGCUGAGGGACCGGUCUCCCCGCACCUGGGACCGGUCUCUCGGACCCUCCCGCAAAACACACCUUCGGGAAUUGGUCUCCCUGGCCAGGGCACCGGUUGCCUCGGCAAACAGCCGCAACCACGCGACGGGGGACCGGUCUCUCCCACCAAGGACCGGUCCCUGAGAGUAAAACUCUCAAGACUUUAGCCAAAACUCCAGAAUUCGAACCGCGGGUCAGAACACCAUCUACGACCCUCCACAAAGUGUGGGAAAGCUCGGAACCCAAAUCAAACACUCGAACCUCGCAAUUUGCACAGGUCCAGUGUGUUACAAGCUAAGUAACCAUGCAUGAAUGUCGGAAUACAUGAGUUCUGAGAGAAUGUUGGCCCUAGUUCGUAGGGUAUCCUCACGUGGAGAGGAUAGAUCAAACUCACGGUCUGUUAUUUGGGGUGGUAAAGCCAUCCAUAUCCUCACAUGGAGAGGAUUUGUCGUCGAGUACUCCGGAGUGUUGGGCGAUUAGGACAGAGUUGAUGUCCGCAGACAGUCCCGGAUUUGGGGCACAUGGAGCUCCCUACCCUAUGGGAUGGAUAUGUGAGAUGUAGGCAGACCCAAGGGUCUUGCCACAGAUUGGGUAAAUAGAAGGUAAAUGGUGUCAUUGGACACUGUUUUUCGAACAUGGAUCGAACUUGUUAGCAUGAUAGUAAACCUUUACUAAAUGAUGCAUGCAUUCAUUACACAUGGUUAUGGGCAUAGUAGCAUAGUUUUCCUAUUUUGUCAUUUACAAUUUUAGAUAUCUAUUUAUCUAUCUAUCUGUUGUUACUUGUGUCCACUUAGACCUAGUGGGGAGAUCGGCGGAGUCGGCGGCCGAGCCCACUGGGAACUAUGGAAGAUAGUUCUCACCCCACUCUAUUUCCAGUGCUAGGUGCAAGUUUGCCGAGCAAGGAUUGCGGCAAGGGCAUCGCGCCCGACCAGUGAGAACCUGGUAGAGUAGUAGCUUUUCUUUUUGCAUUAGCAUACCUAUGUAUUUGAGAGAGAUUCAUGUAGGUGAGGUUUGGAGAGCUAUGUAUUUUAAAUGAUCAAGUAUUUAUUUUGGAAAGAGAUGUAAAGGUAAAAGAAUGCAAACUAAUGUAAUAGUUAGUAAAGUUCUCUUUUUUUUUCACUUGUAUUUCUAGUGGAUCACUUGCACUUGUUGUUGGCACUGUUUGUGCCCUUGCGAUUGUGUACAUUUAGAAUUUAAAUUCUUGGGUAAAUUCUUGUACUCGAUCUAUUGUUGAGCCUUGGGUGGGCAGAGGAGGUGCUGUCCGUUCAACGUUCGUUCGCCGCGCCCGAGCCGCGCCAAAUUGGUAGGGGUUUCGGGGCGGGGGGCGUGACAAAACUAUUCUACAUCUUUUGAAGGAUUAUCGAGAAGUUUCGGCAAGUUAUUGGAGGGAACAAGUGGCCGGAAGAGCAAAAGUGCAUUGCAAAAUGCAAAAUCUGUAUUUUGGCACUGUUAACCGGUGAUAGAAUUUCGGGGUAUCGGUACCAGUACUGUAGCUGCGUGGCAGCAAGGCUAUUUGAGUCUUUUUACACUCAAUCUUAUCUCCAAUGGACCUAGCACGACUCCUGCAGCUGCUUGAGGGUUACUGGAGCUUAGGGAAAGGGGUUUGCAUCUCUCUCACUUUCUCUCUCUAGGGUUUCUCUCUCUAUGUGUAAGAAUCAAGGGUUUGAGCUUAUUCUUCUCUUCUUCUUUGUAGUUAGCAGCCUUGGAGGGUUUUGGGGGUUGUUGUGUGUGGUUGGAGAGGGAGUUUUGGAGGUAUUUGACAGGCUAAACUCAGCAAAUAACUGAGUAGCACCUUAAUAAGGUGAGUAAUACUAUUUCUUUCUCUAGUUGGUACUAGUAGUGAGUUUAGACUUGAUUUCUUGUUCCUUAUUACCAGCUGAGGUGAGGGAUGUUAUAACAGCUAUGAAGUAGGGUUUUGAGGUGGUUUUUCAACCCUAAUCCAGGGGAAGAAUGAAAUUGAAACUUGGAAAAGGUAAUUAGCUAGUUAAUUGCCUUAUGUUGAUGCUAUAACAAAUUUAUUGGUGAAGCAAUGAAGCUGUUUUUGGAAUCUAUUUUCAGCAGCUGUGUAAGGUAUCGGACUUCUAAAAUCAUGAAGUUACGGUGUAGAUUUGGUUGGAAGACCAUUUGAAAGGUUCCGGUGAAGUUCGGUGAGGUUCGGAAGCAUUCGGGCGUUUCGGUGCGCGUAGGCGCUAAAACGGAGCCGAAAGGCCAUGUUGGGCCAUGAGCUAAAUCCGGCAUUAGCGUGGAUGAAAAGAUGAUGAGAACAUGCUCGAAAACAUGUUUGAAGAGUCUCGGUUCGAUUUGAAACGAAUCGGAAGUCAAACGAGCGAAAACGGGCGAAAACGGAGAAGAAACGGUGAAAAAGGCUGAAAUUUGGCUAAGUCCUUGAGGCUGAGUACUGGACCUUCGGGGACCGGUCUCUCACCGCAAGGACCGGUCUCUCAGGGACCGGUCUCUCACCGCAAGGACCGGUCCCCGAGCGCGAAAAUGGCCCAGUUCGGGCUGUUGCAAGAGGGGCUUUGUUGAGGGGUUUUUAUGCAAUUUUGCACUAAUGAGAGUGUAUAGAGAGGGUUCUUUCUCUCUUUCUCUCAUUUCCCUCACUCCAACACCACCUCUCUCUCUCUAAACGUGAAGAAGAAGAAGAAGAAAGAGGAGAAGAGAAGGAAGGAAAAGGAGGAGAAAGGAGAGGAGAAGAAGAGGAUCCUUACCACCAUCAUCAUCUUCUUCUUCCUCUCACCAUUAGAGCAAGCUUAGCAAGGUAAGCUUCAAACCCAACAAUGGUAGAUUUCUAGAGUUUGAUCCUAAUGCUUUAGAAAUGGGUUUAGUAGCCUUUCUAGAUGCUAAUUAGUUGGAUUAUGCUUAGAUCCAAGGGUUUAAUGGUGGAUUUUUGCAUAGUAGCAAAUCUAGGGCUCGAAAUGCUAUUUUUGCAAAUAGAUGGAUUUGAUCUAAAUUGGUUGUAUAUAAACCUAAUUGAUAGGUCACUGAACGCGUCGGAAGCGACGGAUUGGCAAUCCGUCGAGCCGCUACAAAGAUAUUGAGGAUCGAAGCCGUUAAGGUACAGAUUGCCGCAGCUCGCGGCGAAAGCUUCCUAAAAUCAUGGAAAUGGAAUCGUAGCAUCGUGGUGUCGGGGAAUAAGCUCCAGAACAGACGGAUCGUGGAUAGGAGGUCAUUUGGCAGUCGCGCUUGAGUUGGGUCGAGCCGUGCGGCGUGCGCCGCAGGAGGCCGAUUGCGAGUGACGACGAGCAAUCGGAACGCUAUUAAAGGUGGGUGGUGUCCAUCCCGAAGCAAUCGGGCUCCCUUUUAUGUCUAAGUUUUUAUAUUGAUCAAAUUGCAUAUUGACAUGUUGACAUCUUGCAUUAUAGGGUGAUAAAUGAUGGUUUGGUUCUAUACCUUGCAUGUUCUUUGGUAGAAUAAUGUAUUUGGCUUAAUACUUAUAUCUAGCAUGCUUGAGGUUUAUAUAUGUGAUGUGGAACCCUAUAAUGAGAUGAUAAGUGUGGAUGGGAAUUUAGUAAUGUAUUGGCUAUUGCAUUGGAAACUUGUAAAGAACGAGUGGCAUCUAGUUGAUAGUAAACAAAAGAACGAGUGACAUAUGUGAGUCAUAGUGUAUAUGAAACCUAUGGACUAUAUGAUGAUUGUAACCCUAGAGGAUAGGGUAUCCUCGAGCUUAGAGGAUUGGAUCAUGCUCACGGUCUGUUUAAAUCUUGUGAUGGAAGUCCCACAAAAGUAGUGCGCUCCGGAUGUUGGUCACGCCAGGGAUUGCCUAUUUGGCCCCGCCAGACGGUCUCGGGUCCGUAGUGUGAGUUAAUUCUCCCUACGCGUCGAGAUGGCUAGUGAGCUGUAGGCGAGCCUUCGGGUAAGCCAUGAGAUUAAUGAACAAGUAAAUGAGGUUAAUGAACGAGUGAAUAGCUUCACCUUUGGACAUGAUAACAGGUUAGUUGCUUACCUAUUUCAUUGUACAUGCAUUCAUAUAUUAUGAUUGGGCAUAGUAGAGUAGCUUUACUCCUGUCACUUACCGCUUUCCUUAUCUAUCUAUCUAUCUAUCGAUUAUCUACUUGUGCCCAACUUGGACCUAGUGGGGAGAUCGGCGGAGUCGGCGGCCGAACCCACUGGGAACUAAGGAAGUUAGUUCUCACCCCCAUUUUACUACAGGGCCGAGCGCGAGUUCACACGGCGAGGAUCGCGGUAAGGGCUUAGCGCCCUAGUUGCAUUAGUUUACUUUCCUAUUCUGCAUUAGAGUCACCUUUAUAUGCUUUGAGAGUAGAUGAUGUAUAGGAUGUGAGAUAUUCUGGGAUGAAUGUAAGCUAAUGUUUAUAUUUUGGAAGAUGUAAGCUUUUUAUUAUGUUUUGGAGGUUCAAUGUGUAAUCAAUUGUAUUAUAAAGGUUGAAUGAAUGUAAUAGAUAGAUGCUCUCUCUUUAUCAUUACUUGUAUGAUCUAUACUUGUAUCUUGCUCUUGGUCGUUUUGCACUGAUUGUGCUCUCGUUGUAGUUAUUGAUUGUGUAUGUAUUCAAGUGUUUUCCUGGGAACUUGUUGUACACAAUCUCGUUGUUAGCCUUGGGCGGACAGGGGAGGUGCUGUCCGUCCGGCGUCUGUUCGACGCGCCCGGGCCGAGCCAAAUUGGUAGCGGUCGCGGGGCGUGACAAGUACUUUUUCUCAUUCAAUCAAAAAAAGAGCAAAACCUAAUUAAAUUGUUCUAUUAUGACCUGAGGGGGUAAAUUAGAUGUCCACGUUCACAAGNUUGGUCGUUUUGCACUGAUUGUGCUCUCGUUGUAGUUAUUGAUUGUGUAUGUAUUCAAGUGUUUUCCUGGGAACUUGUUGUACACAAUCUCGUUGUUAGCCUUGGGCGGACAGGGGAGGUGCUGUUCGUCCGGCGUCUGUUCGACGCGCCCGGGCCGAGCCAAAUUGGUAGCGGUCGCGGGGCGUGACAAGCUGUGAUUAACACUUUGAGCUGAAUAUAGUGGCAAUUGAGAGCUGUUUUGGGGUGCUUCAACCUAAGUGGAAGUGGAGGUUUAGUUCUAAUCUGAACCUAGGUGAGAAUCUUGCCAAAAUUGAAUGUUCUAGCUGUAGCUUUAAUGCAGUUUUGUACUUACUCGCAGCAGGUUCGCUGCAGGAAGUUUGAUUACUUUGAGUUGAAGUUUGUAAUCUUCAAGAGGUUAGAAUUGGUGUAUUCUAACCUGAUUUCAGUGGAGUUCGAGAUUGGAGUUCAUAUUAGGUAUAAUUCGACCUAAAUGAGAUGUUUAUUUGAGUAAUGUUGUGGAGUAUUGGAUUGAGUUCUUUGCUGACUUUUAUAUGCUUAUUAGGGCGCUUGGUGAUGAGCGAAACCUUCGCUAACGUGAUCGUUAAGACUCGUCGACUGAUUGGUGGUUUUGACCUUCCCGAAAUAGGUGAAUUCUCUCUAUGUCUCCUUUGACAUUAUGAGUUAAAGUUAUUACAUAUUCAUGUGAACAUAUGUAUAUUUGAAGGAAUUGAGACAUGCAUCAAUGUACAUAUUAUAUCGGAUAUAAUAGCACCUCUAUGCAGUAGAGAAAGAAUUAUAAAAUUGCUUAUUUCACAUAGAUCACUUGUUCAAUUACCAUGCGUUCACGACAUUGUAACUUGCGUAAACAAGUUAAGCAUGACAUCAUUUAAGAGGGAGUAACUCUAAAACCAUGAAUGUAACAUUUAGCUCAGUUGGACAACAAAGUGAAUGAUGUAGUAUGAUGAUAUAUCUGGGGUUAAAUCAUGCAAUUCCAUGUUUUAGACAGGGGGCUAGAACUCUUGAUCUAUCUUGUAUAGUGACGCUAUACAUUUAUGUUGAAAUCAUGUAAAGAGUAUCAUAGACAACGUUUCACAUACUUGUGUUAACAAGUUGGUUAUUAUUUUCAACUGAUAAAACUGGCUUGAACUUCGUGUUUUGGACAUAAUCUAGUUAAGUGACCAGAACUUGGCAUUAUGAUAUAACAUGAAUGUACACUGUUGAAUAUAACCUAGUUGAAAAACUAGAAAUGAACAUGAUGUCAUACUUGUAUAGUCAAGUAAAAGUACUUGCAUGUUACUUAUUUACUUCAAGUAGUGGAAGUUUAUAUGGAACUAUAGAAUAUGUGCCAUGAGUUGUAUGAACCUAGAAUGAGUCAUUGAGUAUGACCUUAGUAAACCACUUUCCUUAUGUAUAGUGAGUAGUAAGAGGACUCUAUGUGAGUGUGCGGAUAUAGCCCAUUAGAAACAUCUCUAUGAUGUACAGUAUAUACUUGUUUAAGUCAUACUAUCUAUUGGUAGAAUUAUGUAAACAAGUAGUUGAUAGUGGCUUAUGACUUAGUGUUACCGUGUCGACCUUGCGUCGAGUUAAGAUUCCAUGUUAGAGACAUGAUGAACUUGCGAUACCUAUGCUUUAUUAUGUGUAAAUCUCUUGUUAAUUAGAUUAAUGUAAGUGACUUUAACCUUAGAUGGAUAUAGUGGUAAGGAUAUUUUAUGUCAUCAGUUGAAUAUACCUAGUAAUGGACAUAUUAGGAGGUUGACAUUCCUGUUGGUCAGUAAGAUAGUGACAGUACUUGAAUGUUUACACUCUUACUAGUGUAGGUAAUAGCUAAAUGAUGUCAUUAACUAGUUAAAUUAUAAUGAUACUAUUUUGUAUACAGCCUGACAUAUAGCUAAUUAAACUGUUAAUUAGCAUGAUUUAUGAAGCUUAUUAUGAUGAACUAGUAUAUAAGACAUGUUAGAAAACAUAUCUUGUGAGGCAUGUUCUAGUUGACUUAUUUCAUUUAUUUGUUAUGUGUACUUUAUUUACAUAUUGUUGUUUAAUCAUGUCACAGUGGACCUAGUGGUGUACUUCGCCACUCUCAGCGGCUUACCCACUGAGAACUAUUGUUUAAUAGUUUUCACGCUCUUUUAUUGGUUGUUUUCAUGCAGUGCCUUCCAUAGCGGGAAAGGAUAGGGUUCCUUGCAAGGGGUCAAUGGCUAGUUAGAGCCUUCUCGAUAUUAAAUAGACGAACCCCUACAAGUUUAUGCAGUUUAGUUUAGUGUUGUAUACUGAGAUUAUGUAGAUUGUACUUUGUUCUUAUCUGUUGUAAUAAGGUUUUAUAUUUGUAUAAGUUUAUAAACUUUUAGUUGCGCUCUAAUUACUUAGUUAAGAUAUUAUCUUUUUACUAUAUUGUUGUAGACGCCUGGUGUACACUUGAGAUAGGAAUGUACACGGCGGAUCUGUGCACGUGACUGGUGAGCUUCCGCUGAAGUUCAGGGCGUGACAACCGUAACAUUUUGGACCAACCCGACUUUUUGCGGGUUCGGGGUUCGAACCUUGCACUCAGGGUCCGGAUCCCGAGAGCCAAUGCACACCCAAAAAAAUGUGAAGUUUUUCAGGUUUGCUAUUCAAGGUCCUAAACACUAUCCAAACCGUUCUGAAACAAUCGGAACAUCUCACGGCCUCACCAUCUCGGCCAUCACGACAUUUCGGUCAAUUUGACUGAAGUUCGAUACGUCUUACUGAAAAUUCGGUAUGUUAUAGGAUCCCUCUUCGUUUGAUCCUGUCUCUCCGACCUUUCUACUAGCUCUAAUUUCCUCUCUCCUUCCUCUAUCAUGGCUUGUCCAUGACGUACAUCUCACCACUGAUCGUUGGACGGUAAAGAUUUGCCGUUGGCAAACGGAACGGUGGAUCCGACAUCCGCACACUCCGUAUGCUGCGGAAUCCUACACGACUUCGUGCGCAACCUGCUCGACGUUUAUGAUUCGAUGAGAUACUCAGACCAAAAAUUCUCCCCCUAAACUCCCCAAUAGAAAUAUCGCGAUACCAACGGUCAGACCCCGUCGCGCCGCCGCCUCGUCCUUCAUAAACUUCGUCACAGCCGUCGGAUGCGGUUAGUGGAGGUCGGCGUCGUAGCGACAUUUACUUUCGCCGCAAGAAAGAGAGAAGUGCAGAACAGGGGUCGACCGCCGCUUGCUAUUGUACUCGCAUCUCUCUCUCUCUCUCUCUCUCUCUCUCUCCCCUGUUGCUCGUCUCUCUCGUCACCUCGCUCUCCUCUCGUGACAGAGAGAAACCCCCGAGAUCGGCGAUGGUAGAGGGAGAGAUAGUCCUUCUCAACGAGGUGAUUUAUCCGAUCCUCAGUAACCCUAGGUUCGUACUUCGUAGCCCCCCCCUCUCUCUCUAGAUCUUGGUCAAAUACGCUUUGAUCCCUUCUUGGUUUCCGAUCGGUUCUUGUUUUGAUUGGACUCUUAAAAGUUUGCCACGUUCUUCAGCUUGAUCUGUUGAUCUCGACCUUUAUUUUUUUUUUGUUUUCUCUUCGUGGGAUCGUAAUUAGGGGUUCGUAUUGAUCGUGUUAUUUUUCUCUGAAGGUAAUUUGAAUUUGGGACGAUUUGGGUUGAAUUGGGGGUUUGUUUGGUGUUAGAUGAUGUUGUUUGAACGAUCGAUGCAGGUAAAUUGGUUUCAGGGAGGAGAAUCCAUUUUUAGUUUUGGUCGAAUUUUGUCCACACCGCCUCUGAUUCUUUGUUUCUGGCAUGUAGAAAUUACUCGUUUAUCUUUAACUGAUCGGGGGACUUGUGGUGCUGAUUGCUGUUUUUAGUGCUAAAUUCCAGGUUAUUGUUACUCUUUGAUUUUGUUUACGAUGCUUCAAGGUUUAUUUUUGGAUACAUCCGCUGUCAUAUAAUGUUAAUAGCUGUUUUUGUUAAUUGAAAUAAUAGAGAACAAACAGGCGAUUGUCGCAAACUUGCAUGUAUAACAUUAGUUGCUAAUGCUGUGUAAGCGAUUCUUCUACUGAAGGGGGGUUCCAAAGUUGCAGCUUUUACAGUCGUCCGAGUAUUUGACGUUUUUCUUCAAAUUAGAUGGUUAAUUGUUCAAUUUCAUAGAUUACAAAAGUUUUUAAAUGUUUUGCAAAUCAUUGUCUAUUGUUUUAUGUUGUGUGUGUUCGCAUGCCUGUGUGCAGUAGGAUGGGGAUGUGGUGGAUGUGCGUGUUUGGGUGUGUGCCCGUGUGUGCAUAUGAGUGCACCUGUGACCCGCUUGCACACACUCAUUUCAUCCCCUUCUUCAAGGGUUUAUUUUAUGUAUUAUAGACACCUAUAUUAUUACCCUCUUUUUUCCUUAUUUAAUGAGGUAAUUUGUAGGUGGAAAUGCUUAUAUUUAAAUUUGUGCUUAUUUUUGUAGUGUCGCCCUGUCACUUGUCUUUUCUAACUCGAGUCUUUUGCUGACGCGGCAUGUUUUGGGAUUCCCUUCGCAGAGAAAAGUUUGAUAAGCAGAAUUAAUCAAUCGUUAGUGUUGACUUUCGUUAAUAAAUAUGGUGGUGACGAAUGAAAUGGCACUGAAUAAAUGUGGGAGAAACACAGGAUAUCUUAAGAGGAAGUGGGACUCUGCCGAACCGAACUCAACCCAACCCAAACUGAACUCUUUUUUUUUUUUUUUCUUUUUUCUUUUUUUCGCAAAAUCGGUUCGGUUCUGAUUUCAAAAUACCAGAAAAUUUUCCAUUCGGUUCAGGUUUUUGGUUUCUCAGAUGAACUGGAUGGAGUUGGUUAAGGUGGUGCCCAAGUCGUCGGAGAUUCUCUUUCGCAAUUUGGACUUUUCCUCUUUUCGAUCGACACCUUUUCUUUCCCCAUCCCUCUCGUAGCAAAUAUCUAUAAAUAGCUAUUACAGUAACCGCUUAUCUCCUCUCUUCCCCCACGUAGGGUUUUGAAAGGUACCUUCCCCACUUCUUCUCUUUUAUCACCCUUUCCCCCCCCUUAUUUUAUCCCUUAUAAUCCUUUCUUUAGGGUUCUCGUGGGGAUCAAAUUUCUUUUUUUGUCUUUUUUAAUAAAAAGUUUACAUUCUUUAUCUGGCCGUUGUGAUUAUGAGAAAUAGAAUAAUUAAUUAGUUUUUGGAUUUUACUUUAGCUGUCUCUUACUUUCAAAUCAUGAAAAGGAAAAUAGGUUGGAUAGGAUAUAUUAUAUAUUUUCGCUUUUGUUACCAUGUAGAUUUAUUCUAAUUCUCGUUGGAUUAGGCGCCUAACUAUGAGAAUUACUAUCAGGCUCGGUGCUGUAAUGCUUUUUAUUUAGGGUUCUCAUGUUUUUAGCCGGUGCCAUCUUAAAAACUUCGCUUAAUUUUCUGUCGAACUGAUUUUUAAGUGAAGUGGGCAACGGUGUUUCGCUGUAUAUGGUCAAAGAUUACGUGAUCUAAAUUUUAGUUGAAGAUAAUUAGCUUGUUUCUGAUUUAACUUUAUUGACUCGCGUACGUGGUCAAAGAUUUCGUGAUCUAAAUUUUAGUUGUUCUAUUUAUCUUGCAAAUAGAAACUGAUCAAGAGUAGAAAAUAUCCUGCUGUUUUGUUGAGAGAUAGGUAGCAUGCUACCUGUUUCAUUUAUUUCAUUUAGAAAUAAACGUAGCUAGAAAUGUGAACCAACUAGGAUUCGAACUUGGGACCUCGGGUGUCAACUACCAAGCCCUUUGCCACUUGCGCUAGGGUCGGUCGCUGUUGUUAUUACUCUCAGUUUUGAAGUGUUUAUAAUCACUGUAUUUGAACAGUCGCUUUAGUCAUUUUUCUUUUCCUAAUUUCUCUGCAGGAAUUGAUAUCAAGCAACACCUGUUACGGUGAAAAUGGUUGCGGAGUUGAUAAAUGCUAACCCUGUGGUAUAUGAGAGGAAAGAGAGACGGGUUCAUAAACUGCCAGCAGUUAUAGAUGAAUAUGCACAAGAGCCCAUUGAUCAGCAAGAAAUAUUUGAUAUCCUUUUAUUGCAAAAUUUUUAUCUAUGAUCUAUCAUAUUUUGUUGAACAAGGUUUCAUGAGGGUCUUCUGAGAUUUUCGGUAAAUUGGGAGUUUUUCUGACAUAUUGUGCUUCCAUUUUUUUUGCUUUUUUGUUGUGUAUAUUGUCUGCUUAAUUUCAGCUCCUUAUGCUGUGAUAUGAAACCACUAAACACGUUUUAAGUGCGAGUCCAAGUUCAUAUAGCUCUAACAGUCCCUUUUUUCUUCUUUCCAUUGAAACAGUUAGGAAAUUUAGUAAAUCCUUUUCCCUUUGUGAACUUACAAGUCUAUUGAAGUCCAUUCUGUGUAGUGUAUGGUAUAUACAAAAAAUUGGUUUCCUUAUCUGAGAGAUUUCUAAGGAUUAUAUACUUGGUUUGGAAAUUGGUCCUUAGGUUAAUAAGCUUGAACAGAUUUCAUAAAAAUGUUCAUGGGUAUAUUGUCUUCAAAAAAAGUGACACAAAUUUUGCAACGUGACUUGGUGAUAUGGAGUCCUGUGUGUUUGAAUUUCUCUCUCCUUUUCUUUUCUCCCUGUUUGUUGAAUAGCAUUAUUCUCCUUUUAAGCGAUUCUUGCCAUACCUGGAUCAUUUAUGAAGGUGACCUAUUGCUUAUCUGUAACUGCACAUGUUUAAUUCCUUAACAUUUCACAAAUCAUAUUAGAGAUAUAAAGGAUCCAGAACACCCAUACUCUUUGGAGCAGUUGAAUGUGGUCACUGAUGAUGCCAUUGAAGUGAACGACGAGAAGAGUCAUGUUAGGUACACAUACUUAUUGUAAAACUUGGUCGACACUUUUCUUUUGUCUUGAAUUUUCGGACUUCCGUAGUUUACUCAAGAGCUACUUGCUUUGAUACAGGGUCACUUUUACUCCGACAGUGGAGCAUUGCAGUAUGGCAACUAUUAUUGGGCUUUGCCUACGUGUAAAACUCAUACGCAGUCUUCCAUCUCGUUACAAGGUAUGCUGUCCAGCGGUAAAUGCUAUUCUCCUUAAAGCACCUCUUUUAGCAGGUCUGUUUUGUUCCCCCUCAGUUGCAUUGUGUGGAUUUUCUCAAAAAUAAAUUUCUGUCGACAACCAAAGAUCUUUCGUUGUGCCUGGCAUUUGCUGAGUUUUUUUCUUCUCCCCAGAUAUCUACUGCCUAACAUUGUUUGAAAAGGCACGCGCCUCAGGCGCGCGUCUCAGCGCCUAGGCGUGAGGCGUGGGUCUCAGCGUCUCAGGGAGUAAAACGCGCGCCUUAGACGCGCCUCGUGAUAUUUAUGUUUAAUGUCUUUAGGGUUUGGGUUUUUGAGGUUUUGGGAUUUUUCAAUAUAUUUUAAAAUGUUGAGGAAUUGAAAAAUAAAUCCUAAUUUGAAUGCUUGUCUUCCCUUUUUUUCCUUGGUCAUUCUCUCUUCCUCCCUCUAAUGGCAAUAAGUAGUAGCGGAAAGAAGCAAGAAACAAGAAGUAAGAACUAGCAACAAACAUUUUUAAGUUGAAAGUUGAAACAUAAUUUUUUUUCUUUUUAGUUUGAGAACAUUUAUACAUAUGAUUUCAUUACUUUUUUAUNCCAGUGUCUCGCGUCGUCACAUCCGUUGCGGUUCCGUUCACGAUAUUGACACCCGUUCUUCCCGUGAACUCGGCGCUGACAGGUCGCUCCCGGGGCGAAUAAGGCAGUCAACGUAGCUGAGGCCGUUGAGGUCGUGUAAUACCUCCUCGGGGUGGACGACGCAGUAGCCGACCCGCACGCUACCACGGUGCAGUUGGACUCCGCUGAUUCAGCCGAGGCUCGCCUGCCCACAAGCGGCGAGUCUGAGUUCGGUACCUUGGACGGCUCUGCCUCCUAGCUGUACACGAGCGUCCAUACCAAAAUUAACUGCCUCAAGCGAGGUCCCGAUACAAACUAUGCCUACCGCGGCCGCCUUAACUUCCUCAACGCCCGAGUCAACUAUCUAGAGGAGCUAUUCCCUAAAUAUGCCGGUUCAUAUAGUGGCACCCCUCGGGGCCAGGAUAAGCACGCUUUCUUCCUGCCUAGCAAAGCUGAGACGCAUCUAAUAGCGCUCAACUUGUUCCAGUGCUAGUUCUUGUUCAUGGGCAACGGCUCCUAACUGCUAAACAAACUAGUCAACGUUCCUAGAGCCCAAAUGAGUUUCUAACUGGAUGUCAGGCCAAUAGUAGUCGAGUUCUAGUUCGGCCUCCUACACGUUUUCUGGCGCAAAGCGUGCGCCAUACCUGUAAUACUUAAGUGCCAGUACGGCAAACCCGAAUGAUUGCGGGGCCGUCGCAAGUACCUGAACUACUUGGCACAGAAGUUCCUCAUGAACCUGGCUAAACAGCACCAAAAGUAUCUGCUGUAAAAUCAGAUAAGCGCAUCGCUGCUCCUUGUACGGCUCGUAAACUCCUAUCACGAAGUUUAGGAAGCCCUCCUCUUCAACAUACGAUUCAAAUUCUUUACGCUGAAAACCGAGGCUCUCCAACGUAAAGAACCCGUACAGUAAAGGCUCCCUCCUCAUAGACAACUGGGCUCCUUUCACCUCCGCUAGUUCCUGACCGGAGCGGGCUGAUUGCAGUGCCUUCAAGCUUCGAAGCACCCCCCACCACCGCAGAUAGCGCAUUGCUGCGUCCCUCGACUCCACGACUGUGUGCGCGGAUGCUUCGGUGGCUUCUUGGAACUCGAUUGUCCCCCCGAACCACCGCCUUGACGUUUCUUUCCUUUGUCUUUAGAUCCAGCCAUCAGCUCACGUUCUUCUCGCACGUGGGCAUCCCCAUGCUCUGCCCACAAUGCUCUAUCAAAGACCUCAGCAAAGGUUGUGAGCUUGAACAACUGUACGGCCCUGUAGAUUCCAGGCCGGAGUCCUCGUAAGAACCAAUCCGCCCGGUCCCGGUCAUCUCUGACAACCUCCGGGACACAGUCAAUAAUACGAGAGAACUCUUGCUCGUAUUCUGCUACCGAGCGAUCCCCCUGCCUCAGUGUGCGGAAUUUCUCCUGCAACUUCCGCUUCACCGUAUCCGGAAAAUAGUUGGCAAACAUCGCCUUCUUGAACUCAUCCCACAUCAUAGGUGGAAGAUCAGAAGGCCGAUCUCGUUUCACUCGUUUCCACCACACCUUCGCUGUCUUCUCGAGGCAAUGGGUGGCGAGACUCACCUUGUCCUUUUCCGAGGUAUAGAGAUCUUCGAAAAGGGUUUCCAUUGAGUCAAUCCAUGACUCGACCAUCGACGGCUCCACCUUCUCUCCUUCGAAGAUUGGCGGGUUGAACUUCUUGAAUCUUAUAAGAGCCGUCAACGCGCGCUCCCGCUCUACUUCCUCAGCCGCUGCAUCGGGUGUUGCCGAACCCGAAGCCGCCGGGAGCACACUUGCCGGUGGGGGACAUGCCGCCACCGGGACUGCUGCCACGCCCUCACCCUCUGCCACCUCAGGCACGUGCGCCGAGGGUGCAGGCUGAUUACGACCUUCCGUCGCCGUCGCAGCCGUCGCAGCAAUCUGCCGCUCCAUUAGCUCCUGGAGACGAUCAAACCGACCCGCUAACGCGGUCAUAUGAGCCCGUAGCUCAUGCACCUCACUAGGAUUAGACGACUCUGGCACCAGAGGAGGUCCAGCUUGCUCUGGCACCUCGGGCGGCGGUGCCAGAACCGUCCUGCGUGCGUAGCGUCUUGGAGACAUUUGUUCCUGAAACGCAAUAACCAGGUCAAUAAACUCAACCCAUAAACUCGCUCGCAACCACGACUGACGCGACUCAACACUAAAAUCAGGCGGAAGCACACAAGUGUACUCAUUCUAGACUCUCGGUGUCAUGUUGUCGGCCGCCAACACUCUCACUUCAAGCCAAGAACUAAUACCACUUGAAUCCGUCUCUAUUCACAACUAGAGACAUAGUGACAACUUCAACCCAAUCGAAUUAUCUUCCGCCACUCGGCUUAGGUUCACGUUUCACUCACGCACCUAUAGCCUUAAGGUUUACCGUCCUAGGGUCUCCUAGGUCGUCCUAGACUCUCUCUUUUUACUUGCUCUUAACUUGCUCUGAUACCACAUUUAUCUGUCACGCCCCGAGACCGCUACCAAUUUGGUCCGGUUCGAGCGCGUCGAACAGACGCCGGACGGACAGCACCUCCCCUGUCCGCCCAAGGCUCAAAAGUAAGAUCAUGUACAUAGAAUUGCCCAGGAAUAAUUCAAUACAUACACGAUCCAACAAGGAGAGAAGCACAAAGAGUGCAAUACAACAAGAGCAAGUAACACAAGUAUACAUACAAGUGCAUAAAGAGAGAUACAUCUAGCUAUUACUUCACAUUCCAUUUUUACAUCUUUGAUAUAUUACAUUUUCAUCUUCCAAAAUGUAAGUACAUGUUUCUUCAAAAUAUAAGUAGCCCUCUCAUAACUAUCCAAAACAUUCUCUAGUACACGAGGGUACUCUAAUGCAUAAAGGAAAAGCUACUAACUAGGCUCACUUAGGGCGCUAUGCCCUUGCCGCGGUCCUCGCUUGGCUCGCCUCUGUGUGUACCUGUACCCCAAAACCACACGGGGUGAGAACUAUUAAAUAUAGUUCCCAGUGGGUUCGGCCGCCGACUCCGCCGAUCUUCCCACUAGGUCUAAGCAGGCAUAAGCAGAUAGAUAGAUAUCUGUAACUGUAAUUGAUGCAUAUAGAAAGAAUUGCAAGGUUCUACUAUGCCUGGAGAACAAGAGUAAAUCACAUAGCCAUGUAAUCUCUAACAUGCUAUAAUAACUCUAUUAAGUAUACAUGCAAUUCUACUAUGCCCAACAUGCUCAACAUGCUCAAUAUGCUUACUAUGCUCAAUAUGCAUAAUUCUCUUGAGUUCAUUACCCAAUCAUCUGGCUGGCCCAAAGGCGCGCCCUCGACUCACAACUCAAAUCCGUCUAUGAAGGGGGACUCGAACCACCCGAGGGAUUGUCUGCGGGACCCCACAUAGGCUAUCCCUUGGGACCCCACAUAGGCUAUCCCAAUCGUUUCACGUGCCAAGACUCCGGAGCUCGCACUACUUGUGCGGGGCGACCGCCACAAGCGCUGAACAGACUGUGUGAGUAUGAUCAAAUCCGUUUCCAACGAAGGUACCCGGUCACUAUGACCAACAUGCACAAGUAUUCUUUUAACACUACGUUCUAAUGCCACUCGUCAAGUUGUUUACUUGGUAUACAUAUGCCACUCGUCAAGUAUGUACUUGGUUCACAUGUCACUUGCCAUAAUGCAAUUGUCCCAACUAUACUAGUCAUAUGUCAUCCAUGCAAGAUCAAGUUAUUGUUUAACUUAUCUCUAUAGGGUUCUAUGUCACAAACUCAUUCUCAUGCACCCUAAGUUCACAUGCCAAGCCUACUAUGCCGCAAUACAAGGGAGCAUGCAAGAAUAGUAAAAGUAACAUCUAAAUACCCUAACAUGCAUGAUACUAUAUAUGUAGUAUGUUCAACAUAGAAAUACUUAGACAUAGGGAGAAGCCCAGUUGCUUCGGGAUGACACCCCCCACCUUUUAUCGCUAUCACGAGGCUAGGAUUCCGAUUUCGUGAUUUUUGGAAGCUUUCGCCGCAAGUUGCGGCAAUCUGUACCCUAACAGCUUCGUUCUUUAAUAUCUUCGUGUACGCUCGUCGUAUCGCCGAACCGACUUCGCCAACGCGUCAGAAAACCUAGCAAUUAGGUUUAUACAUGAUCAAUUUAGAUCAAACCCUCACGUAUUGCAAAAUCCCAUUUUUGAGCCCUAACAUGCAAUUAGCCCCAAAUAAUCCAAAUUAAAUGGAGCAACAUGCUAAGAAUGCUCAUUAGAGGCUACUAGAAUACUUAAGGUUAAAGAUUAAGCCAAAUCCCAAAAGUUUACCCCAAUGUGAACGCCGCAAUGAAAACACGUCGCUCCAACGGGCGCACGAAAGCUCAAUCCGUCGCCUCCAACGCGUUCGCAAGCUCGAUCUCCACCAACGCCGCGAAUUUGGGCGAAAGAUCUAGAGAGAUGAGAGAGAUAUUUAGAGAGAGAAAGAGAGGGUUUCUCUCUCCUUCACCAUGUGCGUGUGAUGCUUGUGCUGGCUGCAGCUGAGGAGGAAGAAGAAGCCUAGUAGCUUCUACUUAUAGUCAACACCUCAAUAGUAGCAUACACUAUUCACAUCAGGCAGCUCAAAAUCUGAUAUCUUUCGCCGGAGCUCCCUGAAUAUCCGUUUGAGCUCAAAUUUGACAGUCAUGUUCGGUUUUGCUUAACUUAACGAAAGAAAUUUUAAUCUUUCAGUUUCGACCCCAUUUGGUCACCGAAAACUGUGCCGAACUGCAAUCUUUAUCAGAUGGCUUUCGGAUUUUAUUUCUCACUCUACGGGUGUCAGAAAAAUACGAAACUUUAAAUCUAGCCUCAUAAGAAUAAUUCUGGCUUAUCCUCCAGUUUUCAGAAUUUUCUGACACUAUGCGUUUUCUGCUAAUCUAUCUGCCCCGUUUCACACAGAAAAUUCUAAAUCAUCUGUUUUCGCUCCGAUUUCAACACGAGCCAUUCCAGACUUAUAUUUUAUGUCUAUAAGUCCAAUAAAAUAGUAUUUCACACUAUUUUCAUUUAUAUUUAUUUUUAUAUUAAAAUUUCAGCAUACUACACCCCACCGCAACUUCAUAAUUUAAGAAGUUCGGUACCUUACAGCUGCCUAAGUAGAAGAUCUUAUGUGAGGGAAGAAAAGAGUAGAACACAGAGAGAAUGGGUAAGAAAUAGUUGAUAUGAUAGGACCUGAAAUCGUAGGGUCCAUGUGCGCCAAGUAGUUAGAACUAAAGGCUUUUUCGGUUUUUGUUGUUUGAUUUUGAAUUCUCAUGCACUUUUGCCAUGAUUGGGCAAAACAUGUAAUAAAGUACGCAUUUAAUUGACCACGUGCAAUUUCCAGCUUAUGUUAUCCAAAUGUUAGUCUCUAUAUGAUGUUAGGCGGCCUCCAGCUUUUCGUCGUGUUUGUCCAGUUAUUUGUUGUACAUAAUUUAUUAGGAUUCUAUCAUCCUUGCAUUAAAUCUUCUCUGCAUACUGUGUAGGUGGAUAUAAGAAUUGCGCCUGGAACCCAUGCAACUGAAGCAACUGGUCCGCUCUCAUUUCUUAUUAAUUUCUUCAGUACCAACCCUGCCUGUUUCUAUUUUUGGUAAAACACUAAUAUUGCUGAAGUGUUGAUACUUUCUCUGCCUAAUGCAGUGAAUAAGCAAUUGAAUGACAAAGAACGGGUCGCAGCAGCAUUGGAAAACCCUACCCUGUUGGAAGUAAUCGAGGAUUGCUUGUCACCCACAUUUGCCUGAUGCCUGGACUGCAGCGGGUCUGUUAUCGACUACUGCGCUCAUUGUCAUGCUUUGCAGUCAGUCUGUACUGAUAACGGAAUCUGAGUGAUAUAGGGUGGCCUACACUUUCCCAGAGUGCAGUGCAAAGUUGUUUAUGGGUAAUUUUGGUGUGCUCGCUAGAAAAAAGGAGUUUCGGCAACAAGUAUUUUGCUGGAUUAGGUUGACAAUUCGUUAAUUGUUGGGUCAACGUUAUUUCCUAGCUUUCUGGAUUAUGAAUAGAUUGUGAAUAACAGGGAAAUGGAAAGCAACGGUGGAGAAAAAUUUUUGGUGCUUCAUUCAUGCGAUCUGGGUUUUUGUAUUGGUCGGCAGAGGUAACUGCUUAUCGGGGCAUAUCGUUUACAAAAAUACUUAUGUAGCUUUUUAUCCAAACUACUAGUUAAGGGGACCCGCGCGUUGCGGCGGAGAGCUAGGAGCUAAUACAACAGUAUUGUAUUACAGUUUUUAAAUAAUUUUUUUCCAACUAUAGAAUUUUGUAAAGUAAGAUGGCUUAAUUUUAGGUCAAGGUAUUUUUUAUUACUUACAACUAAUUCGAAAUAUAGCAAAUUUGUGAAUGCAAAAUUAUGAAUUUCAAUGCUUUAACGAAUUCAAAACUCCAGCCGCAAUUUGCAAAUGUUACCGGAGCAAGCACAACAAAGGUAUUUCGAGAACCCUUAAGCAGCGUAAACAAAUAAACCCUAGUAGCAAAUAUUUCAAUGUUCUAAUGAAUUCAAAACUCGCGCCGCGAAUUACAGAUGUUACCAAAGUAAAUACAACAAAAGUAUUUCGCGAACCCUUAAGCAGUGUAAACAAAUAAACCUAUGUAGCAAACACUGGAACGAUUACUGAAAGACAAAAGAGACAAUCUUGUUAAAUCAACCAUUUGUAAACAUGUCUAAAACAAAGAUGAAAGAUAUUAGAGCAUUUUUAAAUUUUCUACAUUUAGCAAUGACGCAAGAGAUUACUGCUGAUAAGGUUAAAACAAUAUAUUCGAUUAUCAUUCAGAGUUGUUUAUUAAACCUGCGAAGACAACUUAGCGCAUGAAAAUGAACAUAACAACGUGAAAGCCUCCAAUUAUGCGAAAGAUCUGGAAGGACAAAAUAUUACACCAGAAUAUAGAAAGAAAAGUAUCAAAUAGCAAUUGAGAAAAAAAGUUGUUUAAAAAACACCGAUGANAAAAAAAUCAUGGAAGCUAUAAAAUUGAAACCUUAGAAACUAAAAUGAAAUUGAAACCAAAAUUAAGAUUGCUAUGAAAUUUGAAAGACAAAACAACUUAUUUCUACUUGAAAAAAAAACCAUAAAAUGUAGUACCCUAUAAAAGGAAAUCUGGUAAGAAUAUCUUACCAUUCUAGCAUGAUCUAAAUAUAUUAUUUUUCUGAUCAUGCCAAAUUUAUUCUUUUAUGCAACAAAUUAGAAAGCUAUUCCAAAUAGGCCAAAAAAAUACUUGUGAAAGAAAUUAGAGAAAUAGAUGAAUAAUUCUAAAAACUGAAGCCACGAAUUCUGCAAUAAACUGGCGUAGUAUUGAUUUAGCUCACUUUGCAACUAUUAAGACAAACUACCUCUUCAGUGCUUAGCAAACAACGCAAAAAUAUUAAUAGAAUUAUGUAAAAUGCAAAGUCUUAUAUGUUUGAGCAAACAAUUAAAAUAAAAUGAACAUCUAUGGUACCAAAACUACAAACCUAAACUAACUGAAACUGAGUCCAUAAGAAAAUAAUCUUAUAAAUAUCCAAAAUUUUUGUACAUAGGAAUUGCUUAAGGCUCACCUGCUUUUUCCUCUUCAUUUGUGAUAGAAAAGGCCAAAGAUCUUUUCUUGCUAAAAAAAAAAAAGAUUCCGCAACUGGUCAUUGUUUGGUUUUAUUUGAUAAUCACCAUUUGAUCCACCGUCAUAAUGAACAUUUGCACUCGAAUAUUCUUCAUUUGCAGGUUUUAUGGCUUCAGAAUAAAACAUUUCAGCUAACUUUGGAAGACGGGCUUGUGACCUAUUCAUUUUCCCAAAUGUGUAAUAACGGUCAUUUUUUUUAUGAAAAUUAAACCCUUUGUUGAUAAUGUUUCUAUGUGUAAUGUAAUUAUAAAAGCACACGUCAAAUUUCAGGCGAAACCGAGCUAAAGUAGAGAAGUUAUGAGACCUGGAAGUUCGACUUAAGUGAAUAGUAACUCCGGUUUCCGGAGAAGCCACGAAGCAAACUUGGCCUCUGGCACGUACAGACCUCCGAACAUAGGACUCCAAUAGCUCGUUUCGAACCUCUCGACUAUACUGGAACCAUUGGCACUGACAGAAUUGGGUUCUGAUGCACGGUUGUCGAGAAAAAGGGGUUUAAUGGCUUUUACAUAUGAUUAUACCUAUAUGUGGUUUUGGUGGAACCAAUGAGGGUGGGUUUUGUCGCAAAUCGGAGACCUUUUCAGACGAAACGAAAUGCUAGAUUCGAUGCCCCAGUCGUGCUGAUCGCGCUGGCGCAAUCCGUUUGGAAAUCCGACGGACGGAUCUUCGGGAAUCGCGAAAAGUCCGCGAAGGGGCUGAUUUGACAAAACAGAUAAAUCGCGAAGAAGCCCAUUAUUUUAUGCGCCGUUUUGCGAGUUUUCGAACUCGGAGGGACUGUCGUGCAAGGUGCACCAACUGGUAGGGAGCUGGGUCGAAAUUGAUCAACUUCGGGGGUUUUUCCGCAAAGUUUACUCUACCUACAUAUAGGAAGAUCUAGGGUUUCGAGGUGAAACCCUAACCCUAAUCCGCCCCCAGUUGACCUAGACCACCCUAGCCGCCCCAGCUGAGCCCUGCCCUAUCUGUGCGCGCGCCCCGGUCGCCGGCGUGCUGCUCCGGCCACCGGAAACCCUCCUGCAACCUACCCGGUCCACCAUCUCGGCCACCCUUUCCUCUUCCUUGGCCGAGAGCAGGUGGGGCAACUCCACCACCUCUGGAAGGGAAGCCCCGGCCGUGAUCCACCUCCAGCACGUUGUUCCCCCGGCUCCGGCCAUCCCCGGACGCCGCCGGAGCCGCCUGAGGGAGUUGCGGCCAGCCCGGGUUAGCCCAGACCGAGCCGGGCCAACCUUGGAGCUGCGCCGCCCCCAAGCCCUGCCGCCGCUUCCCGACGGCCGCGGAGGUCUCCGCCGACCGUCCGGCGACCACCGCACCCGACCCCGGCCACCCUUGACCGCUGCCGGCCGCCGCAGGUGCCCCCUGCCGCCGCCUUUGUGCUGUACGGGCCGAGCGCGGGCCGCCUUAACUCCCGGGCAUCGCUCCCGACCGGCCCCGACCAGCCCCGGCCGCCGCGUCGCCGCCGGCAACUGUUGGAAAGCACCAAACCGCAAGGGAGUUGGCGGCUUCGUACGCCGCCGCCGCACCUCCGGCCGCCCUGCGCCGCCUGACGUGGAGUGCCCCGGAGCCCCGCCAUCUGGUGCACCCAUCCCCGGCCGGACCGCCCGCCGGAAUAUCGCCGGCGGCCAACCCUAGCUUCCCCCCUCACUGUGAGUGUUCAUUUAUGUUCUAGCACUGUUUUUCGAGUUUCCGGUCACCUUUCCGGUGAUCCGAUAAGCCUCCUGAACUUCGGGAAGUGAGCAUGAUGAUCUAGGGUUCGUGCUGAACAUCGUGCUCACCUCCGACAGCGGCAAAGAUGCCCUGGUUAGUGAAUUAGUCGCGAUCUUCGCGCUGUGCGUGCAGUUUAACAGACCUUCGCGUCGCUCGUGCGCGCACCGCAGUCGCAGAAUGUGCUCCGAAUGGUGAGCACGGUCUCCGGCACGCUGAAACCUGUCAGCGAGUAUGACGGUCGGAUUAAUCGACCUCUGGUUUGCGUGCACGGUCCAGAAAAGCCUAGAAAUCACAUGAAAAGAUGCGAUUUCACGUAUCGGUAUGGGCUUUUGGGUUUUUUGCUUCGUUGUAGAUGCUGUUGGCAGCAUGUUUGGGCUGAGGAUAACCUUUGGACUGAUCGUCCAAGGCCCCAAGCCCUUGCGGAAAUCGAAAAGUGAUUCCGGAGCGUUUUCGGCGAAAUCCGCCGAUAGAACGCGGUUUCGGUUCGGAUUUCAUCCGACGGUGCCUCGUGGCUGAGUGUAGCGUCGCUGAGCCUUGUUGGCUGGUCACCCGCGUCGUUUUGAGGGUUCCGAAAUGACGGGUGAGCGACGAUGAAGUUUCGGUGCGGUUUUCGGGACUUCCGGCUUAUUCGGUAAUCGGUUUUGGAAAACCGGUCGUGGUUCUGGUGAGCGGGGGUUGUGAGUUAGCAUUACAUGUCAGUGGGUUAGACCUUAACCCGUUGGACCUUUCGUAGGUUCGGUCGCACCGUCUUCACAGUCGAGAGACCUUCAUCAGAUACGUACAGGUGGGUACUUCGACCCGACGUCGGUACAGUGGUGCACGCUCGGUGACCCUUCUUCACCCCUACUGUUUACUCUAUCUUACUGUUAUAUUGAACCUUACACCUGCAUUUAUAUCUGCAUUCCUCUACUCAGUUAUUUCCAUGUUGACAUCAUGCUUAGGAGUAGAGUUGACUUAUCUGUUCACUAUAUCUGUGGUUUGGUUGGGCGGCUCCCCUAUUUUGAUAUCUAUGACCUAUUCGGUCGAGUUGCUACAGCUCUAUCUUGAUAUACGUAGCCGACUAGUUACUGAUGAUCUAUACGGUCGGUGUGCCCUGAGGGGCUGGAUUGUCGGCUAGUUGCCGAUGGAAGAUCUUUGAGCAUACUACAUUGAUCGCCACUCCAGGUACGCAUUUCACGAACACCAGCGGUCUGAUCCACCGCAAGAGGGUGUUCUUUUCCGGAAAAGUGGUUGGAUUGCCAACCCGUGAGCCCAGGGGCUUUAUUGCGAGGGUAUAUGCUUCUGACCCAGGGGCUUUAUUGCGAGGGUCAGGUACAGGUUGAGCGGUGUGGCAUGGGCCUGACGUCUUCGGACCAAUAGGGCAGCGAGAUUGGGUACUUUUGAGGUUAUUGUCAGUUGACGCAUGCAUACAGUAGCUAUAGUGUUUACUUCCAGUACAUCCUUAUCUGUUUAUUGUAGCUACUGUUUUAUUCACCUGCAUCUAUACUUGUCAGCUUCUUACUUAUCAGCAUCUUUACUUACCAGCUUUUAUAUCUAUCUAGUUCUCCGUGACUGGUGAGUACCCCUCGCCUUCUUCGGCUUGCGGUACCCACUGGGAAGGGAGACAUGUUUACAUGUUCUCACCCCCCGCCCCCAUUACAGGUGACGUAGCCGGUCCGAGUGGGACAGCUGGUGAGGAACGGGUCUAGCAUACGAUAGAGCUUUUCGUCCCGUGGUUUGGUUUAUCUACCCUUACUCUUCAUGAUUAAAUAAAUAACUAACUUAGACAUAUUAUGGUUCAGUUUUAUUUUACUAUUUGGAUAUCUGAGUUUUCAGUUGGUUUUGGAAUGUAAUAAAGGAAUUUGCGUUUUCUUGAAAUGGAAAUGGCUUUCUACCCCUCGUGGUAGCGUUUUGAAAAGUUAAAAGUUCCUGUGUAGGGAACAGUUUUAAAAAGGUUUUCUGUGAAUUUUAUAUCUUAGUAUUUCAAAACCUGUUUCUGUGGUUGGAAACAUUUUAACUGAUAGAUGUGGAUUUAUAUUUAAAUAGCGAAUGUAUAUUUGUGAAUCUGUGGUGAAUGGUGUAUGAAUGUAUAUCUGUGGUUGUUUGUAUAUUCAUCUGGAUGUGGUUGUUGUAUGAUUGAACUCUUGUACUUGUGCGACGCCGUGCAAAUAUAGGGGAGACGCUGUCCGUGUGAACAGUGGAACUCCUGUAUUUGUGGCGGAUCUGGCACACUCUGGGGUCAGAUUUAAAAAAAAAAAAAAAAUUCAGACGCUUUUCCGCUACCUUUUAAACUAAAAGGGACCCCGGGGCGUGACAAAAUGUCAAUCACCACAGCAGUAGAAACCAAAUAUAAAUCAACCAGGUGCAAAAGUAAAUGAAAAUUUCAAGGGAAUAAAAAAAAAAUAAAAGAAGUAAUGAUAAGACAAUAGCAUUUCUUAAACAAAAAAACUGAAACCUACCUUUUUAGCUUCUGUUGUGCUUUAUGCCUUUGACUUUAAUAAUUAAACUUCUUCAAUUUCAAAGCAAUCCUACAAAGUAAAUAAUUAAAAGGAAUGCAAAGUAAUAUUAUUAUCUUUUUAUCUUGAAGCACUAUAUAAUGUUUUGUCAUAUUUUCUAAAUUGAAUAUAAAUAUUAAAAAUUAAAACUUUUUAUAUUCUUACUUGCUCUUUACUCAGUUGCUACUCAAGAUCGCCUAUUAUAAUAGAGAGCUUGUGUGCUUCUUCAACUUUUUGCUCCUGAAAGACUUGUUAAAGAACACACGCAAAAAAAAAGCCUAAAUACAUACGACACGUAAAAAUUUAACUCAUAUAGUAGUUCAGAUAUUCAUAAAUAAAAAAAAGCAGUCUGAUCAAAUAUUCAAUUUUAUAUGUUUCAGCUGAACUCUAGUUGGGAUAUUCAUCCUUAAUCAGCUCAACAUCUUAUUUUAUGUGCUUUAGCUGCAUAAAAGAGGGAGGAAGUUCACAAAUAAACAAAGAAAAACAACAUGCUGAUGAUAAAACACAGGAAUUUUUUUUGCUGCCCUAUUCCAACCGAAAUUAUUUUUGAGUUAAAUUUACAUCACCAUACUUUUAUUAAAAUUAACAAAUAAAAAGACAAAAAACAUAUUGUUAAUAAUGAUUAGGAACCUAUAAAUAUAAAGAUUUUUAAAGUCGGCAGUGACAAUAUAUCAAACAGUUUACAAAUAAAUAAAAAAAAAUAUUGUUAACAAUGAUUAGGACCUAUAAAUACUUUUAAAAUUGCAAGCGACAAUACAUCGAACAGUUUGCGUGCAUGGUAAACAACCCCAACAUCACGAUUAAAAUGAAUCACAGAUAAGAAGGAUCCAAUCAAAAAGAAUAGAUCAAAGGGAGAGUGAUGUAGGGAGGGAUCUUAUGAUGCUGAUGAUGAAGGACUCAAAUUGGACGUCGGAUGAGGCAGUGAAAGAGGAUGGCAUUUGAGAGGAGAUGCGGAAGCGGGCGUUGCCCCUGUACACAGCACAAAAAGACAACGGUCAUUCUUUUGCCAUUCUAUCCAUUUGAAUAUACUCUAAGAAAGGUAAAAAAUGCCUCCCUUCGAUUGCUAAUAUAUAAGUAAUUUGCUAGUAAUGACCUUUAAAUUCCGAUGGAAAAGUACUUAAAUCACAUAUAUUCUAAAGUUUAAUAAUAACGUCAGAAUAUUGAAGUUAGGUUACCCAAUUCAAAACAGCAAUACAUCAGGCGAGGUCUGUAUAGUAUUACUGAACAACAAUAAGGCAUACUAUUACCUCUGCCAUGGCUUUGAUUUUGAGAGUCGUGCUGCUAGAAAGAAUGAUAAGUUGUCCAUCUUUCCUAAUUUCCUUGAACAGGAGAGCACAAUCUAGAAUGUGAUCCUUAGCUGUUGGAGAAACAAUAUGCAUGAAAUUUCCAUAUCUUGAGAAAGACAUGGAGCUAAAGAUCUUAGCCCCGAGUUCAUUAUUUCCAUCAAUGAAUUGCAAAGUUGGUGUUAUAGGAGGAGUUGGUGCCACUGGUUUAGUCUCUAGAGAGCUUUGGACAUAGAGCCACCAACUUGUAUUUUUCAUACAUUCUUCAAUCCAUUGUAGUGCUGAAGAAGCCUUUGAAGAUGGCCUUCUAAAGAAGUUUUUCAUACAUUCUUCAAUCCACCAACUUGUAUUUUUCAUACAUUCUUCAAUCCAUUGUAGUGCUGAAGAAGCCUUUGAAGAUGGCCUUCUAAAGAAGUUUCCAUGUCGCUUCAUGCAGUCAAGCUCCCUUAUGACUGAAGCAGAAAGAAAUAAAACCUAACAAUUUGCUGAAGAAAUCUACAUAAGCGACAUUUAAAAGUAAAAUAAAGCUUGUAAUUGUAAAGAAAGCUAAUAGUCAAAAUUAAAAUUAUAAUACAAAUAAUCUUAAAUGGCAUUAUAUAUAUACAGCAAAAAACUUCACCAGUUAACAUUCAAACUACCAUCUCCCUCUGCCGAUCCACUAAGAUACGCCCGCUCCCGUGGACCGCGUGCAGGAACAAUGCGGAGAGCGCAGCGGCGCCGAUUGCGGAGAGCUCUGCCGUACCCGCUUAGGGAUCAUCGAUCUUCAUCCAGUGCUCGCCUUCCGGAUAACAGUUCUAAUAGCACUACACCGAAGCUGUAUAUGUCGCUCUUCACGGAUAAGUGGCCUCGCGGAAAAAUGUAAACAUUGUUAGAAAUAAGUUAUCACUAACCGACCCUGUUCAUCGGAAUCGGGCCGUGUUCAUUUAUGAUGUAAUAUGUUACCACCUCAACUUGUAUACUUUCUAUACUUUCUAACCGACCCUGUUCAUCGAAAUCAGGCUUUGUUCAUUUCUGAUGUAAUCUGUUACCAUCUCAACAUGUAUACUUUCUAACCGACCCUGUUCAUCGAAAUCGGGUCCUGUUUAUUUCUGAUGUAAUAUGUUACCACCUCAACUUGUAUACUUUCUAAAUAUAUAACAGCGAGCGUAAACAUUCAUAUUUAUCUGCUUUUGCAUAAUUUGAGGAUGAGUCGAAAUAUAACCUGUAGCAAUAUAUUCUGGAGCCGCAUAACCACGGGUUCUGACAAUAUAUUCUGGAGCCGCAGUAAAGAAAUUGAUGUUAGAAGCACAAUAACAAUUUUUUUUUGUUCCCUUCCAUAGAAAAGAAAUGAGAAAAAAAAACCAAGGAAAGAAGAACUCCAUGGUUUUCUUUGAGGCAUAGCCAUUCCGAUGCUGUCCAUGUUGAGGAGCCGAGCGGCAUUUUGGAGCGCCCCGUCGGUGAUAGCGACGAUGCCAUUCUUGUCGAGCACGUAGAAAGGCAUAGCUGAGGGGGCAGUCAACGACAACGACGCUUCAUUAGUCUACCUGCACAAAGGUGCUACCAAAGGAGGUCGGUGGCGGAGGUGGUGCCAUGUGGCAAAUAAGGCGAGAAGAGGGGUAGCGAGGAAGACGCCGAGGACGGAGAGGAGGGGAUUACGGGGGAAGUUGGCUCAGGUGAAUGGCAAAGAGGACGGAGAAAAUGACUAAAGAGGGGAAAAGGGUGAGAGCGAGCACAGGAAAAGGAUUGGGGGGGAUGGGGAGGAUGUACGACAGUAUGGCCGGAUCCAAACCCGUUGGUGUGGGGUCAGCAUGGGAGCAGAAGCAUGGGCUAAGGUAUGGGCACAUUGACUUCUGUUUCCUCUUUGUUUUUUCUUCUUUUUUUUUCCAAAGAUGGGCCGCAUCCGCGCCGGCUCGCGGCGGCGCGCCGCCCUGGCUCGCGCCCGCAUGCCCGGGCCCACUCCCGCUCGCCCGCGCCCGCGGACGCUCGCCUGCUCGCCUGCCCGCGCCCGCGCCCUUUCGCCCCCUGCGUCGCUCGCCCGCCCCUCCCCCUCGCGCUGAUCGCGGAGGCCCUGCCGUACCAGCUAGAAUCCUGAUUCAAAUAUUCAAAAAGGUGAAAAAAGGAAAAAUAGAGAGAGAGAUGAUGGCAUCUCACAGGAAAAAAGAGGAAAUAAAAGGAAAAAACCCAACUCGGCGCCUGCUCGUUCCGCGCCGUUCGCGCGUGUGCUCGUGCCCGCCGCCCACGCGCCCGUCGCCCCCCCGCGCCGGCUUCGCACGCGGCUGGCCCGCCCGCUCGCAGCCAUCGCGGAGAGGCGCUCCUGAGAGAGAGAGGAGAGAGUGAGUGUAUGGAGAGAGAGAAAGUUGUGUGGGAGAUUUUUUCCUUUAAAAAAAAGGUACAUCGUCAGAGAAAGAAGAGGUAUAUAAUGAGAGAGAAAGAGAGGUAUAUAAUACUGUGAGAAAAAGUGAGAGAAGAGAGAGAGGUAUAUAAUGUGUGUAAGAGAAGAGAGAGGUAUAUAAUAUCUAUGAGAGAGAUGUGAGAGAGAGUGAGCUACCUAUAUAUAAUGAGAAGAGAGAGAGAAGGUAAUGUACUAAUUUUUUUGGCAUUAUAUAUAUAUAUAUUUGUGAGAGAGAGUUGUAUAUAUAUAUAUAUAUUAUAAUAUAUAUAUUAUAGUAUUAUAUAUAUAUAAUGCCUAAAAAAAUUACUACAUACCUCUCUCUCUUCUCAUGUAUAUUAUAUAUAUAUAUAUAUAUAUACUAAUAUAUAUAUAUUAUAUAUUAUACUAUAUGCGAGAGAGAGGUGAGGGAAAAACAAAAAAAAAAAACACCAAAAACCCCACAUGAGUGAAGAGAGAAAACAAAAAAAAGAAAAAAAAAAGUACCCCGAAAGAGAGAGAGUAUGUAGUAAUUUCUUUAGCAUUAUACAUAUAUAUGUGUAAGAGAGAGUAGAUAAUAUAUAUAUAUAUAUAUAAUAUAUAAUUUAAUAUAUAUAUAUAAUAUAUAUAUAUAUAUAUAGAAAAUAUUAGAACUACAAAACAUCUAACCCAAUUGUUAAAAAAAUUUACAUCAUAGACCAUAUAUUUAGUUUGAUUCUAUAUAAAUGUACACUCUCUCUCUAUACUAUAUAAUAUAUAUAAUAUAUAUAUAUAUAAUAUAUAUAUAUAUCCCAUACAUAAUAUAGAAUUAUAAUAUAUAUAUAUUGGAGACACUCACAAUAAUAAAUCAUCUGCCAAUUGCUUAUAAAAUGCACGAAGUCAACUAAUAUUACAACCAUACACACUAUCAUCUAUCCAUUUGUAAAAAACUUUACAUCAAACCAUAUUAAAUUAUGUUAUAUAUAAAUACACACUCUCUCUCUAUAUUAGUAUAUAUAUAUAUAUAUAUUAUAUAUAUAUAUAUAUAUAUAUAAUAUUGUGAGAGUGGGUGGGAAAAAAGUGGGCCGCACAGUGCCCCAACAGUACCCCCCAAAUCCAGAGAGAGAGAGAGAGAGUGUGUGUGAGGGUUUUUUUUUUUUUAAGGUGGGCCCCACAAAAGGACCCUUGGAACCCGGAGAGGGCUCCAAGGGGUUCCCCUUUCAUGUUUGUAUAGAAGAUAGAUAGAUGAAUAAAAUAAUCUGUAUAUAUAUUUUUUUCUAAAAAAUUGAAAUAAAAUGUGAUUUUUUUUUGGAGUUUAAGGUUAUUAUUCAUGAAUAAUUCGCGACCGCUCAAUUACCUAUAAAUUAAUAUCAUGAAUUGGGAGUUUGUCACGCCCCGGAUUACUCGUUUCCCCGGGCUCGCUAACAGACCCGCCGUAUACAUAGAAAUUUUUCUCGUAUACGAAGCGAAAUAGUAGAAGUACCUAUAAUCAUACAAUACUACAAACAGUAGUAUAGAGCAGCUAGGAAAGUAAACCAUAUAUAUAAACUGUGGUUCACUGCAUACAUGUUAUCCAGGGUAUACAAAAACUCGCUCUGGCGAGAUACAACAACUGUAUGUAAAGACCCAAAAACUACAACUGCUUGUAGUUGGUGCUCCUCUAGCUCUGCGACUCGUCUGGAAGGGCUGUAACUCACAACGCCCUUGCCACGAUCAGUCUCGGUAGAAGCAGCAGCCGGAACAGAAGGCUUUGCAAAAACAGGGUAACAAUUGGGUGUGAGAACUACUACAAAAAGAAGUAGUACUCAGUGGGUGCCGCCCUCGAACUCAUCGGUCCACCCACUAAGUCUACAGGGAUAAGCAAGACUAGUAAAGAAAGCUGGAACAAAUCUACAACUAAAUAUCGCUAUACUAUCAUGCUCUAACUCUAACCCUCUGUAGAACAAUGUCAACUCAGACCCAAUCUCAAAUAAGAACUGUAAUCAUACCCGUCUCUGGGACUGUGAACACACCUGUCCCGCCCGGUUGCGACUAUAUAGCUACCUCUACACUAACCAGUCCGUGGAGAGCAAGUCCAACCUGCACGAACGACACCAACGCAAAAGAACAGCGCCCGUCUUCGGAGUGGCACCCGUGGGACUACCCAACCGAGUAUGCAGCAUAUCUCUGUCGAGCUCAAUCAAGCUCUAACAAGCCAAAGUCAAGUAGAUAGGGUCAAAAUAGGUCUAGAAACCAAACCCAGUGCCCUCGGCACAAUCUGAGACUAAAAACAGAAAUCUAGAUCCACCGUCAACCCCGACGGCACCCGACAUCCCGGAACAGCUUAGACUCCACUGUAAAAUCAAGCUCAGCGUCUCAGUAUGAGCGUAAAUACAUUUUAAACUACUCCGAGUACCGACCGCGCUGAAACAACGGCGAUAUAAUCAAAACACGGCUCCUAGAGCUAAAUCAGGUAGUAGAAUCAUAUGACGGGUCAAAAUGCUAGUUUUCUCCUAAAUCAAAAUUUCAAGUCCAACAUGUAUAAUUUAUUAACUCAUUCAGCAUGCUUUACAAUUCAGAUUACAACCCAAAGCUAAUGGAUGAAUUCAAUCAAACUGAAUAGUAGACAAAAAUGGAAAUCAUACACGUCGACUAUAUAUGCACUUAGGAGUAACCCGAUGAAAACCCACCUCAAAUGCUCUUUCCUGGCAGCAAGGAGGUCUUGAAACUACUGUGAGACUCAGCCGAAAUCACACCAAAUCAGCAACUGGAAUACUUGAAGGAUCUAGCGUUGAAAUCUACAAAAAUCCAAUAAUUCAGCACUUAAGCUUAAAUUAACCCAACUCCAAUGUCCAAACUCACCUAAUCACAUCCAAAUCUGGUGAGAAGGGUCUCAAAUCCAGUGAAGUAUACUGAGAUAUCUAACUCAGGUCCAAACUUUCCCUACUUCCAAAGAUAGCAUCAAGAAAACAAAAAAAAAAAAGAUUUUCAGCUCAAAGUCACCAGCAGUCCAGAAAAAUAUGGAAUCGACCAAGCUCACCUCAACCAAAAUCUACAAUUCUAGGCUUUGUGCAUUCCUCUGAAAGUCUAGAAUCCAUCAAACCAAGUUUCACUACAAUCCGACCUUCUUACGUCACACACGAGGCAAAACACCGAAGGUCGUCGCUGGAAAACUGCAGAAUCAGCACUCCUCAAGCUAAAUUUGUGGACCUUUGAUGCAAUUUGAGUGAAUGGGAGGGUUAGGAUGCUAAAGUGGACUUCUCUAUGAAGAACAGAUGAAAAGAGCUCACUGUGGUCGAACACCACCUAUUUAUAGCGUGUUAGAACAGUCCAAUAAGCCUCAGGAACAACAGCUGCAAACCUGCAAUUCUGCAGAAACGGGUACUUUUGGGUGCCCAAAACCCUUCUCUGGGCGUCCGAAACCUCCAGACUAUACACGUGCUCACCUUCGGGUCCUCCGCCUGCGAUGUGCUGCGCCCAUAACCGGCUCCGGCGGACCUCACCUACCACCAACCACGUGUCAGCGCAAACGAUAUUUCCAAAGUGGAUUUUCGGACCCACAUCCGGGCGCCUGAAACACAGAUCCGAAUUGGCUUCCAGUUCUGUUCAGUUAUGCAUUGAACUUCUGGGCGGCCCAAACCCUGUUCUGGGCACCCUGUGACACCCCAAUAAUCCCACAUUGGAUGGGAAUGGGUUGUCAUUGGGUUUAUAAGAGACUUAGACACUAAUAAUAAUAACUGGGCUUAAGCAUUUUGGGCCGGUGAUUGGGCCCAACGAGUUAUUGUUGCUAGUGGGCUGGAUCGUUACAUUUGGUAUCAGAGCCGGUUCACCAGCUAGACAUGUGUGGCGAGUCUCGGCUGAGCAAGGGUCUGGAUGACGGGCUAGCGAGAUGAGUCUCACAUCGUCUGGUGAUCUUGGGCUAUGUGUGUGAUUGGACUGACGAGGACGUCAGGGCCUUAACGGGGGGAGUCUGUGACAUCCCAAUAAUCCCACAUUGGAUGGGAAUGGGGUUGUCAUUGGGUUUAUAAGAGACUUAGACACUAAUAAUAAUAACUGGGCUUAAGCAUUUUGGGCCGGUGAUUGGGCCCAACGAGUUAUUGUUGCUAGUGGGCUGGGUCGUUACACACCCGAAUCUGGCAAAACUUCAGUUUUGCUUAUUUGAGUGCGCCGAGUCUAUUUCUGCAUCCAUUUCGUGCAGAAUUGAUUCCGACUCAGUCCGACACUCUCCAUAUGUGCCGACUAGUCACUAACACUGAAGUCAAUCCUAUCCAAAGCUCUAGAACACUACAGAGUUGGAAGCUAUGUGGCGGGCAGAGCGGGAGCAGGAGGGGGAACGAACUGGUGGGGUUGGGGAUGUGUGGGGCCAACUAGAAGUAGGUCAUUUUUUAAAAAUUUCAUUUUAAUUUUUUCUUUCAUUUAGACUAUAAGGGUGUGUUUGGUUCAAAGUCGGAAUCGGUAUCAAAAUUGGAAUGCGAAUAAGCUGGAAGUGAAAUUGGAAUGAUUCAAUCUCAUUCUAUUUGGUUUGCCAUUUGAAUCGGAAUCGGAAUGAACCACUUUCAUUGUCGGUGUUUGAUUUAGAUAGAUAUUAGAAACGUAAUUAAAUUAAUAUACCAAUUUUAUCGUUAUAAUAUAUUAGUUUAAAUUCAAACUAAAAUUAAAUAUUAAAAAUUUACGUCAAAAUUUUAAAAUAAUAUCAAAAUUUUAAAUAUAUAUUUUUAAAAAACUAAAAUUUAAAAUUGAAUGGAUAAUUCAAAACAUAAAACUAAAUUUUGAUUUGUUCAAAUUCAAACAUAAAAAUAAGAUUACAUUUCAAUUUGAAAUUGAAUAGAUUUAAUUAUAAUUUUACACUAAUAAUUUGAAUUAAAACUUUAGACUUUAUUAAUUUAUAAUAGAUUCAAAAUGCUUGAUUGAAUUAUUAAUUUUUACUUUUAAGUUCAAAAAAGAUUUAAAAAUUUUAUAAUAUAAUUUAAACUAAAACUUUGUUUAACAAAUAACACUAAAAAAAAUAAAAUUAUCCAACGAAAUCCAUUCCGUGAUGUCAAAUAUUUUCAAUAUUCGGUCUAGGCCGAAUACGAAAAAAAGAGUAAUGGGAUCCCCUUCACGUCGAAAUCGAAAUCGGAAUUAAAAAUCCACAAUAGCAAAUACGAACAAACGGAUUCAUCUAUUCAGAUUCCGAUUCCAUGGUGAAAAAUGGACAAAUACGCCCUAAAGUUAGAUUUUUUUUUUUUAAUCCAAUUAAAUUUUUUCCUCUUUUAUUAUAAAAAUUAAAAUAUAUAAAUAUUUAUACAUACUUUUAAAUAGUUUAGAUUAUAUUACUAAAUAUAAAUUUUAGUUUUAUAAUAUUAAUCAAUUACAUAUAGAUUGUAUACUGAAAAAUAAAAGAAAAAUUGAUGAAGUUUAAGCUAAUUAUUUAUUUUAAUAAAUUUAGUUACAAAGAAUACGUAAUAAAGCAUAGUAACUAAAUUUGUAAAGUUAAAAGAAACAUUCAAAUUUUGAAGUAAAAGUAUCAUUGAUUGAUUUAAAUCUAAUAUUAAAAUUUAUUAGAUAGCUUAACGUAUUCUUUUUAUGAAUAAAAUUACUGAUUGAACAAAACCGAUUAUUGCUCAACUCUGUGUAGUGUUUCGGGAGUUUGGUAUCGGAUUGGCUACAGUAUUAGUGACUAGUCGACACAUCUGGAGAGUGUCGGACUGAGUCGGAAUUGUUUUUGCACGAAAUGGAUGCAGAAAUAGACUUGGUGUACUUAAAUAAGCAAAACUGGAGUUUUGUUAGUUUCGGGCACCCAGAACCUGAUUUGGGUAGCCCAAAUCUUGAGUGAAGAAUUGAACUGAAACUGGAAGUCAAUUCGGAUCCUGUGUUUUGGGCGCCCAGAAGUGAGCCUGAAUAUUCACCAUGUGUUUGAUGUGGGUGUUGACACGUGUAGGGUGGUAUGUGAGAAUCACCGGACCAGGUUACGGGCGCAACUUAUCGCAGGCGGAGGAACCAAGAUGGAGUUUUGUAUUGGCUAGGAGUUUCGGACGCCCAGAAGUGGGUUUCGCGCGCCCGAAAGUGCAGAUUUCUGCAGGAACAGCAGGUUAGUGUUCUUUGUUCCUGAGGCUUAUCAGACCCUUCCCCCUCCUUAUAAAAGCAUGGGGAUGACCCCUGAGCUGGUUUUUCACCCUCUUUCACAGUGAAGCCUCUAUUUUGCAUUUUAGUCCCUCUAAACCCUCCAAAUUCCACAAUUUCACCUAGAGGACUGCAGUUUCAGCAGAUUUCCAGCAGCGAUUUUCGGCGUUUUGGUUCGUGUGCGACGUAGGAAGCUCCGAUUGCUGCGAAACUUGGUUUAGUGGUUAGUAGACUUCUUGGAGGUUUCAUGGAGCCUAUUUUUACAGCAUUUGAUUGAGAUUUAUAUGGUCAAUUUAAUGUUUUUCUGAGCUGUUGUCAUGAUUGAGCUGAAAUUGGAAUUUUUGUGAUUUUCUUGGAUCAAUUCUUGGAGGAAGCUGGAAUUUCGACCUGAGGAUAUUGUUCCAUCAUGCUCCAUUGGUUUUGGGACCUUUCUUCACCUAAAUUAAGCUUUGGAAGGUGAGUUUGACAUUGAGAUUUUGGUGAAAUUAAGCUUAAGUGCUGAAAUUUAGAGUUUUGAUGGAAACCUUUCGAGUUUUGUGCUUUGAUCCUUAGAGAGGUCUUGCUGGGUUGUUGCUGAUCUUAGCAUGGUGAUUCCAGUGGUUACUUGCUGUUGUCGAGCUCGUGUUAGAGGUGGGUUAAUGAUAUGCUUACCGGAAUUUUCGGAUUUUGCCUCCUAAGCCUAUUUGUAACGGCAUGUAUUUUCCGCUUUGUAUAGUAUGUUUAGUAGCUCGAUUCAUUGAUUUACUUUGUUAUUAAAUCUGAAUUGAAGCUUAGAAUAUUCGCUAAAUUAUACAUGUUGGAUUUGGAAUUGACUUAGGAGAAAACUAUCGAUUCUACACCGUCAUUUUCUGAAACUACUAGAUUUAUCUAUAGGAGCAGUAAUUUGUUUGUAUCGCCGCAGUUUGUGGGCAGUGGAUACCCAGGAUAGUGUAGAAUAAAUUUACGCUCGUGUUAGGAUGCCGAGUUUAUUUUUAUAGUAGUGUAUAGACUGUUCCGAACUGUCGUGUGCCGUUAUGGUUGAUGGUGGACCCAGUUUGCAGUUUUUGCAUCGAAUUGUGCUGAGGGCAUGUAGAUUAUGGUUGUAGACCAGUUAGACCGUUCUAUUUUGAUUACAGCCUGUGAGCGCCUAAAUGAUCUUCACAGAGACAAUUGUAAACUCGGUUGGAUCGCGCCCACGAAUGCUAUUCCGGAAUGAGGUUUCAGUGCGAUGAGGUCACAGUUUCUGUUGGGACAGUUCUUGUGCUGGCCACCUUAGUGGGUGGUGUACAGCGUAGCUGGAUACGGGCAGGGUGGGUCCGUUUGGGCAGCCCGUGUGAGUUUGGAUCAGUGGUAGUUAGUGACGCCUUCUCUAUCUUCAGUGAGGUUGUGACGUGAGUGGAGUCACUGUCGUCCUGUCAGACCUUUACUUGGAUUGACUACUCUUGAGAUACGGUGUAGCCUAGUUAGGCGGGAUGGGUGUAUUCACAGUCCCUAGAAAGUUUUCUCCACCGGCUACUCUUGGGGUGGUAUGCGGGUUCGUUUUGACAGGCGGGACCGGUGUGUUCACAGUCCCUAGUGAGAUUGGGUCAGAGAUUGCAUUUUCCUACAGAUAGUUAGUGUUGCAUCAUGAUAGUAUAGUGGCAUAUAGCUAUAUAUUGUUUUCAGUUCCUUUACUAUCAUUGAGCAUAUUUCUGUAGACUUAGUGGGUAAGCCGUUGAGGUCGAUAGCGGUAUCCACUAAGGACUACUUCAUUUUGCAGUAGUUCUCACACCCUGUUGGUGACCCCUUUUUGCAGAGUCUUCUUCUUCGGCUGCUGCUGUUGCGGAUACAAAUCGUGGAAAGGGAGUCGCGAGUUAGAUCCCUUGCAGUGUUACUGCUGAUCUAGAGAUAUACCCGCUACAGGUAGUGAUAGUUUUUGGGUUCUUAUACAUACUGAUGUUAGUACUUCGCUGGAGCGAGUAUUUUUGUAUCAGGAUACUAAGUAUGUAUGUUGAACCUAUGUUAUUUAUAUAUGUUUUCUGUUUAGCAGCUUUAUAUUACUUAUUGUAGUUUUGUAUGAUAACAGGUACAUGCACAGCUAUCGCUUCGUAUACAGGAAAAACUCCUUUGUAUACGGCGGAUUUGUCGGCGUGUCCGGGAAAAUGAUUAAUCCGGAGCGUGACACUCUGUCUUCAUUUGAAAUAAAAUUAAAUAUAAAAGGAACAAAUUACACUUUUGAUCCUAAAAGGGCUUUUUUUGCAAAUAGCCCUCUUACAAUUUUUUUUUUUAAAAUUGACCCUGUCAAAAAUUUAUUUGCAAAAAUGGCCCUGGCCCCGCCACGCGAGCGCCACGUCAGCGCCACGCGGGCGGGGCUGGGCCAGAUGGUUAAGUUGAACACGGUGAAUCAUUCACCAUGUUCAAUACAAAGUUUUUGUAUUGGACACGGUGAAUGAUUUACCGUGUCCAAUACAAAAUAGCUAAGAUCAAAAUAUUUGUAUUGGACACGGUGAACCAUUCACGAAUUGGAUACGGUGAAUGGUUCACCAUGUCUAAUACAAAUACCUUUAACUUAGCCAUAUUUGGGGUAUUUGUAUUGGACACGGUGAACCAUUCACCUUGUCCAAUACAAAAAUCUUGUAUUGAACAUGGUGAAUGGUUCACCGUAUUCAACUUAAACAUCUGGGCCCGCCCUGCCCGCAUGGCGCCGACGUGGCGCUGGUGUGGCAGGGGUAGGGCCAUUUUUGCAAAUAAUUUUUGGACGGAACUUUUUUUGCAAAUAAAAUUUGUCAGGGGGCUAUUUGCAAAAAAAGCCCAUCCUAAAAUUAUAAGAUGCAUGACAUUUUGGUUCUCGAAUUUAAUAGGUUAUAUUUUCUGGCUCAAAUUAUAAGGUAUGUGAUGCUUUUGACAUCAUACUUUAAUUAGUUAUAAUUUUUGGCUCGUAGUACGAGGCAUAUGACAUUUUAAUUCACAAUUUUUAUUGCUAUUAUAAAUAUAAUUUAUUAUUCUUAUAUUUUUUAUUCUUUUUAUAUUUUUAUUUUUUAUUAUAACAGCUAUUGUUUUUUUUAAUUUUAUUUAUUUCUAUAAAAUCGAUCCACCGCAGCUCGCGGUAUUUUCGUUAGUUCGCUCAAGAAGGGCUUAUUUUGGAGUAGAGGUGGCAAUCCAGCUUGAUGUUCGCGAGCCAAUUCAGCUUGAAAUGAGCUCGAGAUUGAAUCGUUUAUUUAGUAAACGAGCCGAACGCGAGCUGGGUUUUUCAACUCGUUUAAUAAAUGAGCCGAACACGAGCUGGGGUCAGCNUCGCUCUCUCUCUCUACUCUGCUCUCUCUCUCUCUCUAUUCUCUCUCUCUCCCCCUCUCUGUAUGCUCUCUCUCUCUCCUCUCUCUGUUCUCUCUCUCUCCCUUUCUCUCUCUCACGCGAGGCCCCCGCAAAACACGGGGAGAACGCCGUACAAACUCUCGAUUGUAUAUAUAUAUAGAUGCUUGUAAUGAUUCGUUUUUUAUUAAUAUUUUUUUAACUCUCAGAUUUUGUAUAUAGUUAAAGUAUUCUAAUGUUUACUGGAAAAUUCAAUCAAACUUUUAGUUUGAGAAGCUAUUCUAUUAAUAAAUUUUUUACUUAAAAAGGUAAAAUUGGAAGGCUUAUUUUAAAUUACCAAAAUAUAUGAUGUUGUUUUUAUCUUAUUAAGAUUGAUUGAAGAGAGAAGAAAUUAUUAUAUUCACCUAGUGUAUAUUAAUAUAUCAUACAUCAUAACUUAUAUUAAAGAAUUAAUUUUUAAUAUCAAGUCCUAGUUAACUAUAUUUAAAUUAUUAACUCUAAUAAUUUAAAUAUAUUUAUUGAAUUAAAUUUUAAAAUCUCUAUCAAAAGUUUUAAGUAUGUGGUGUAUGUUCUAAUAUACACCUGGUGUAGAGAUGCUCCUUAGAGUGCACUCAAUUCCAAGAAAAAAAAAAGGAAAUCUUUGGUUGCACUUAAUUGUACACUAAUAUUUUAUACACCGUAAAAGUAUAUUAGAUUAUUGAUAAAAUAUCAGAUAAUUAGUAUUGUAAAAUUAGAUACGAUAUAUUAUAUGUAAUAUAAAAUACAGUGCAAUAGGUGCCGUUCACAAUUCCUAUUAGAUAUGUGGUGAGCUCCCAUUGGUUGUUGCCUUUACUGGGACAUGAUUCUUUGAAAAACUAUCUAAUUCCAUAAAAAAAAGAAAUCUUCACUUGCACCCGGUGUAUACUAAUAUUUCGUACACCGCAAGGUAUAUUAGAUGACUGAUAGAAUAUCUGAUAAUUAAUAUUACAAAAUAAAAUAUAAUAUAGUAUAUGCUAAAGAAAUAUUUAAAUAUUUUGUUGUAUUAUAGAAAUUUAUCUUUGAUCCAUAUUUUAUAGUCGAUUUACAGUACAAUGGAUCAAAAUUGUUAUUGGACAUACGGAAAACUUUUAUUGGUCAUUGUCUCAUCAAGUGAAGAUGUGGCUCAUUAAAAAAGUAUUUUUUUUGAUGUGAUGGAACUGUCAAAUUAUAUACUUUAUAGACAACUAAGCAAAAAAAGAUUCAUGGGCCUAUUUCAACAUUUCCUAUAAUAGAGGCUCUUGCCAUCAUUUCAACCUAAGAAUAAAGAAAAUACUAAUUAAAAUAACAUGAAAAAGAGACAUCUACACUCCAUCAACUACCUACGAAGAUCGUGUAAUUAACGUAGGUAAGCACGAUGAGCAAGGGGAAAGAGCUGGCGGUGGCGAAGGCAGACGAGACGACGACUAUUGCGAAGGGACGGAGCAAAGGAAAGGAGUUGGCAGUGGGGAAGAUGGUGGAGACGAAGUCUUCUGUGAAGGCGGCAACGUCCUCGACCCUCAGUUUCUCUAAGAAGGUGGCGUCUCAUUGCCGCAUAGAAGCACGGAUAGAAACCACCAGUAAUCACCCCUCUAGUUUGGAUCCAGAGCUGGAGCAGAGGUUUCUGGAGCUCAAAUUCAUUGCUGACAACAGCAUUAAAAAGGCCACCUACCUCAGAAAAUUCGGCAUUGAUGGAAGCUUCUCUUCCAAGAAGGUGAUUUGGGCGUAUGCUGCGGGGCUCACUUUAACUCAAGUCGCCCGCUUUUCGCUGCGAUGAUCCCCCUUUGGGAACAUUUAUUUCCCCGACUUCUCGAAUCGAAAACAAGAUUCGGAUUGAGGACUUGCUUUGGACCGAAGUACACUACAGGAGUAAAAGUUCUUCUUAGUCACCCUAUAAAAAGACUUACAGGGAAGCCCUUCUCACUCCCACUCCAUCUCUUCCAACCCGCUCACCUCAGAGCCCCCCCUUUCCCUCACCAUCUCUUUGGACAAAAACUUCUUUCGGGGUAGGUGCUUUAAGUGCUUGGGAAAAAACCACUGGGCCUCCUAUUGUAGUAAAACUAUUCGGUGCGCUAGGUGCUUCAAAACAGGGCAUAAAGCUCGUUCCUGAAUCAACUUUCGAUGAACAUUUACCAUGCCAUGCGUGCCCGUCCGACUUACCUCAGCGCCUUCAUCCCCCUCUCCGAAGACUUCUUUGCCAGACAAAACCGAUGUCGCAAUGCGAUUCUCGUUGAAGUGAUUCCUCCGCCGAACCUCGGUCACUGGCCCUAGGAAGCCAUUGCUGGCAGGCUAACUAAUCGCUUCGGAGGCUACCCUACUGAUUUUCAUGUUGCUCAAUAUGGCAAAAGAGAUUACGUUGUCUUUCUUCCUGAAUGGGUCUAGAGCGAGCAUCUAAUCUGCAGGGAGAUCCUCUUUCUGGGUGACAUCUUUGAUGUUUCGCGUGGAAUCCCUAUUGCAGAGCUUGCCGUCCACCACUGACCUACAAAGCUUGGAUCCGGCUGGCUAAUCUCCCUUACGAGUGCUGGUCCUCUCACUUUGUAGCAGCUCUUGUCGGUGGUUUCGGCAGGUUCAUUAGGGCGAAUGAAUCCAGCACGAGCAUGAUCGAUCUUUCCGGUUAUCGGUGUUUGAUUGCCGUGAAUCAUCUUACCGACAUCCCCGAGAACCUAGAGAUCACCUUCGGCGACUUAUCAAUUUCGAUACUGAUCCAACUUGAAAGAUGGGCCCGUGGCAACGAAGAUGGACGUGGAAAUCCAUCCCAUCACAAUGAAGGUUUGGGUCAACAUAACUCGAGCGCGAGAUCCAGCGAGGUUAAUCGCCAUUUCACCGUCGAAGGCAAAGGGAGGUGUUUGACGGACGGUGAUGCUUCUACUCUCGACGAUUCCUGAAAUUCCUCUGAAAUUCGCGGCAUACGGCGCACUGAUUUUCCCACAAGUAGCCCGACUUGUCGCGGAUCGGAGCUUGUCACUGUCGCAUCUCCGGGCGGUGGAGCGUUGAUAGGCCGGCCUUUUUACUUUUCAAAUUCAAAUUUUCCCGAGCCUAGACUUGCCAUUUCAAUGAUUACUGAUCCUAAGAAAGGGCUAAGUACUAGCCCGCCAGGCCUCCUAAAAUGUGCUUAUCUUCUCCCCAAAACCUCAUGCUCAACUUUAAUACUUAAUGCCCCCUUGCUUAUACAAGAAGGCUGGCAGGCCAAGCCUCGGGAUUUGGAUCCAUCUAGUGGAUUCAAGUAUGAAAGCCGUGGGAAUUUACAUCUGGAUAAUAGCUGGAAUUUUACUUUUGGCAGCUAUUCUUCUUUCUUAUGUCCCUCGCCCCUUGCUUCGGACCGGAUAAAGGAGCAGUAUUUUUGGUUCCCAAUUUAAUUGGUCUACUGCAGUCCUUCUCCACACAUACUUUUGGUGCUGGUAGUCUCAGGCUUGGGCUUGAUCUUUUGUAUCCACCUAAACCUGACACCCUUAACCCAAUGAACCCUGAUUAGUUUGUCUGGGGCCUCAUCGCAGGCAUGGUCAAGGCCUUUUUGGUCCUGGAUCCUAUGCAUUCUUUAGAAUGCGUGGGCUCUAUUUGUCGUUUCUCCGCUGCUUCUGAAUAUUCUCCCACUUGCAUUUCGCUGCCCAUCGAACCCUCUGACGCUCCUAGGACAAGUCCUCAGUUCCUCACCCAGGCGAAAGACAAUGCACCGUGUAGGGCGAUGAGUAGGAAAGUGCGAAUCCGAGAGAGAGCGUCAACCAAACCUGGGUUAUCUACGCACAAAUUUUCUCGUAAAAAAAUCCAAGCGAAAAGCAUCUUAUAUGGCAUCAAUCUCUCCAACAAUGAUACAAAGGAGUUCCAAAAGUUCUUGUCCGUCGGGGCUUAGGCCUAGGAUGUUCCUUUUUUGUUGUCUGUGUGUCAUUGCCUGUUUUUGUUGAUGAAUAUCUUCAAUUAGAAUGUUCGUGGUCUCAAUGACCCUAGCAAGAGAUGUUUGGUCAAGUCUGUCGUGUCCUCUCUCUAUUGUACUGUUGUGUGUCUACAAGAAUUUAAAGUGGACUUCGUGUCUUGUUCGUUCCUUCGCUCUUGUUGCGACUCUAACCUUGACAAAUGUAAUUUUCUGCAAGCAGCCAGGGCGUUCGGCGGUCUAAUCGCCUGUUCGAGCUCCAAGUUUUUUUUCAUGCAACAAGGUUAUAGUGAGAAAACACUCGUACUCUUUUUAUGACUCACAUCACAAGUGGGAAGACUUUCUAUCUCACGAACGCCUAUGGCCCUCCAACCUGGGAUGGAAAAGACGAGUUCUGUUCGGAACUACUCUCUCUCAACGGUACCUGCACCAACAAAUGGGUUAUCUACGGGGACUUCAACCUUACCAAAAACCAACCCGAAAUAAAAGGAAAACCCUGGAGCAGAAAAAUUAUGGGCAUGUUCUCGGACCUCAUCAACUCCUUAGCUGUAAUUGAUCUACCUUUGUCGAAUCAAACAUUUAUCUGGUCGAACAUGCAGCUUAGACCCACCUUGGCUAAACUCGAUAGAUUUCUAGUUUCCACGGAAUGGGACCAAUCUUUCCCCUUUAGCAAGGUCAAAGCUCUUCUCAAGAUCACUUUUGAUCAUACCACGAUCCUCCUUUUUACGCUGCAUCGCCCCGUACCGCGGAGGUUUCGAUUCGAGAAGGUUUGGUUAACAAAGGAAGAUUUCCUCACAAUGGUUCCAAUUUGGUGGAAUGAAGUCAACUCUACAAACUCGACUAUCCUCACUAUUACUGCUAAACUCAAGCACUGCAGAACCAGAAUAGAGGAAUGCUGUAAGACGUUCUUCCACAGCAUAAUUAUCUCCAAGAGGAUUUUGCAGGAGGAAUUACAAAAAAUUGAUCUUUUAGAGGAACAACAGGAACUACCCUAAGUAAUCUUGGAUAAGAGAGAGAAUCUUAAACUGCAAUUGCAAUUAAUCUUAGAGGAGGAGGAAAUACUUUGAAAAACUAGGGCCAAACAGUGUUGGCUUAAGAAAGGUGACGGCAACACCAAAUUUUUCCACGCAGUGGCCAACGGACGAAAACACACCAACACAAUCAAAAUUAUAGAGGAUGACGCCGGAAGACAAAUUAAUAACGAAGAACAAAAGAGAUCUUACUUCUUCCAAAACUUCAAGUGGCGGAAUUUUUAGCCAACUAGCCUCAUCCAAACCUUUUAUUCUAAAAAUAGGCCUCUGAAACUUGUAUUUGUGAAAAUAUGCUCAAAACUACCACGUGGGCAGUGAGUUGGCAGGAGACAAUAAAAGAGGUGAACCAAUUACCACUUUCAUGUGAAAGCUGUAAAUGGUUUACUGCUUUCAUAAGGUUUUAAAAUCCCAUGAAGGCGGUGAACCAUUCACCGCCUUCAUGUAGUUCCAUCUGACUCGUGGUGCUUGGAUAAAACUCAUGAAGGCGGUGAAAAGUUCACCGCAUUUAACUAAUGCCACUUCCUAGUAGCAGUAACUUUGUAAAAUUCCCACAUUAUACAAAAUAGCAAGUUAACCCUUUAGAAUUUCUCUUAGGGUACUAGAAACUUGGUGAACAAUUUCGUCCGGAGGAACGAAAGCGUUCGGAUGUGAUCCGGUGGGUUUGACCUCACCGAAAUGGGUGAACUCCCCCUUAUGUCUCCUAUGAUGUUAUAGGGCUUAAUUGUUGCAUAAUCAUGAUAUUUAUGCCAUGAUAGAAUUUUAGGGUGCUUGAAAAAUACAUGUCAUUUAUAACUUUUUAUAUGCUCUAUGUAGUAUAGAACAGUUGAUGAAAUCAUGCAUGUUGUGCCCAUGAAUUUAUAGUACAAUGACUUGUUCCUUUUGGUGCAUUAUAGGAAUGCAUAAUAGAGAUGAAUUCUAGGUCAUUUAAGACUCUAAAGGGCUAAUGGAACUAGUGGUCCUUGCGACCAAUUUACUUGCUAGAUAAGAUGAGCAUGAUGUAUGACAUGUAAACCAUUUGAAGUAGAGCCAUGAAUAUUGUACUUAGUUUAAAUGAACAACUAAGUGAACCGGAUAACAUUAUGUUGACCUUGAGUUGAUUAAUGAGAAUUCCGUACUUUAGACACGAUGAUUGAUAUAGUUCGAAUACUUGACAUCCGUAUUAUAUGUAAGAUAGUUGACAUACUCCCUGUAGUAAAGCAUGUUGUAGUACAUGUUGCAUAAGUAAAAGUAAACUAUUCAUUUGCAUGAUAAUUUUAUACUCUAUGUAGAGGAAGCUCAUGUAGUGAGAUACAUAUAUACAUAUACUUGUAAACACUAUGGUUUACCUAUCCUAUGAGUUAAUAGAUGAAACCUUAUGCCAUAGGCAUGUAGGAGAUUCAUGCGUUGGAAUAUGCAAAUGACAUAUAAUUGACAAAGUACAUGCUUGAGUAACUCAUUGAAAAUUAAACAUUUGCAUGGCUAUGUAUGUGUAUAUAUACUCCAUGAAGUGGAGGCAUCAUGUAGAAAGGCAUAUGCAGGACAUAUACUAUGACUUGAUGAGAUACCCGUGGGGUUCAUUGGAUUUGACAUUAGAGGAUUACCCUUUUUGCAUAUGGCAUUAUCGUGGUAGUAGCACACAUUGGUAGGUUCAUGAAUGAGUCAUAGAACCAUCUUCAUUAGAAUAAUGAAAUGUGAACCUUAAUGUGCUUGGGACACAUGCUAAACAUAGAAAUGAUAUAGUGUCAUAAAGUGGCAUUGGACUUGGAACAUGUAUUUGCAUAGUAAACUAUAAUGUCAUAAAGUGGCAUUAGACUUAGUAAACGGUUGAACCUUUACAUUAUGACAUAGAACUAGACCUUUGGGUUGCUAGUGUAUAUACCAUGUUUGAAACAUGAUGACUGUGUACUUGAGACGAGGACUAUGCUUGCUUGCCAUUUGUGCUCAUUCGCACAUACUUGUGAGGGUCGCUCCCUACAAGCCGGCACUCCGGAGUUGGCCUAUGCGACAGAUGCUCGCCGUGCGGUAUUCGAUGCCUACUAGGUCGACGUGGGACGGGCACAUUCUUUGUCGGGGAAUGUUGGACUACCACGAGCCAUUAGGCAUGACGCAAGCCGGACUACACUUGUGUAGAUCCUGAUGAAUUGAACUAUAUUAAUCAAGAGCUAAUUAGACUUGAUAUUAUGUUAGACAUAUUGGUGAGUUGAUACCCUUUGUUACUAGUGGAUACAUACCUAUAGAUGGUCAUACUAGUGGUUGAUUACCCUAUUUUGAGAUUUGAUGCAUUCAUAGUAGUGGGAUAUUUUUGUGGGACAUUGUUGCAUUGACACCUUUAGUGGUAGUAACCUACACUUAUGAUGAUAAAUGUAGAAGAAUAGCUCAAUGAUGACUAUAACAAUUUGAUGUCAAUGACAAUGUGAAACUUGUACCAUAUUAGUUGUGCAUGGUUACAUAUGAUUUAGCAAUGUAUUGUUGCAUACAUAAUUACUUUUGCAUGUAAUUAUAGAAAUGAAAUUCAUUUACAUGUUAGAGACAUUUCAUAUAGAGGUAUGAUAUAGUUGAGAUUAUUCUACUAUCUAUUACAUUUAUAUUUUCAUACUUCCUAUAUCAUAUUUAUGCCUCAGUUGACCUAGUGGUGUAUUUCGCCACUCUCGACGGCUUACCCACUCGGAACUAUUGUUUAAUAGUUCUCACCCCCAUUGGUUGGUUGUUUUUAUUUCAGAGCCUUCCGCAGCCGGAAAGGCUAGGGAUUGUGGCAAGGGAGGCAACGACUAGCUAGAGCCUCACGAUGUGUGAUAGAUGAACCCACAAAUUUACUUAGUGGCUUAAUGUUGUGAUGUAUUUGUGCAUUAUGUGAGAUCCUAUGUAUUCUUAUUGUACCCUUAAUUAGAAUUAUUGUAAUCUUAAGGUUUUAGCUCUAAAACUUUAUAUCUAGCUGUUGUAUAUUCUCGCUCUGAAUACUAUGUUUAGGAUGGAUUUUUCUAUUGCUCUCUUUGACUGUUGUAGACGCCUUGUGCACAUUGUGGUUUUUGGUGUGUACGACGGGUCUGUGCACGCGCCCGGCGGGCUUUUGCUGCAGCCCGGGGCAUGAUAGGUACUCAGGAAGAGUUCCGCAAAACCUAAACGUUGGGUUUUCUUCUCAUGGAACAAAAUUUCAGUACUCCAAUUUAGUACCAUUACCCAAAUACAAAAUCUAUAGUUUUACCAAAUUUGACUUUGCAAAAUCUGUUUUCUCACCAAGUUUGUACCAAAACCACUCGAAUAGUUGUAAUGACCCUGAAGAAUAAAUGGUAAAAGUAGUAGUAGUAGUAGCAGUUAGCAUGGGAGAGUAGUAAAAAUGUCAACUUUACAAAGUAGAGCAGAGAAGUGACAGCAGGAGGUUGGUGAGGAGUGAGCUCGGCGGAGCGAUCCGGCGGGAAGGCGCUCGGGCGGAACUCCGGCAGGAAGGCGCCUUCGAAGGGGCUAAGGCGAGCUCGACAGUUCUAGGGCAUAGUCGGUGAUGAAGGGGAAAUGGGAGGAUCGAGGUCGGAGGAGGAAGCCUGACAGAACCGGGGUGUUUGGGGUGAAGAAGAGAGUUGGCGAAUCGGGCGAUCAGAUCACUGGAGCGGGCGUAAAAUGUGGACCCGAUAUCUGCCGGGUCGUGGAUGAUGCGGAGAAGGCCGGAACCGACGCCCACUUACCAUUAAGCAUAGAUCGAGCAAAGCGGGCUCGGAUCGGGGCGAAAUGGCGAACCCAAGACCCGCUGGGUUGCGGGUAGUAUGGAGAAGGACAGACCCGAGUCCGAAUACCCGACAAGCAGCAGAGGAGCUCAGGAAGCCCAGGAAGAGGGCCCAACUACCAUCGAAUUGGCGGCCCAACCAGCCAACUUCUUAUUUUGUCACUUUUGCUGUUUAGUCCUCAGAGAUUAAAUAAUUCUCUUUUCUGUAUGGAACUAAUUAGUAUAAGUAUCAGGAUGUAAUGUAAGCUAGGGCUUAGGAAUGGAAAUGAAUUAGCGUGUCUUCUUCCCCAAUUAUCCUCUUCUUCUCCACUCCUUUCUCUUCUCCUUCCCCAAAACCCUACUCUAAAUUCUUCUAAAACCCUAUUUUCUUCCUCCCAAUCUCUCUCCCUAUCUCUCUCUGUUUCUCUCCCUCUCCUUCUCUUUCACAAACUCACCUCCAAAUCGCCUCAAAUCAUCCGGUACAUAACAAUUGGUAUCAGAGCAGUUUUGAUCCCAGGGAGGGGAUGAAACUGAUACUUGCAUCAUGGUGGGAUGUCACAAGAAUGGAGCAGUAAUGGAUCUCGAGUAGCACCUGGAGCAAGAACUCAAGUGGUAGCAUCAGAUCUACAUUGGAAGGAUCACAGUAGUGAUUGGAGACAUUGCCACUACAAUAACAAGGUGGUAUCAGAUUGCAACUAGUAGAGAGGCGAUUUGAUUUUAUAAAGCUAUAACAUCAGGUAUUGUAGAAAUCUUUGCAUCCUUUUGAAUCAUUGAUUGCAUGUAUGCAAGAAUUGGUUAAUAAGGGAUCAAACCUGAUAAACAUCACAAGAAAUCUUUAUCACUGCUACUUGAAUCAAAUUGAUAGAGGGGUCAUAGAAGCAACAGGUUCUUGGUAGAGUAUCAUAGUUAAAAUUGGGCCAGUGAAGGGGAAUUUCAUCAAACACCUUGCAGGCACCAAGUAAUCAAGUUUUGUUCCCCAAUUUUAAUUCCAGAGUUGAGAUAUAAUUAGUUAAAUUGCUACAAAUGGAAAUAUAUUGAAGGAGUAGACAGCUGGUUAGUGUUCUCUUGAUUAGAACAGUCAUCAGAUCCCAAAGAGCAUCAUAGUCACCUCAAUAUUUCAUUGGAGCCAAUAGAAGAAAGCCAUUGGAAAUUCAGUCAAGUACCAUAGUGAAACACUUCAAGAAGAAGCAUAUGUGAAGUAAAAAUAGUUAAUGGAACAAAGUUGCAGCAACAAACCACUAGCUAUAAUCAAAGCUUUGAAGAAGCAUUACAAAGUGCUCGGGAUGUUAAUCAAAAGUUAGAUGCCUUAAUUGAAGCACUACAAAAGUUUAAGGAAGUGAAUUCUCGAAAUCCAAGGAUUGUACUUCAUCCAGGAUCGACUGACCGUCGAGAGAAUACCCUUUGUGAGAGUUAAGAAUGUCCAAAACACAAAAAGUGCUUUGGAGUUGAGUCCGCGAGAGCAAAUGGUGCAAACUGCAUUUUUGGGCUGAUGUUGCUCUCGGGGACCGGUCUCUGGAGGUGAGAGACCGGUUCCCUCGACUGGGUGUAGCGGGUUUGCUUGGUGCAACCGAUCCCUGGCAGGGAGGGACCGGUUCUCGAACGUGAUCCCAGCGAGAAAUGCCGAAAUUUCGCUAAGUCCUGAAAAUCGAGCUCUCGGGGACCGGUCUCUCAGGCGAGGACCGGUCUCUCGAGGACCGGUCUCCCGGGGAGAGACCGGUUCCCGAACGCGUGCGCCCGAAGGAAGCCCUCGGGGACCGGUCCCAAGUCGGGGAGACCGGCCCCUCCGCGCGAAAACUGCCCAGAAAGGGCUAUGCAAUGGCUGGAAAGUUGAGGGGUCUAAAUGCAAAAUGGCCUUUAUUAGAGUGGGCUGAGCCCUCUCUCUCCCUCACACUCAUCUCAUUUCACUCUCUCUCUCACUCUCUCUUUCUCUCUUGCUCCCUCUCUAGAAAAGAAAGGAGAAGAAGAAGAACAAGAAGGAGAGGAAGGAAAAGAAAGAGAAGGAAAGGAAGGAGAAGAAGAAGGAGAUCAAGGAGAAGGCUUUGGACACCUUCAUCACCCUCUCCUCUUCUCUUUGGUGUAGCACAAGAGGUAGGCUCUUGAGCCCUAGCUUCUAAACUUUGGAGUUUUGGAUUUUUAUGCUUUGGAAUGGGUCAAAUGAACCCUAAGCAUGCUUCUAAGUAGAUCAAUCCCAUGAAUCUAGGGAUUUAUUGGGUGGUUUGCUAUGGGUGCAAACCUAGGGCUCCAAAAUGGGGUUUUUGCGAAAGUAUGAGAUUGAUCUCAUUUGAAGCCUUGGAAACCCUAUUGUUAGGUCACAAAAUGUGGAGGCGCAGUCGAUUUUGGCAUUCGGCGACCCGGCGUGAAGUUCUCGGCAAAAUAGGGCCGGGUUAGCAUCGAUUCGGUCAAGGAAGGCUAAAGCCUUUUCGUAAAGCUCGCCGAGAAGGAUUUUCUAAGCCUCUACAUCGAUUAAUGGUGGGGGGUGCCAUCCUGAAGCUUUCGAACUCCUUUCUAUGUCUUAGAUUGCAUUUAAUCUCAUCUUUUCAUAUUGCAUUGUAGGAUUGCAUAGUAGCUCCAUUCCUUAUACUUUCUAAAUGAUAACCUAGUGUACUUGGAACGCUUGGUGACUUAGAUAGGUGAGGAUUGGGUCGGAACGUGGAUCCUAUGAUGCUAGAGAUAGAGAUGAACCCGAUAGGGGUGUUGAUGACAUAGAAAGCAGUGUUAUUGUCAAAGAAUAAACGAGUGGCAUCCAAAUGUUAAAUGAUAACGAGUGGCAUUAAUGUAGUGUAAUUAACACCAGAAGUCGAUUGACCUAGGGAUAGGCGGAUCCCUUAGAAAAUGCCUUGUGAACAAUGAAUUUAGAAAAGCUAAAUAGCAUUGCAUGAAUGUCGGGAACAAAUGAUCCCGCGAGAAAUAUUGACUCUAAUUGUAGAGCAUCCUCACUUGGAGAGGACUUGAUUGAGUUGUUGACCCUAGUUGUAGGGCAUCCUCACUUGGAGAUGAUAGAUCUAGCUCAUAGUCUGCGUUCGGGAUGGUAUAGCCAUUCAAUCCCCACAUGGAGGGGAUUAUCGUCGAGUACUCCGGAGUGUCGCGCGACUAGGACCACUUGGAGGUCCGGACCACAUGGAGGUCCGCAGACGGUCCCGGGCUUGGGUGCACUUGGAGCUCCCUCCCCACUUUGGGAUUGAAAGGUGAGUCAUAGGCGAGCCCUAGGGCCUCGCCACAGAUUGGGUAAAUGGAAAGAGUAAAGGUUUAAGAAUGUCAUUAAAUAUUGCUAUUCAAAUAUGGAUCGAAUUUGUUAGCAUGGUAGCAAACCUUUAUCAUAUGAUGCAUGCAUUCAUAUCCAUGAUUAUGGGCAUAGUAGCAUAAUUUUCCUACUAUUGCAUUUACAGUUUUCAGAUACAUAUCUAUCUAUCUAUCUAUCUGUUGUUACUUGUGCCCACUUGGACCUAGUGGGGAGAUCGGUAGAGUCGGCGGCCGAGCCCACUGGAAACUAUGGAAGAUAGUUCUCACUCCACUCUAUUUCCAGUGGUAGGUGCAGGGCUGCCGAGAGAGGACCGCGGCAAGGCCAUCGCUCCCGAUCAGUGAGACCGUGGUAAUAUAGUAGCUUUCCUUUUUGCAUUAGUACACCUAUGUAUUGAGAGAGAUUCAUUGUAGGUGAGGAUUUGGAGAGCUAUGUAUUUUGGAGAUGAAAAAUGUAUUCAUUUAAAGAAAAUGAUGUAAAUAAAAAUGUUGAAACUAUUGUAAUAGUUUAGUGAAGUACUCUCUUUAUUUCACAUGCUUUAUCUUGUGGAUCGCUUGCUCUUCGCGUUGUUGGCACCGUUUGUGCCCUUGUGAAUGUGUAUGUUUAGAAUUUAAUUUCCUGCGUAAAUUCUUGUACACAUUCCUAUUGUUGAGCCUGGGGCGGACAAGGGAGGUGCUGUCCGUUCGGCGGCCUGCCGCCGCGGCCGAACCGUGCCAAAUUGGUAGUGGUUUCGGGGCGGGGCGUGACCGCCUUUGUGGUAUCAGAGCCUAAGAGCAAGUAAAGAGAAAGUCUAGGAUAAUCUAGGAGACCCUAGGUCGGUAAGCCCUAAGGUUAUAGGUGCAUGAGCGGAACGUGAACUUAUAGCGAUGGCGGAAGUUGAUUCUAUUGGGUCGAAGUUGGUAAUAUGUCUCUAGUUGUGGUUAGAGACGGAUUCAAGUGGUAUAAGUUCUUGUCUUGAGAUGGUUGUGUCGGCGGCCGACGACAUGAUACUAAGAGCCUAGAACGAGUGCACUUGUGUGCUUCCGCCUGAUUUUGUUGUUGAGUCGUCAUGUGUCGUAAUUGCGACGAGAUAAUUGGUUAAGAUGACUGACCAAGUAAUUGCGUUUCAGGGACUAAUGUCUCCAAGACGCUACACACGUAGAACUGCCCCAGCACCGACUCCUGAGGUGCCCGAGCAGGAGGAACCGAGCGUGAUCGAUUGGUUGCAAGCACAGGUGACCGCGUUGACCAAUGUGGUGCAGCGCCAGGAGACCAGAUUCGAGCGGCUCCAGGAUCUAUUGGAGCGGCAGAUCGCGGCGACGGCUGCGACGGUAAAUGAAGGCAGUGGCCCGCCCAAACCCUCGACUCAUAUACCUGGAGCGGCAGAGGGUGAGGGCAUAGCGGCGGUUCCGAUGACGGCACGCCCACCGCGAACGAUCGUACCACAGGCGGCAUCGGGGUCGGCUACACCCGAUGUGUCGGUCGAAGACGUGGAGGGAGAGAGCGCAUUGGCGGCUCUUAUCAAGUUCAACAAGUUCCAUCCGCCAACUUUCGAGGGCGAGAAGGUGGAACCGGAGAUGGUCGAGUCUUGGAUCGACUCGAUGGAAACCCUCUUCGAUGACUUGCGUACCUUGGAGAGGGACAAGGUGUACCUCGCCACCCAUUGCUUGGAAAAGGCGGCGAAGGUUUGGUGAAGCGAGUCAAACGGGAUCGGCUUCCCGGCCUUCCACCAAUGUUGUGGGAGGAAUUCAAGCGGGAGAUGUUCGCCAACUAUUUUCCCGAUACAUUGAAGCGGAAGCUCAAGGAGAAGUUCCGCAAGCUCGAGCAAGGGGACCGCCCAGUGGCGGAGUAUGAACAAGAAUUCUCCCAUAUUAUCGAUUUCGUCCUGGAUGUUGUAAAGGAUGACCGGGACCGGGCCGAGUGGUUCUUGCGAGGGCUUCGGCCGGGAAUCUAUAAGGCCGUGCAAAUAUUCAAGCUCACGACUUUUGCGGAGGUCUUCGAUCGAGCCCUAUGGGUGGAGCACGGAGAUGCCCACGUUCGGGAGAAGCGUGAGGCUUUGGCCGAGUCUAAGGACAAGGGCAAGAAACGCCAAGGCGGCGGUAGUUCGGGGGGGACAAGCACGUUACAAGAAACCCCUGAAGUAUCCGCGCGCUCAACAAAAGGGCGGUGGAGCGCGGUGAUGCAUUGUGUGCGGCGGAGACCACCCAGUCUCGCGCUGUGAGCAAGGUCGAGGCAAGUACUACAAAUGUGGGCAACCGGGGCACUUCAUUUGAGACUGCCCGGGAGGAGGAGCCUCACCUACCCCAUAGAUUGCAUCGGCGUCGGCGAUCCCGGCUCACUAUGGAGGAGCUCCAACGACGGCCGCGUCGACUGGACGCGCGAUGAUGCCGCGUCAACCUGAAGUGAUGCGAUCGGCCCCGAGCAGACGGGUGUUCGCCGCUCAGGUCCAAACUGAGGAACCUGCGGAGGCGGAGGAGCAUCGCCUUGUGGCAGGUAUGGUUUUAAUUAACGGAGUUCGCUCCAGGGCUUUAUUUGAUACAGGAGCCACGCAUCCAUUCAUAAGUAGAUCAUUCGCACGCAUGCAUGACAUUCUCAUAGAGGCGAGUGACAAGUGGCGAGUGGAGGGCCCUGAGUCGACGUUUAACACUUACUCGGAGUGUGCGUCAUGUCCCGUGCAAAUAGGCGACUGGAUUAUGCCUAUCCGGACACUGGAACUCCAGAAGCUUGAGGCUUUUGAUAUCAUUCUGGGCAUGGACUGGCUCUCGAAGUAUCAUGCGACGAUCGACUGUAAGAGCAGGGUGAUCACUUUUCGUGAACCAGGACAGGAGGAGUUCACAUAUCGGGCUUGUCAGAGCUCGUGCUUUGUCGCGACGGUGUCGGCGACGAGAGCAAGAAAGUUAGUUAACAGCGGUUGCACGGCAUUCUUAGUGACUGUUGUGGAAGUGGAACGAGUAGCUCCAACGUUAGGGGAGCUAUCGGUGGUGCGGGAGUUCCCGGAUGUGCUUCUUGCGGAGUUGCCGGGGAUACCACCGGAUCGGGAGAUCGAGUUUGUCAUAGACUUGGUUCCCGGUACCGCGCCGAUCUCGAAGGCCCCGUACCGAAUAGCGCCGGCGGAAUUGAAAGAGUUGAGGAGUCAACUGCAAGACCUCCUCGACAAGCAAUUUAUCCGGCCAAGUGUAUCACCGUGGGGAGCCCCGGUGUUGUUUGUACGGAAGAAGGACGGAUCGUUUCGACUCUGCGUGGACUAUCGAGAAUUGAACAGAGUCACGAUCAAGAACAAGUACCCAUUACCCCGGAUCGAUGACUUGUUCGAUCAGUUGCAAGGGUCAUGCGUGUACUCGAAGAUAGAUUUGCAAUCCGGCUACCACCAACUGAAGAUCAAGCCGGAGGAUGUGCAGAAAACUGCGUUUUGUACGCGGUAUGGACACUAUGAAUUCACGGUUAUGCCAUUUAGACUCAUGAAUGCUCCAGCGGUGUUCAUGGAUUUAAUGAACUGUGUCUUCAAGAAGUAUUUGGAUCGAUUUGUCGUGGUCUUCAUAGACGACAUAUUGGUCUAUUCUCGUAGCAACGAAGAACAUGUCGAGCAUUUGAGGAUAGUUCUUCAAGUCCUUCGGGAGGAGAAGCUAUAUGCUAAGCUGAAGAAGUGUGACUUCUGGCUUUGCGAGGUCGCCUUCUUAGGGCAUGUGAUUUUCGCGGGUGGAGUUUCUGUAGACCCGAGGAAAGUGGAGGCAAUCAAGGAUUGGCCGCGCCCGACAAAUGUCAUGGAGGUUCGAAGCUUCGUGGGCUUGGCGGGCUAUUAUAGGCGGUUCGUGGAAGGUUUUUCCAAAAUAGUGAUUCCACUUACCCGCCUUACUCAGAAAGGCACCAAGUUCGUUUAGAGCGAAGAAUGUGACCAGAGUUUCAAAGAGUUGAAGCAAAGACUGACUUCGACUCCGGUGCUCGCUCUACCGGUGCAGGGCGAAGACUUCUUGGUCUACGGUGAUGCCUCCUAUCUUGGGUUGGGGUGUGUAUUGAUGCAAAACGGGAAGGUGAUCGCUUAUGCAUCCCGUCAACUGAAGAGCUAUGAGAGGAACUACCCCAUCCAUGAUUUGGAGCUAGCGGUGGUGAUUUUCGCCUUGAAGCUGUGGAGGCACUACUUAUAGGGUGCCCAUUGUGAGAUUUAUACCGACCACAAGAGCUUGAAGUACCUGUUUACACAGACGGAGCUCAACAUGCGUCAGCGGCGGUGGUUGGAGCUGUUAAAAGACUAUGAUGUUGAUAUCCUCUACCACCCCGGGAAGGCAAAUGUGGUCGCGGACGCACUUAGUAGGAAGUCGGCGAAGAACCUCGCUUUUGAUAUUACCCAGCAAACACCCCUGUGGCUGGAUAUGGAGCGAUUGGACCUUAAAGUGGUCACUCCCGAGGUCCCGACUCAGUUGAUGGCACUCGUUGUCCAACCGACCUUGUUGGAGAGGAUCAAAGAUCUGCAACCCGCAGACCCAGAACUCCAAAAGGUGCGGCGAAAUAUCGAGGAAGGGCAUGGCGGCGAUUUCAGGGUAGACGCCGAUGGUACGCUUCGGUUUCGAAACCGAUGGUGUGUGCCGAAAAAUGGAGAGCUUCGUGAAUUGAUUCUGCAAAAAGCACACCGAUCUCCAUAUGCCGAUCACCCAGGCGGCACCAAGAUGUAUCGUGGAUUAAAAAUGCACUAUUGGUGGCCGGGAAUGAAGAGUGACAUUGGACGCUUUGUGGCAAAGUGCCUGACAUGCCAACAAGUGAAGGCCGAGCGUCGAUUUCCAGCGGGAAAGCUUCAAAGCCUACCAAUCCCCGUUUGGAAAUGGGAGGAUAUAUCAAUGGACUUCGUGGUCGGCUUGCCUCGCUCAACGGGCGGCCAUGAUGCAAUUUGGGUAAUUGUGGACCGAUUGACAAAGUCGGCUCACUUCUUACCGAUCCACACCACGUGAUCGGGUGACAAGUUAGCGCAGGUAUAUCUUGACCAGAUAGUGAGACUGCAUCGGGUGCCAAAAUCGAUCGUGUCGGAUCAUGACCCCCGGUUCACUUCACACUUCUGGAAAAGCCUGCAGGAAGCCCUUGGCACACGGCUCGACUUCAGCACUGCAUUUCAUCCUCAGAUCGAUGGGCAAACAGAAAGAACUAUUCAAACACUGGAGGACAUGUUGCGAGCGUUUGUCAUCGACUAUAAGGGAAGUUGGUGUGACCACUUACCUAUGGCCGAGUUCGCCUACAACAACAGUUAUCAUGCUAGUAUGGAGAUGGCACCGUUCGAGGCUCUUUAUAGGCGGUCGCGUCGAUCUCCUAUACACUGGAGCGAUGUAGGUGAGCGUGCUGAGUUCAGCCCAGAUGUGUUGCGAGAAGCGAAAGAGAAAGUCCGCCUUGCUCGCAAGAGAUUGCUCACGGCGUAGUCGAGACAACAGAGUUAUGCAGAUAGACGCCGUCGAGAUAUAGAAUUCGCGGUAGGCGACCGCGUAUUCCUGAAAGUCUCACCGAUGCGGGGUGUGAAGCGGUUUGGAGUGCGGGGAAAACUAAGUCCCCGAUACAUUGGGCCAUCUGAGAUAUUGGAGCGAGUUGGCAUGGUGGCCUACCGACUUGCUUUGCCGCCGAAACUUGCGGAUGUACACAAUGUGUUCCAUGUCUCCAAUCUCCGCAAGUAUAUUCACGACCCCGAGCAUGUGAUGCUAUAUGAACCGCGGGAACUUCAAGGAGACUUGAGCUAUGAAGAGUUUCCGGUAGGGAUUAUCGCCCGAGAGGUGCGAAAGUUGAGGCAUCGAGAAAUUCCCUAUGUGAAGGACAGGUGGAGCAAUCACGAGGAUCGCGAAGCCACCUGGGAACUCGAGGAUCUGAUGAGAAAACACCAUCCUCAUCUAUUUGAGGAGUAAGGUAUGGGUUUAAGUCAAGAAUUGAGUUAGUUUGGAGGACGAAACUUCUUUUAAGGAGGGGAGGAUGUAAGGAAGUGAAUUCUCGAAAUGCGAGGAUUGUACUUCAUCCAGAAUCGACUGACCGUCGAGAGAAUACCCUUUGUGGGAGUUAAGAAUGUCCAAAACACAAAAAGUGCUUUGGAGUUGAGUCCGUGAGAGCAAAUGGUGCAAACUGUAUUUUUGGGCUGAUGUUGCUCUCGGGGACCGGUCUCUGGAGGUGAGAGACUGGUUCCCUCGGCUGGGUGUAGCGGGGUUGUUUGGUGCAACCGGUCCCUGGCAGGGAGGGACCGGUACCCGAACGUGGUCCCAGCAAGAAAUGCCGAAAUUUGGCUAAGUCCUGAAAAUCGAGCUCUAAGGGACCGGUCUCUCAUGCGAGGACUGGUCUCCCGAGGACCGGUCUCCCGGGGAGAGACCGGUUCCCGAACGCGUGCGCCCGAGGGAAGCCCUCGGGGAUCGGUCCCAAGUCGGGGAGACCGGUCCCUCCGUGCGAAAACUGCCCAGUAAGGGCUGUGCAAUGGAUGGAAAGCUGAGGGGUCUAAAUGCAAAAUGGCCUUUAUUAGAGUGGGCUGAGCUCUCUCUCUCCCUCACACUCAUCUCAUUUCACUCUCUCUCUCACUCUCUCUUUCUCUCUUGCUCCCUCUCUAGAAAAGAAAGGAGAAGAAGAAGAACAAGAAGGAGAGGAAGGAAAAGAAGGAGAAGGAAAGGAAGGAGAAGAAGAAGAAGGAGAUCAAGAAGACGGCUUUGGACACCUUCAUCAACCUCUCCUCUUCUCUUUGGUGUAGCACAAGAGGUAGGCUCUUGAGCCCUAGCUUCUAAACUUUGGAGUUUUGGGUUUUCAUGCUUUGGAAUGGGUCAAAUGAACCCUAAGCAUGCUUCUAAGUAGAUCAAUCCCAUGAAUCUAGGGAUUUAUUCGGUGGUUUGCUAUGGGUACAAACCUAGGGCUCCGAAAUGGGGUUUUUGCGAAAGUAUGAGAUUGAUCUCAUUUGAAGCCUUGGAAACCCUAUUGUUAGGUCACAAAACGUGGGGGCGAAGUCGAUUUUGGCAUUCGGCGACCCGGCGUGAAGUUCUCGGCAAAAUAGGGCCGGGUUAGCAUCGAUUCGGUCAAGGAAGGCUAAAGCCUUUUCGUAAAGCUCGCCGAGAAGGAUUUUCUAAGCCUCUACAGCGAUAAAAGGUGGGAGGUGCCAUCCCGAAGCUUUCGAACUCCUUUCUAUGUCUUAGAUUGCAUUUAAUCUCAUCUAUUUAUAUUGCAUUGUAGGAUUGCAUAGUAGCUCCAUUCCUUAUGCUUUCUAAAUGAUAACCUAGUGUACUUGGAACGCUUGGUGACUUAGAUAGGUGAGGAUUGGGUCGGAACGUGGAUCCUAUGAUGCUAGAGAUAGAGAUGAACCCGAUGGGGGUGUUGAUGACAUAGAAAGCAGUGUUAUUGUCAAAGAAUAAACGAGUGGCAUCCAAAUGUUAAAUGAUAACGAGUGGCAUUAAUGUAGUGUAAUUAACACCAGAAGUCGAUGGACCUAGGGAUAGGCGGAUCCCUUAGAAAAUGCCUUGUGAACAAUAAAUUUAGAAAAGCUAAAUAGCAUUGCAUGAAUGUCGCGAGAAAUGUUGACUCUAGUUGUAGAGCAUCCUCACUUGGAGAGGACUUGAUUGAGUUGUUGACCCUAGUUGUAGAACAUCCUCACUUGGAGAGGAUAGAUCUAGCUCACAGUCUGCGUUCGGGAUGGUAUAGCCAUCCAAUUCCCACAUGGAGGGGAUUGUCGUCGAGUACUCCAGAGUGUCGCGCGACUAGGACCACUUGGAGGUCCGGACCACAUGGAGGUCCGCAGACGGUCCCGGGCUUGGGUGCACUUGGAGCUCCUUCCCCACUUUGGGAUUGAAAGGUGAGUCAUAGGCGAGCCCUAGGGCCUCGCCACAGAUUGGGUAAAUGGAAAGAGUUAAGGUUUAAGAAUGUCAUUGAAUAUUGCUAUUCGAACAUGGAUCGAAUUUGUUAGCAUGGUAGCAAACCUUUAUCAUAUGAUGCAUGCAUUCAUAUCCAUGAUUAUGGGCAUAGUAGCAUAGUUUUCCUACUAUUGCAUUUAUAGUUUUCAGAUACAUAUCUAUCUAUCUAUCUAUCUAUUUGUUGUUACUUGUGCCCACUUGGACCUAGUGGGGAGAUCGGUAGAGUCGGCGGCCGAGCCCACUGGAAACUAUGGAAGAUAGUUCUCACUCCACUCUAUUUCCAGUGGUAGGUGCAGGGCUGCUGAGAGAGGACCGCGGCAAGGGCAUCGCGCCCGAUCAGUGAGACCGUGGUAGUAUAGUAGCUUUCCUUUUUGCAUUAGCACACCUAUGUAUUGAGAGAGAUUCAUUGUAGGUGAGGAUUUGGAGAGCUAUGUAUUUUGGAGAUGAAAAAUGUAUUCAUUUAAAGAAAAUGAUGUAAAUGAAAAUGUUGAAACUAUUGUAAUAGUUUAGUAAAGUACUCUCUUUAUUUCACAUGCUUUAUCUUGUGGAUCGCUUGCUCUUCGCGUUGUUGGCACCGUUUGUGCCCUUGUGAAUGUGUAUGUUUAGAAUUUAAUUUCCUGAGUAAAUUCUUGUACACAUUCCUGUUGUUGAGCCUUGGGCGGACAGGGGAGGUGCUGUCCGUUCGGCGGCCCGUCGCCGCGGCCGAACUGUGCCAAAUUAGUAGUGGUUUCGGGACGGGGCGUGACAAAAAGGAAGAGGCAAGGAGGCACGAAAUCAUGAUGCAGGAGAAUGCCCGCAAACAUGAACAACUCCUAGAGUUGAUUAGGAGCCGAUUUGUGCAUGAUAGAGAAAAAGAGAUAGCAGUGCAGGUUCCAAAAGAAGAGAAAGAGCUAAUACCCAUAACCAUUUCUCUAGAGAAAAGAGUUAGUUCACUAACUAAUUCCGUAAUCGACCAACCAGCUGCCGUGAAGGAAGUAGAGCAAAAGCACCUUGAAAUUCUACAGAUGGAGGACAGUAAUGGGCAUGAUGUAAAGCUGAGUGAUAGUACUAGCAAACCGGAGGGAUUGCUAAGGUUGCAUGCAACUCAACCAUAUCCGACCAAGCCAAUUCCAAUUGUCGAAACAUGCAACAUAGAGCAUUCAAGUUUAGAGAGAAGCAAACUUAGAGAUAACAUUGUUCCAUCACCUAUCAGAGCAAACAUGGGUGAAGGAACUCCACUAGGAACUCACAAGCUGCAAGAAAUGGAAGAAGAAGCAUUCCCACAAUGGCCUGAUAACAACCCACUACCUCAACAACCCUGGUUGGAUCGAAUUCAUCAUCAGCAUCAACAGCAUAAGCUCUGGAAGCGAUCUAUUCGGCGUGGAACCUAUCAUCAUUGUCGCCAUCCAGUUCUCAGAUCGAAGUCAUCAUUGAAGGUUGCGACUCAGCUCGGAACCAAAUCAGGCCUAGAUCGACCCUUGGUAGCACCUCAAUCAUCAUCACAGCCAACCAAAUCUCCGAAAUUACAAUGGGCGAUGGAUGCUACUCAGAUUGGGCCAUUACAAAUUGAAUGCUAUCACAAUCGGAUUGUUAUGAAGAUUGGGCUGUUACAAACUGGAAAGGCAAAAACAGAAAAACAAGAGAUCGUUAACUACAAGGACAAACCCCCUUGGAAGAAGUUUGUUGCAGAUAAGUGGAAGGGGAUUGACAUCAAGUGCCUAACUGAUGACAUUGAUGCAUUCUGCAGGCAAAUACACAACAAGACAGUGGAAAACUAUCAAGCCAGAUCGGAGAACUUAAGAGUUCAAAAGCCAAUCCAAAAUUCUAAUCUGGUAGAGGCUUGCCAGGUGUGGGGCUUUGUCAAUGAAUACAAGGAGCUAGGGACUGUGCUUAAGAGGCCUCACCCAUGCUCGCGAUUUCUGACCUAUGAACAAGAUAAGCUACAGGAAUCUGAUAGAAAUUUGGGUGUUACCUUGCACAUAAAAGGGGAAUGCAAAGCGCUUACCAUGAUUAUAUGCAAAUGGAUGCAAGCUGUGCAAAAUCGAAGUGAAGAAGACCAUCUGUUAACUGAAUUUCAUACUUCCAGGGCGUGGCAAGUUGAUAAGGGAAUUGAACAGUUCACUCGAUGGUCAGGAAUCGAAAGGGAUGUGCAUCAGUUAGUGCCAGAAUAUGAAGUUUGCUUAAGAGCUAAGGGAGAAAAUAGGCCCACACAUUGUUACAAGAAGCUGAAACCUGAAGAGUGGUGGUCCUACACCAGAUGCCGCUUCUCAACAGGAGAGAGAAUUUUACAAGGUAAAUAUACCUAUUACCCUCCAACUAAUGCCUUGAUUACUAUUGGAAAUAUUAUGGACUCAAAUUUGAGUUGGUUCAAGCGAAUGGGACAAGUACUAUACAUUUUUAAAGGGCAAUCAAAUAGAGCAUAGCAGAGAACACAUAUCAUGCUGAUAGGAAAAGGAGUAAAAGUCUCUCUAGGAGAAGACAUGUACACUGGGAGUCAAUAUUCCACGAGCAACAUGGCGGAGCUGACAGAAGGAGUCCAAAACUCUAGUUGCAUUUCUCUGAACCAACCCAGUUUUUUGACUAGGGGAGAUCCGGCAGCGCGCAGGUUGCGACAUCCUGAAGGGCCCAAGGGUGAGCCCCUGCCCCAACAGGGCCGCCAUCCAUGCUGCCAGCCGGAGGAGGUUUCCAAAGGUGGCUUAAAAGAAGCAACUUUGAAGAAGAAGAAUGUGCCGCAGGGGAAGCAAAUGGGAUCCCCCAAACCAGUCAACAAGUUCCAUCCUUGAGGACAAGGAUGAACUUAAGGGGAAGGGAUUGUAAUGACCCUGAAGAAUAAAUGGUAAAAGUAGUAGUAGUAGUAGCAGUUAGCAUGGGAGAGUAGUAAAAAUGUCAACUUUACAAAGUAGAGCAGAGAAGUGAUAGCAGGAGGUUGGUGAGCAGUGAGCUCGGCGGAGCGAUCCGGCGGGAAGGCGCUCGAGCGGAACUCCGGCAGGAAGGCGCCUUCGAAGGGGCUAAGGCGAGCUCGACAGUUCUAGGGCAUAGUCGGUGAUGAAGGGAAAAUGGGAGGAUCGAGGUCGGAGGAGGAAGCCCGACAGAACCGGGGUGUUUGGGGCGAAGAAGAGAGCUAGCGGAUCGGGCGGUCAAAUCAUCGGAGCGGGCGUAAAACGCGGACCCGAUAUCCGCCGGGUCGUGGAUGAUGCGGAGAAGGCCGGAACCGACGCCCACUUACCGUUAAGCAUGGAUCGGGCAAAGCGGGCUCGGAUCGGGGCGAAAUGGCGAACCCAAGACCCGCUGGGUUGCGGGUAGUGUGGAGAAGGACGGACCCGAGUCCGAAUACCCGACAAGCAGCAGAGGAGCUCAGGAAGCCCAGGAAGAGGGCCCAACUACCACCGAAUUGGCGGCCCAACCAACCCACUUCUUAUUUUGUCACUUUUGCUGUUUAGUCCUCAGAGAUUAAAUAAUUCUCUUUUCUAUACGGAACUAAUUAGUAUAAGUAUCAGGAUGUAAUGUAAGCUAGGGCUUAGGAAUGGAAAUGAAUUAGCGUGUCUUCUUCCCCAAUUAUCCUCUUCUUCUCCACUCCUUUCUCUUAUCCUUCCCCAAAACCCUACUCUAAAUUCUUCUAAAACCCUAUUUUCUUCCUCCCAAUCUCUCUCCCUAUCUCUCUCUAUUUCUCUACCUCUCCUUCUCUUUCACAAACUCACCUCCAAAUCACCUCAAAUUAUCCGGUACAUAACAAUAGUCUCCAAACCUCACUGAAAACUAUUCGAAUAGUCUUCUAAGCUAUUUUUCAUUGAAACUCCACAAAUUUGCACAAGUUUAAUGCAUUACAUAAUGAUUAUUAUGUAUAGAGCUUAUCUUUGUUGGACAUAUGACACACAGUAGGUUUGGUUAACAUGUAAUUGCUCUCUCGUGGAUUUUAACCUUAUUGGUUGGUUGUAGUUGAUUAUGAAAAUGAUAUAUGAUUGACCUAGUUAGUUGGCUAUACUCUAUAUGAGAUUGGACCUUUGUGAUCGGUAGAUUGCUCCUCAUGAGCCUUGUUGCUUUCCAUCACGGUUCAAUUACUUGAGCAUAUAGCGUGAUCCUAGAUUGCUCCUCAUGAGCCUUGCUACUUUCCAUCACGGUUCGAUUAUUUGAGCAUAUAGCACGAUCCGCUACAGCAUGAUGCACAUCCGCAUACACCAAUUCGAUUUGGUCACCAAUAGUGGAUGUUCUUUUUCGAAAAAGUGGUAAAAAAUGAGUCAUGAAUCAACUUCGUGCAUACAUAGAUCAUCAAUUCGAAAGCUCUAUUAUCGAAAUUAUUUAAAUUUAUGAGUACGAAGACAAUCGUACUCAUAAAAAUUAUAACCGGUCACACUCUCACUCAUCGAAAAUAAUUUAUGAAUAUGAAGACAAACCUAAAGCAUCCAAAAUUAACAAUCAAAACGGUAAAACUUGAUCUAAACUAUUCAAACUUUUUAGGUUUCAAAUUUUACAAUUUUUUAAUAUCAUUUGCCGACUAUUCAGAUGGUCUCAAAUUUACUAUUUUCAACAACUAAUAAAAGGUUAAUUUGAGACCACUUGAUGCCUAGGCAAAUGACCACAAAAUAUCACAAAAUCCGAAUCAUAAGAAAUUUAAAUAGCUUAAAUUGUGUUUAAGAAAUUUAAAUAGCUUAAAUUGUGUUUAACAAAAUCAAUCAUCAAAAUUCGCAUGACAUAUAGUCAAACAAUUCAUAAGCAAAUGACCCUGUUUACUCCCAGAAGUAUUAUAACUAUCAAUUAAUUUUCAAGAACUAGGAAAUAAGAAGAUAAUAUAAAGAUAUGUCUUAAUGACUACAAAACCAAACAUAAUUUGUAAAAUCACUAACAAAAGUGGCCCAACACUAUCACCCAUCAAUGAAUUGCACUAACGAUGAAAUGCUCAGCAACUAAAUAGACUUACAGAUAGCCAAAAAAGAUCACAACUUCGAGUAAAUAGACAGGCUUGAGGAUAGGCUAAAGAAUAAUUACACAGAGAAAGGCAGCCAACAUGGCUUUUGGGCUCCACAAUUUGUUAAUGUUGAGUAACUGUAGCUUGUUUCUAUCAUGUUAAGAAGCAUAUAAACUUACAAGAAUACCAAGCUACACAAGAUUAUAAUGCAAUACACAUCUGCAAGUUACACUUAAAUCGCAUUUAUUCCUCUGCUUGCCAUCACCGAGCACAUCACUGUAAUGAGAAUAGCACCGCUAAUACAAAAACAUAGCAGUAACCAGUGUAACUGUGAAAAUAAUCAACUUUAACAUAGGCAGAUAUAAUCCUAUAAAAGAACAUGUAAGGGUGGAAGAAAGUCCAAAAAUAAUACAAACAUAUAUGACAUAAAAAAGCAAUGUUUCGCUACACCUUUUACAGAUCUGAAUUUAGUUUUUAAGUUUCAGUAAGCACACGUAGAUGCCUGAAUGGAAUGAUAAAAGCAACAAAGCAGGAUCCAUACAAUUUACAAGCCUGUUGAGAUCGAAGCAUGGAGCAAGCGGCUAUAGUCCAAAUUGUUCCUUAUCACAAUUCAUUGAUCAGGCAGGUAGAGGCUCCUCCAAAACUGUUCAUUUUGAUCAGAAGCAAUUUCUUAGCAACCAAAUUUGUAGCAGGAAAUAGCUCAACCAAAGAUAUGCAAUUACAAAAUACAUACAGACAAAGAUAUAAAUCGAACAGAGUCAUAUAGACCGCGCACAUUUAUAGCCAUGUUCAUACAUGCUAUAUGCACAGAGAGAGAGAGAGAGAGAGAGAGAGAGAGAGAGAGAGAGACCGUCAGUUCUUUUGGCAGCACUAUCUUUAGCGGCCACAGGAACUUUCGUGGGUACAUCAGGAAGGUCGAGAGUCUCAUCUUCUUUUUCCUCUGCCUGAGAUUCUGCUUCAGGCUGCUUUUCAACAAACAGUUUAGCACCCUCUUCAGCUGGCACUGAUGAAGCAGGAAUUGUCGGCAAUGAUUGUAGUGUGAGCUGCAAUGAUUAAAAAAGCCAGAACACUUUACUAGGACGCCUAUAAACAUAGACAGUGAAAUCGGAACAAAGUUUAUUUUGGCACAAAAACUAGCUCAUGCAAGCUUGUAGUUGUCUUUCACUUUGUUAAUCUUAGGGAAUGUGCUUGUGGCAUAAAAGAGCCCUUGAGCAAUUUAGUAAACAAACCUCAGUUUCCAAGUUCUCGAAUUCUGCCAAAACGGCUUCCUCAUCUUCAGCUGAGAGCUGCUCCCCUAAUGCAGCAUUUAUUUCCUGCAACGACAGAAGAAAGCAUAAGACCAGUCUUCAAUUUAUUUGAAAUAGAUAAUCCUAAAGCACUAGUAAUUCAUGAUUGGAAGUCCUACAAUAAGUAAAUGAUGACAAAAUCAACUAUUAGCAUAAACAUAAGCAACAAGUCAGGCCCAAUCAUGCCUCAAGCCCUCAUAGAACUAAGCAGAUAAUUGCAAAAAUAGACAAUAAGUUACUAUGCCAGAAAAAAUUAAUCAAUAGCAAUAAUUUUAGCAGACAUGCAACAGAUCAUAAUUCUUUUCACCAAUUUGAAAAUCAUAAGAGUACAGUAAGCUUCUCAUCAUCCACACAAUUUUCUUUCCAAUUAGAAUAUUCUACAGUUGGACAUUGACUUGUCGCAAACAAGAAAGGUUUUAUAGGAAGAAGUUGCAUUUCAAUAGUAUAGAGGACACGAGGGUUGUGAGAAAAUGCAUCUCAAGAGGUUUCUAAUGAGGGAACUGGUUCGAUCAUUAUGAUUGUGACGCUAUUCUUCAAAGAAGUGAGGAUCAACCCCUUAUCUAUGGGAAGACAAAGAGGAGUAUCCUCUUUAAAAGAAUAAGUCAUUUCUCAUGAGAUAGAGAACUGGUCCAAGUAUAGGCCUCAAGGGUUAAAAUAUGAGCUAUAUUAUUAUAAGAAGCUAAAAUACUAUGCAUUAGUGCCUGAAAUCACAAUCCAAAAUGUACAACAAUUGUAUAGCAUAGAUGCUAAUUUUCAGCCUUGCUUGUCUACCAAGGCCAAGUUUGGUAAGGCGGUAGCUGUAAGCACAGCCUUUAUGCUCUGAAAGAUGCAAAAAUUCAAAGCACUUUCAAUCUUCCUCCAAUGCUAUACAAUUGUGAUGACAACCGCCACCGGAGAAGCACAUAACCACAUGCUUCUUUGGUAAUGGUUGCCACUACAAUUUUUUUAGCAUUGGAGGAGGGACGCUUGGAAGCGUUUUUGGGAUUUUUUUUUUUUUUUUUUGGUUUUUUGGACCUUACAAAGCAUAAAUGUGAUUCUUUUAGCCCCCGCAUUACCAAAGUAGGCCUAAAAUUUCCUGGUUGUAUAGCAUAAACCACUAAACCAAACAGAGGCAUAUAUUUGUGUCAAAGAUGACAUGAGCUCCAGCUGGUGCAUCUUUCCUUAACGCUAAUCCAGAAGUUCCCUUAGAGCUUCAGUUGCAAAGUUCAACAAUCGAGGUCUUUAGGACUUGCACACUUUUCCUAAUUUUGCUGCAUCGCUAAAACAUCAUUUUAACCACUUGCAAGUUUAAACAUCAGUGAAAUUGCCCUCUCCCAAACAUGAAUCAUAUUUGAUCCUUAACAAGCAACUGGCAAGCAAAGCUUCAUCAUGUUGCAGUUAGAAAACAACCAUCAAACAAGAAACUAAACUGAUAUUUAAAAACAAAACUAAGAUACAAAUAAGAAGAAAAACAUUUCCCUAGUGAUUACUGUUUAAGAUUAUAACAGUUGCAUGAUGGCUGGAGAAAAUAUAUAUCUAAGAUAGGCAGAGAAUCUACCACAGUUAAGGGCUUCCGAAAGAUUCAACUAGUUUCAAUAAUAAAUAGCAGAUGAAGGAAAGGUAAAAUACAACAGACUUACAUCUUGAUAGGCCUUUGCCUCAGCUGUAUCAUCCAUCAAUUUCUGAACAUCUUCCAACUUGAUCUCACUUUGUAUAGCUUUGAUGGCAUUGUUUCCUGUCUUCAAACUUUCAAAUACAGCCUUUUGCUUACUUGCUAGUUCAAUAUCUGCCAACUAAAGCAAGUAAUAAGAACCAAAAAAAAAAAAAAUAAAAUAAAAAUAAAAAACAUAUUAUCAUACAAUCCAUGGGGAAAAGAAAGCUUCACGAAGAUCAAGCUAAGGCUUGUUUACUUCAACUUUCAGGCAGCCACGCAGGAUUUAGAGCAAGUAACAAGCAUUAAAUACGUUUACAGGACAGCAAAAACCCCGUGUCACACCUGGUUCAAUGCCAGCAUGGUACACACAAUACUACAAUAAUACAUACUAAUACCACAUUCCCUAAAACCAUAGCUUAGGAUGCAUUCUCCAUAUACAUCCACGUAGACGCAUAGAACUGAGCAGAGCAAUAAGAGCUUUCAGAUUUCCUAUUUAAGCUCUAAGUAGGGGUGAAAAUGGAUUGGAUACGGACUCAAAUGUUAAUCCCUAUUCAUAUAUAUAAAUUUAAGGCUAAAUUAUAUAAAACCCUUUUGCCAAAAUCCGAUUUUUCACUUUUCCCCCCUGUCAUUUAAAAACCUACACUUUGCCCCCUUGUAAAAUGAAAAAUGUUCACUUCGUCCCCUGCCGUUAGUAAUCCGUUAGGGUUCCGUUCAUAAAUAUUAUUAUAUAUUUUUUAUGCCAAAAAUGCCCUUAGCCUUCUCUCCUGUGAACACAGUGAGAGGCAAAAUGGUGAGGGAUAAAAUAGUCAUUUUAUCAUCACAGUUCACGCCGUACUCCCUUAUGAACAUUUUUCAUUUUAUGAGGGGGCAAAGUGUAGGUUUUUAAAUGACAGGGGGUGAAAGUGAAAAAUCAGGUUUUGACAGGGAGAUUUUCUGUAAUUUAGCCUAAAUUUAAAUCACAUCAGGUCAAAGCAGAUAUUGGACAUUGGACAGAUAAUAAACAUCAAAUCCAUACUCAGAAAAAUAGUCUCGUUGACAUGUCAGAUAUUAAAUAGAAUGGCUUCGAAUUAAUAUUUAAUAAAAUAUAUAAGACUAUAGAAAAAAAAAUUUGCAAAGUAUAUAUGAUGUUUCCCGAAAACUGUCUACAAAACUACUAGAAAAAUAACAAAAUCUAUAUAUAUAUAUAUGUAUAAUAUAUAGAGAGAGAGAGAGAGAGAGAGAUAAGGAAGAAGAGGUCGGCUACUAUACUCUUAUGAGUAUAGAGCCCUUCGUACUCAUAAAAGUUGUUUCGAUGAUGGGGUUUCUAAAUCGACGAUCCACUCCGUUAAACAUAAUCUAGAGUAUUUGAAACUUCUAAAAAAUAAAUUUCGAAAUUUUUCAUCAUAAUAAAGUCCAUUCAAGCGGCAUAAAAUGAACGCGUCAACAAUCGAAUACAUCCUAAAAUGGAUGAUCAGAUCCUUCAAUUUAAGAUCAAAAGUUAUUGAUUUAUCUAAUUAGUGAAUAGAAUUUUCUAUCAAAAAUUCAACCUAUUCCAAUUCUUUACACUGGUUAAACUACCAAUAUCCACACCGCGCUGUUAAAAAUUGUCAAUUUUGUGACCUUUUGAUCGUAAGAUAAUGAGUCAAAAAAUUAUAAAUAUUUAUUUUUAGAAGUUUAAAUGCUUUACAUAAUGUUUAACGUAUGAUCAUUGAUGCGGAAGUUCUAUCAUUGAGAACGACUUAUGAGUACAAAGGCGAUCGUACUCAUAAAGAAUAGUAGUCAGACGCUAUAUAUAUAUAUAUAGAGAGAGAGAGAGAGAGCGAUGAGAACGACUUAUGAGUACAAGGUCGUACUCAUAAGAGUAUAAGUAGCGAAGCUAAUAUAUAUAUAGUAUAUUAUUAAUAUAUAUAUAUAAAGAGGAGACGGAGGAGAGAGAGAGAGAGUGUGGCUGGAAUACUAUCGAUAGUAUUUGGUCUAUUUUGCUAUCAAGUUUUUAACCUUGCAUAGAAAUGGUAGGUUAGGAUAAUAUUAGUCCCUUAGGGUAGAGGAUCCCCCUAAGGUUGAGUGGUCUCCACAGAAUUAUAAUAUUUAAUCCAAUGGUUUUAGAAAUGAUCAAAAUAAUUAAUCUAAAAGCUACAAAUCUUGAUAGCAAAGGGGCAAAAUACUAUUUAAUAGUUUCUAGGCCGCAACUAUUAAUAUUAUAGUAUAUAUUAUAUAUAUAAACGAAGAGAUAGGGGGGAGAGAGAGAGAGAGAGAGAAAGAGAGAAGAGAGAAGAGAGUAGUUCUACGACUCGGCUCUUCGCGAUCGAUGGAGUUUCCGUAUCGACGAUCGCUUUCUUAGACUUGUUUUACAUAUUAAACUAAUUAGAAACAUAAGUUUGCCGAUUUUCAAUAUAUUUACAUAGUGAUUGAAAGGUGUUCAAAUCAACGCUGAAAAUAAAAAUCUCACAAAAGUGGUGAUUACCAGCCAUAAAAUUUUUUAUUCAGAGAUAUUUGAUUCUUGUGUAAAUAGUGACAAGAAUUUUCUAUCAAAUUCAAUGCUAAUUUGAAUACUUCUACACUAUUACACUAUAAAGGAUAUUACAUCUAACUCGAUUAAAAAAUUAUUGAUUUUAAACCUUUCACUUGCUAGUGUAAAUGAGUAGUCGAAAACCGCAAAAGCUUAUUUCUAGGAUAUGUUCAAUACGCGUUGUCAAUCUAGAAGAGCGAUCAUUCAAUUCAGAGUCCCGAUCAUCGAAAGGCUUAGGAGCCGGAAGCCUCGUGGGCUCCUGAAUAGCAACACAAAACUACUCUACUAUCUCUCUCUCGAGUCUCUAUCUCUCUCUCUCUCUCUCUAUAUAUAUAUAUAUAUAUAUAAAAGUUACAUACUAAAAAUAUACUAAAAGAAAUUUUGGAUUCGGAUUAUCCGUAUCAAAUAAAUGUCUAAAAAAAUAUAGUAGACCCAAAAAUCUAAAAAAUUUAAUGUGUGUGUAUACAUAUAUCUAUAGAGCUAGGCUGGUAUACUAUUGGUAGCAUGGAGGUCUCCGUGCUACCAAGUUGUUUUUAAUGAUGCGGCUUCCAAAUUGACGAUCGGUUCCUUUAGACUUGAUCUACACUAUUAAAAGUAUUUGGAAACUAAAUUUCAUAAUUUUUCAACAUCAUGUACCUAUCAAACGAGUAGUCUAAAUAUGAAUGGCUAAAAAUAAAAAUCUCAUAAAAAAUAAUGAAAAAAGACUUGAAUUUAAGAUCAGAGGUACUGAUCUUACUCUAAAUAGUGAAAAUAAUUUUCUAUAAAAAUUUCAUCAGAUUUGAAUUAUUUUAUACCGUUAAAUUCACAAACGCAUCACAUCGACCAUUAAAAUUGUCAAUUUUGAGACCUUUUGAUCACUGGCCAAAUGAUGUUGAAAAAUUAUGAAAUUUAGUUUUCAAAUACUUUUAAUAGUGUAGAUCAAGUCUAAAGGAACCGAUCGUCAAUUUGGAAGCCGCAUCAUUAAAAACAACUUGGUAGCACGGAGACCUCCAUGCUACCAAUAGUAUACCAGCCUAGCUCUAUAGAUAUAUGUAUACACACACAUUAAAUUUUUUAGAUUUUUGGGUCUACUAUAUUUUUUUAGACAUUUAUUUGAUACGGAUAAUCCGAAUCCAAAAUUUCUUUUAGUAUAUUUUUAGUAUGUAACUUUUAUAUAUAUAUNUUCUAUAUAUUAAGUCAUAAAAGAUAGCAAAGAAUCUCAUUAAAGAGAAAAAUUAUUCUUUUAUAUAUAUAUAUAUAUAUAUAUAUAUAUAUAUAUAUAUAUAUAUAUAUAUAUAGUAUAUUGCUUUUAAUAUACUAAAAAUAUAUUAAAAGCAAUUUUGGAUUCGGAUUAUCCGUAUCAAAUAAAAUCUAAAAAAUAUAAUGGACCCAAUCAGGAAAAUUUUCUAAUCCCAAAUUCAAAUCCGAAUCCAAAGUGGAUAGUAAAAUCCCAAUCAAUAUCCCAUUAGUGUCGGUUUCAAACUUGAGUCGGAUAGAAUAAUAUCAUUUUCACCCCAAUCUCUAAGGGAUAGUUGGGAAUCCAUCCUUGAACAAUUUGAUGUUGGAGACCUAGUUUGCGAUUGCAUGCUUUAAGGCAAAAUACUUGCUCCUCAUGCGGCAAUUCCCACCAUAAUUCAGUAGCAUUAGAUGAAGGAAACUCCAAAGCGCUUUCAGAUUUUUCAAUCCCUCUAAAGCAUGAAAGCAAGUGUAUUUGGACACCACAAUCUUAUAACAGGCCUUAGAAUUCCCAAAAAGUAGGAAAGAAUGUAAGAGAUCAGUUCCUCUAAUGCUGCAAAAUUGUGGUGGGAACCUCCAUUAAAAAAGCAUCCAUUAAGAUACUUCUCCAUGGAAGUUCUCACACCGUUUUGCAAUAGGGAUUGGCCAAGCUAAUGAUAUUCCUGGCUUUCUUGGAGCUCUAAAGCAUGAAAGUGAUUGGAGAACACAUUCCCAAGCUAGGCCUACAACAUAAAAGUGGUUGUGUUUUGGGAACACAUUCCCAAACUAGGCUUAAAUAACGCCAAAAGGCACUCUUGUGACUUCGAAAGCUGGACAUGGCCACAAUGACACCUCAAUAAUCCCACAUCGGAUAAUGUGAGAGAGUGUGACAGGCUUAUAUGUGACGGGCAUGCUAGAGAUAAUAGCUACGCCUAAGCAAGGCUAAUGUUUUGAGUCCAACGAAUAAUUAGUGCUAGUAGGUCAAGUCAUUACAGUUGGUCUCAGAGCCAAUGCACUAGCCGAAAGUGUAAGGAAGGUCUCACAUCGCUUGAUGAUCUUGAGCUAUGUGUGUGAUUGAGUUAACAUAGACAUUAGGGCCCAAAACGGGAGAAAUAUGUGACACCUCAAUAGUCCCACAUCUGAUAAUGUGGGAGAGUGUAGCGGGUUUAUAUGUGACGGGCAUACAGCAUACUAGAACUAAUAACUGGGCUUAAGCAUGUCGGAUCAAUGGUUUGGGCUCAACAAGUUUUUUAGUGCUAGUAGACCGGAUCGUUACAGCCACCAUGUAGAGUGGCACGACAAUCCUUAGCAGCAGACGCCUCUAGUGAAGUGGUUAGCAAAACAAAAGAAUCUAAUGCUUUGGCUAGGGAGGAAAGGUGAAAUGAGCCUUCGAUCCCUAAAACCAGAAGCUUCGAUUUGGAACUUCUGCUUCUACUACAAAAUGGAGCUAUUAGGGAGAUCUUACUAAAAAUGUUGUUAAUGUUUUUUCAAACAAGUCUACUCAAACAACACUUCUGCAUAAGUUCCAUAAGUGCCGAACAUAAGUGUAAAUGAUAUGUGACUGAAAUUUGUAUGUUUACAAGUUGUUUAUUAGGUAGAAAAGUACAGCAAUUGAUCUAUACAUCCUCAUAUUAGAUAAUCAGCUAUCAUAACUAAAAUAUAAUUCAAAAUUUACAAAUGACACAAUUUUUAAAUUUGAAUAUAAAUAUAUAGCACAAAUAACAUGUAAAUAGGUAGAGUUAGUUGAAUAUAAGUUUGUUAACCUUAUCUUAGUAAUCAAAAAUAAUGUUCACUUUCAAGUUUCCAAAGGUUGAGAAAUAAAAACUAGAGAACUUGUGAAAACAAAGGAUAAUUGUAUUUNAAUGACACAAUUUUUAAAUUUGAAUAUAAAUAUAUAGCACAAAUAACAUGUAAAUAGGUAGAGUUAGUUGAAUAUAAGUUUGUUAACCUUAUCUUAGUAAUCAAAAAUAAUGUUCACUUUCAAGUUUCCAAAGGUUGAGAAAUAAAAACUAGAGAACUUGUGAAAACAAAGGAUAAUUGUAUUUCAAUAUGCUAUUACUUUAUUAUAAUACUUGCCUUAAAAGGGUUUAGAAUUAGAUUAUUGGCAAGUAAUAUAACUUUUACGAGUAAAGAAAUUCCAUAAAUUAUAAUAAUCUACUUUGUAGUGAAACAUGUUUAUCAUAAAAAAUUUAUAGUUUUCCUUAUUAUCUAGAUAUCAAAAGCCACUUUCUAAUGCAAUAUACAAGCACGUAAAAGAAUAUCUAGAAGCUUCCUUUUGUAACUCUUUCAGACGGAAAGAAACUUUUCACUAAUAGUACUCCAAGAAAAAGUUUCGCGGUCAAAAGUUGUUCUCAACAAAGUUAUAAUUUCCAAAGUGAACCAAACAAGCCCAGCUAAAAUGGAAAAUUAUGCUUUGGCACAUAAUUUUGCUCUAUUUCAUUUAUAAGAAAAAAUUAAUGUUCUACAUAUAUAACCACUUACUUGUUGCUCAACAUUAAUUAGCCAUGUAUCAACUUGUUUAAGGAGCUCUUCCUGAGCUUUCUUCUUCUUCAAGGCCAGCAAGGCCCUGUCUUUCCUCUUUUCCCUAAUCAGAUCCUUUGCAGCUUGUUUUUCAGCCUCAAUCACUGUCUCAAGCUGGUAAAACAGAAAGAACAUAAUAAUUAAUACCAAUGGACACAACAAUUCUUACAUAACUUCAAAAAAAAUAAGGGCUGAAUAUGAUAUUCCAAAACCAAUUGUAUCUCACAGAUGGUCUCAAGCAUGAAAAUCUCAGAACCGAAUCAUCUUUCUACUUGGUAGAACAAAUAAAUAUGUUGAGUCUACUUCAGUAAUCUUAGUGGAAUUAGAAAAUCAAAGAACACACCAUAGUUACUAACUAGAACCUUAAACAUUAGUCCCAUAGGAUUAGGUCAGGAAGGGACUCAAUACACUUCAUGCAUAUAAAGGAGGACAAUGGCCAGGACCACUACAUGCAUAAUCUUCAGAAAGCUCAACUUUCUAACCAACUAGCAGCCGAGCAGGGCGAAGAGUUAUUUGAACUCGAAAUGUUAAAACACUACUUGUAAUUAUCUUAACUUCGUAGCAAUGAUAGAGACCAUCAUACCAACAGACUUCUGAAUUAGUUGGCAGACUGCUUCGUGGCACAUCACCGAAGCAACAAGUAGCAGUUCCAUAGAUGAAAAAAAACCCAUGGGCUUUGCUCUCAGAACCUUUCAAAAGCAAGGCAUCUUGAGAGACUGGUUAUGCCCAACAUUUUACAUAGGCAGUAGAACUUCUACAAGACGUGGAAAAUAAUAAAGUACUACACAUUACAUUGAAUGGAUUAGGAAAGUUGACAGCCUUCAGAUAUGUACUUCUUUCCAAAAGUGAGUAAUUCUCUCACAUUUACUGAUAUCACGAAAAUACUAAAAAGAAAAAGCAAGCAGAUUUUUCUUGUCUAAAUUACCUAAAGUUGAACUUUUGAUACUCGAGAAACAAUAGAAGAUAUAGUGUGAUGUACUAGUCAAUUAGAUAAAUUGAUAUAGAGCCUAAUGGCAAAGAAAUAAGACCCAGCAAUGGCUGGAUAUGCCCACAUAUAGACAAGUGAAUGAACUCACAGCAACUAGAUAUUUGCAUUCUCAUAACAUUUUUCAUAGAAUCUCACUUUUAUCUAAUAAUAUGAUAUUAGCAUUUGAUGUAAAGUUUUUAAAUAUGCAUCCACAUUUCGUACAAUUCCACUAGUUAGACAUAUUUGCAUGGAUGUGCAUCUACAUAAUUGACAUAACCAUAUAUCUAGGAAAAGCUUUUUGUGCAGUCCAAUAAAGGAAACAUCCUCUUUGUAUAGCUGUUGCAUGACAAUGCCACAGAUACGUGUAUUUUCCCUUCAGAGGCACUAUGUGGGGUAUAACUUAGCAUAAGAUGUAUGAAAAUGCUAAAUGGGAAAGGCAACAGAGAACACGCUUAUAAUUCAUUUGAAAGAUCUACAGGUCGAUUACCCUUUUAAUAAGAGAAAAUGAAAUUCUUUUAAAUCUUGUGUCUACCUAUAAAUGAGGUAAUUGCCAGAAAAAUGAUCAGGAGGUAACUUGCCAUCUAAAUGAUCAGUACCUGGAGUCAAAAAAUGAUUUAGUUGCCUUUCAUAGAAUCUACAGAUAGCCAGUUCGGCUUUUAUGUUUAAUUCUAUUUGCAUGUAUUACAGCAUAUUAUUAGCUUCCAAGACCAGAUAUUCAAUACUACAUCGAUGGAAAGAGUUGUGUAGAGAUAAUACAAACAACAACAAAGUUUUUUUUUUACUCGACUGCAGUUUAUACUUUAUAGCGAACAUCAAGCAAGCGAAAGUAGAAUCCUAUGCAUUAGCGGGAAUUUCUGUUUGACUGCAGCAUCGAUGACCAGCAAGUGAGUCACAUAAUAACUAGAAAAAUUCUGAGAAGAACUCGAGUUUAUAAACUUGAAGCUCUGAUUUCUUGAUACCAUGAGCUUGCAGAGCAGCGUGUCUAGAAACAUUACUUGCAGUAGGCUAUACUCAACUAUGGAUAUGAAGUAGUCUACACUUUAAAUCAUCUCUAGGUUAAUGAAGUAGCCUUUGGCUUCAUCAGAGCUGAAACCUUCAUUGAAGGCAAUGUUAAAAGCAGAAGAAUUUUCCUAGGCCAAUUCUACUUCAGGCGACAUCUUAGAUUUGCAAUAAAUAGUGCCGCUCUCAUUGUGAGAACCAAAAAAGGAAAAAAAAAAAAAAAAGAAAAAAAAGAAAAAGGAAAAGGCACUACUCUAUGAAAUCAGACCCCCCUCAGCCUAAAAGCAGAAUGCUCAGAUAACAGGAGUUUCACGCCACUCUAACUAAUUAGUAUGCCCCAAAAUGAUAGGUGAUUUUCAAUGCAAAGAUGCAACAAUCUUUGUCCUUAUCCAACAAAGGAAAAACAGCAAAAGACCGAGAAAAAUUCCUAGUUCUCUCUUAAAAUUAAGGGCCAAAGCUAAGCUUCAGAUCUUUCCCCCCAUCGAUUUAUGUAUGUCUACUCUCAUCUUCCCCUCAAAUCACAGAAACUCGGCGAAUCUCUCACAAGACCAAUCAAUACCUUAUGGACAUUCAAAAAUUUGAUAACAAAGAUGAUCUAAAAUAAUUAGGGCAAUCCAAAUUCUAAAAACAUAAAGAAAUAAAUAAAUAAAUAAGAUAAUUAGUAAGAAGAAGAAAUCGACAAAAAGCGGGAGGGAGAGAAAGAGAAAGAGAAAGAGAUCUGGCCUGCUGCUGGUACUGCGCGAGUUUUCGACGCUGCGUUUUGAGGGAGAGAAUCGCGCGGUCGACUUCCGUGAUCUUAGGCUUCUUCGUGAAUAUAUUCCCCAUCUCCCCUCCUACCCCUCUCUAACCUCUAUACGAUUUUGUUGAAUCCUAAUCCCCAGUUCUUAUGGAGAGAGAGAGAGACAGAGAAAGAGAGAGAAAGAGAGGAGGUGAUGGUCGUCGCGGCCGUCGGCAGCCCAAGAAAAUCACAGGAACGGCCGGCCGGAGGGAAGAAGUUGGGGUGCCAACGGAAUCGAGUUGGACGGAGGUUGAAGACGAGCGAGAAAGGGAAAAAGCGGGGUCUGGCAGCAGGCUGUCCCGCCGUGAGCUGUCAGUCCUAUCGGCUCGGGUCGGGUUGUUGUCGGAACGGCUGCCAUUUGGUCAUUGGACCCGUAUCCAGUCCAACUCUCUCUCUCUCUCUCUCCCCUUCCCUCUCUCUCUUCUUUCUUUUUUUUUUCUAUUUUAUUAAGGAAAAAAAAAAAAAGCCCUCCCACAGGCCACAGCUAGGGGUGGAAACGAGCCGAGCCCGAGCGAGCUUGCCUCAGCUCAAAUUCGACUUGAAAUUAAUUUCGAGCCUAAAUUUAAGGUCAAGCUCGGCUUGAAAUUAAUUCGAGCCGAGCUCAAGCGAGCAUGAUUUCGAGUCGAGCAAGCUCAAGCCCUAAGAGAGCCGCUUGAAAUUCUCAACAUCGUACGAUUAAUAGUUUAAUUUGUAUAUAACAUUAUUUACAAUUUGAUACAAAAAAUAUCUAAUAGUUCAAGAUACAAAAUAAUUAUAUGAAAUACGGUAUUAUAAUAUGAAGAAAAAUAAUUUACGAGUUGAAUAUCUAAUCUUUUCAGCUUCGCAUGUCUUCUCUUCCGCAUUCAAUUUUCAUAUUAUUCUUUUUCAUCUAUGUGGUCAAAAAAUGAAUAAAUUAUAUAGACAAAUAUUAGAUUAAACUAUCUAAUUAUAUAUAACUAAAAUCAAAAUUUAAUAUAAAUAAUAAUUUUUUACCUUAAAAAUAUUCUGUAUAUUUUCUCAAGAACCAACUUAAUGGAGGUUAUUGGGCUGGGGCGCGUGCUGUUCUUGAUGAUUGGCGGGGCUUCUGGUCUUGGCCGUUGAGGGGGAUGAGAGAGAGAGUAGAGAGAGAGAGUGGAUUAGAUUUAGGUUUUGUAAAUCAAGAAAAGGGGAAGGUGUAUUUGUAAAUUUUCUUUUUUGGCUAUAUUGGGUUGAUUCUAUGGCGGCAUAUUUGCUCAAUUUACUACUUGGUUACUCAUUGCUAUAUUAUGGGCUGGAAAUGGCGGCUCGCUGUUCGACUCGAUCUAUUUGGCUGCGCUGAUGAGCUCGACGCGAACUUAAGUGAGCCGAAUUUGACAAAAAGAAGGUCUCGAAACUUUAUUUCAAAAGCGAGGUUGAAUGUAUUACUCGCUCAGUUGAUUAGGUUCAGUCGAAAAGCUUAUUAUAUAUAUAUAUAUUCUAAUACUAUAAUAUGAUAUUAUAUGAUAUUAUAUAGUUAUAUAAUAUUAUAUAUAUCUAUAUAUAUAUAUAUAUUUUAUGCUUUAUAUAUAGGAUAGUACCAAGCUUGUAUUGAGUUUGCGUUGGAUGAAAGGAUGUGCGUUAGGAUUUGUCGUGGUCCCUAGGGUUGGUGUGUUGGUUAAGUAAUUUAAGCGAUAGAAUUGUAAAGGGUAAUCUAACGGUGACUAUAGUACAAGUAAACACAGACUAUAAUAGUAUUAGUAGCGACUCUCUCUCUACUCCUUCUUUCUCGUCUCCUUUCUUCUCUCUAUCUCUCUCUUUUCAUAUUAUAUAUUAUAUUGGUAUAUAGCGUACUAUGCUAUUAAUAGCCAGGGCUUUGGGGCGGGUACCAAUGUUUUUGCCUUGGUUAAGGGAUGUGCGGUUGGGGAUGAGUGGGCCUCUUUAGAGUUGGUGGGGUGAUUGGUUGAUGUUGAUUACGGGUGAAAUGAUAAAUGGUAUGGACUAAGCGGAAACUUCGGUAGACAAGGCUUCGUUGCUUUAAUAGUAUGUACCGGAUAUAUAUAUAUAUUAAUAUAUAAUUAGUAACUAGUUAUAUUUAUAUAGAAUAGGCGACUAUAUAUUCUAUGUCCGAGCUCCAAGGUCUAUAGUGUUUAGUUUUCAUCUUGAUGGGUUCAAGCUCGAUCCACACGUGAAUUGACUAGUAGGUAUAUGAAGUUGGCUUAGGAAUAAUUUUAGUUUUUUUUCGAUAUCGUUUUACUGAGAAUAAUAUUAUAUCAAUGGAGGUGGGAAAUGAUUAAUUCUUUAUUGGUAUAAUUUUAAUUCCAGAUCAGAAUGUUAACUUAAAUACUUUAGUUUAAAGUGAUUUUUAUCACAAUUAAAGAAUUUGUUUUCUACCCGUUAAAUCUCACUUUUAAUAGCAUUGAAUUGCAUUUGAUGUUUGGUAUUUAGUAAAACUAUGUCGAAAAAUAUGAAAAUUUUUCUUUCUAGUAACUUUAUACCCUGAUCGUUUUGAGGUGAGAUUGGAUCGUUGAUUUGACGCCUAUAUUCGAACCAAAUUAGGACGGAGCUGCGGUACUUAGAUGUAUAGUGCUAGUCUAACUAUAUUUAUAUAUAUAUAGAGAGAGAAGGAGAGGGAGAGACGAGAUGGUGAGAGAGGAGGAGGUGUGGAGAUACUAUUAUUGGAAGCGACGGAGCUCGUGCUUCAGUUGUUUUCCGAUGUUGCGAUUCGAAUCGUCGAUCGGCCUCGUUAACUUGUCUAGAGAGUUUGGAGGUACUAGAGAAAAUUUUAUUAUUUUUUCGAUUAUCUUUCCUAUGUGAUCGAUGUGCUAAAUCACAAAUUUCAUAUGGCGUGUGUAUGCCGUAUGCAGGUUUACGGAAUGUAGAAUAUUCAUCAUGUGAAAUUUUGAUAGAAAAUUCUUUAUACUAUAUAAAACAAGAUCAAUAUCUUUGAUUUAAAAUUUUAAUGUCAUAUUAUUACAUUUUGUAAGAUUUUUAUUUUCAGCCGUUGAUUUUGAGCCUCUUCGUUCACUAGGCAAAUGAUAUCGAAAAAUAAUAAAAUUUAUUUUCUAGGUACUCCAAAUACUCUAGAUCAAGUUUAACGGAGCCGAUCGACGAUUCGAAAGUCGCAACAUCGAAAACGAGCUAGAAGCACGGAAGGCUCCGUGCUUCCGAUAACAUAGUAGCCUCACUAUAUAUAUAUAUUGUCACGCCCCGGAUUACACUUUCCCCGGGCGCGCCGACAAAUCCGCCGUAUACAAAGGAAUUUUUCCUGUAUACGAAGCGAUAGCUGUACCAGAAAAUCAGACACUACCACGAACAGUAGUAGAGAGCUGCUGGAGAGAACAGAAGCUAAACAAACUGAGUUUCAUAUACAUAGUCCAGAUCCAAAAUACAAAGCUACUCGCACUGGCGAGUUAAGUCCACUAUGUACAUAAACUCGAAACAAAACAUCUACCUGCAGUAGGAGCACCUCUAGCUCAGCACGUCGGGUAGGGCUCUAACUCGCAACGCCCUUGCCUCGAUCCUGAUCCGCGGACGGUGCAGCAGCCGGAACCUGUGGCUCUGCAAAAACAUAGGUAACAACUGGGCGUGAGAACUACUGUAAAAACAAGUAGUCCUCAGUGGGUACCGCCCAAAACAACAUCGGUCUACCCACUAAGUCUACAGAAGGGAGCAAGAAUAGUAGUGAAAUGCAGGAAUAAAGUCUACCGCUAUCAAAUACUACACUAUCAUGCUCUACACUAACCAACUGUAGGAAAUGUCCAACCUGACCCAAUCCAAUCGGGACUGUAAGCAUACCCGUCCCCGGGACUGUGAAUACACCCGUCCCUGCCCCGUUGUGACUGUCAAGCUCUAUCCACACUAACUGGUCCGUGGAGAGCAAGUCCAACUGGCAUGAGCGACACCAACGCGAAAGCACAAAGCCUGACUCCGGAGUGGCACUCGUGGGCGCUACCCAACCGAGUAUGCAGCGUAUCUCUGUCGAGCUCAAACAGGCUCCAACUAGCCAAAGUCAAGUAAACAGGGUCAAAACAGGUCUACAAACCAAACUCACGUGCCCUCGGCACAAUCUGUGACCAAAACAAGAAUCUGGGUCCACCGCUAACCCGAACGGCACCCAACGACCCGAAACAGCCUAAACUCUGCUGAAAAAUAAGCUCGGCAUCUCAGCACGAGCGUAAAUGCCUUCUAAACUACCUGGGGUACUCACAACCCGAAUACAAUAACUGUAUAAAAAUACAACGGCCCCUAAGGCUAAAUCAGAUAGUUAACAUAUGCCGAUCGUUAUCGCGUUUUCUCCUAAGUCAAAUCCAAGUCCAACAUGUAUGUUCAUAUUUAUUAAUCAUGUUCUCAAAUCGUAUUUAUCCAAGAUAUAAUCAAUGAGAUAGAGCUACGGUGCGUGUACAUCUUCACCUCAAGAUUGAAAUGCCUUUUUGCGACAAAAAAAAGGGAAAAAAACUUGCAAAUACCACCAUGUAGUAGAUUUUACACCUUUUUAUUUUAGUCUGUCGGUUUAACAGUGUGAUAAAUUUGAUGCUCUCUGCGUCAUUUUUUGAUCCUUUAUUAUCAAUUAUUAUCUUUUUGUUAAGCAUCUUAGUGCAAAGUUAAGCUAACGUAGUAUACAGUGAAAUAUUUAGUUAAAACUGGGUGGGUCAGUGCCGAGAGUCUUUUGUACUAUAAUUUCAAUAAAAUAUUAAUGAAGAAACUGGACGAAAAUUAAAAAUAAAACCACGGAGAUACUAACGUUUGGCAUCAAAUUUAGACAUGGCGUACUAAAGUGAGAAGAAAAUUGAGCGAAAACAGUUAAAAAAAAAAAAACAGAAAAGGCGGGGGUUGAAGAGCAGAACGAAAGAGAGUGGGGCCAACACCUCACGGCAACAAUUUUCAAAUAGAAAGCGCGGAUGUCCAAAUACGGUGGCUUUAAUGAUUUGCGAGCCCACUCGGAACUGGAUCAUAACUGAGACACGUCCGUUGCUGGCAUUUCGCAUGAUCCGACACGUGUCCUUUCCGAGGUACGGUGCGUGGGGGCAAUUAUUGGAUGUCCAUACGAGGGUGAACAUCUAGUCCAAAUAGGGGAUGCCUUUGGGAUCCGCCAUUGCACGUGGUACAUUGCCUGUUUGACGGCCCAGUGCUGUCUUUCGUUUAUUUAAAAACUUCAACAUUGUAAUUGUAAAAGCGCUCAAGAAAUACUGUCUGGCUUCUGGCCCGGCUUGUGUAAUUACUUUUUGUUUUUUUUUCUCAUUAAGAUGGAAAAUAACAGCGGAGUGAAUGUUCAGCGUAUCGAUGUUAUUCGUAAUUUAUGGCAAUUUCUCAUAUUUUCAUUUUUCUCAAAAAUAAUAAUAAAUGGUGUAUACUUUAGGCGUACAGAUCUCCUAGAUUAGUAAAGAUAUGCUACUUUGUUUCGUUAAAAGGUUUCCGAGAUACUAUUUUCCCUUUGAGGGACUUAUAGAAAGGUUGCAAACAAAUUAUAUAAAAACUAUACGGGGACGAUAAGCAAUCUUUGUUAGUUAUUAUCUCCGUUCAGAGGAAAUUCAAAGGUGGUAUAUGCCUUUGUCGAGUUGCAGGAGAAAAGCAUGAAUUCAUACGGAGUCGAGGGUUAUUGCUACAGCUUUCUCGAUACGAGAAGAGUGAUAUAUAGUUAUUGAAUUUAGGGCCAAGGUUUAAAAGUACGAUUCUGGGUGUUACGGAGAACAAAAAAUGGUACGGGAGUUGCUUUCUGUGCCGCGGCCCAUCGUCGUGAAUUGUUGAGUGAUCACUUAUUCAAUGUGAAUGUGUGGGCAAUCAAUGUUAGAUAUAGGUUAAUAUUAAUAAAUAAAAAAAAAAAAAAGUAAAAUCUCGAUUCGUCUGAAAGCCGAGUCGGUGUUGGUUUGUUUAGGUGGACGAAAGCAAUUUGAGGGCGGAUCUCGGUAGAGAAUUUGGCCUUAGCGACGACGAAGUGGCGUCGUGACGGAGUGAUUGAUGGUCGGAGUCCGUGGAUCAAUUUUUUGGCUAGACGGAUUCGACCCAGUCCGGUCAUUAUGGGCUGGGUCGAGCAUGAAUAGUUUUGCUAUGUCUUGGACGACUGAGGACCGGUCGGUCCAGGCCGUUUUUUCGUGGCUUGGCGCCGCGACUGGAAUUUGCUUAGUCUCGAUUCCAUAUUUUUACAAAAAAUGAAUUAUGAUUUUUUUCCUAAUUCAUUUCCCAUUCUAAUUGAGGGAGUAAUGUAAUAUCACUGAAACACAUUUGCUACUUCAGUAAAAAAAAGAACAAGAAAAUAAGAAGGACAAUAUUCAACCACAUGGCCCGACUAGUGAAUGAGACACAAGCGUUUUUUUUUUUUCUCCCUUUUUGUCUUUUCAGAUAUGAAGCAGUGUUUAGAUUUUUGUCGCCAAGUCCUAACUUCUCAAAAUCACUUCUUAACCUAUGUAUUAGUGGUAUUUCCACUGUGCUAUGUAUACAUCACUACAGGUCGAAAAGUCUAUAGUAAUACCAACAAUUAGGGAACACCGAAAAUCUUUCACUGUUAAUUUCGUAGCGAUAAUUUGCUUGUAGGUUUUACGAACACUACUCGGUUUAUUUAUAUUUUAUCAGUACAGCUUGAGCCUGUUGUACAGUAUGUGGCGGCGCGCGACAGGCACAAUCUUAAGGAUCUUCUUUUUUAAGAGAAUGAUCACUCGUGUUAUCCUUAGCCUUUGCACCCAGAAAAGUUGAGAAACCCCUUUUUGGUAACUUGGCCAUGACAGCGUGCUGAUUUUGUUUGAUCGAGAGCCCGUUGUAACAUUUUACAUCUAUUCCUUUCUUUUUUUUUUGUUUCUUCUUUCCUAAAGCCGGUUAGUUAAACCAAAGGUCAAAGAUUUCUUUAGCCAUAUUAGCUGCUGGACACCUUUUGCGCGCGUACUCCAUGUAGUUCGAAGUCAUGUCGUUUACUGUUUCCUUGUAGUCUAAAAGAGUGGAUUCAGCGCAAGGCAGAUAAGAACAAGAAAAAGGAAAAAGAAAAAAAGGGUAAGACAUGCGUAGAGAAUGUAUUUUUAAAGAAAGUUGAGAGAUAGUUUGCGAUGUUAGGCGGACUUACAGAGAUGUAAUCCCAAAGGCACCCAUACGAGAUGGACUUGCGAGAAGCAUAUUCUCCGACUGGUUUCGAGCAGGUCUCGAAGUUCGGCGGUGGUAUCGGCUCCUACCUGUUUCGAGAGGGAUCCAAUAUUUUCUCUUUAAGAGAGAGUAAAAUGGAGGGAUUUAAGCAUGAAUUAGCAAAUUUUUUAUCGAAGCUGGCGGAAAGGUGGUGGCAUAUCUGUUUUUUGUUGUUGAGCGUGUAAAAAAAGGCACUGAUCGCAGGAAAUUCAGAUUGGAACUACGUGUGACAAGGAUUGAGGUUCAUGAUUAUGAUCAUGGAUCGAUGAGAAACUGACGAAUGAACGUUACUGCUUCUCCUCACUUUUUAGUUCAGCCUCUUCACUUAGUGUAAAUAUUUGAUGGGCUGAAUAAGCCCUUUUAGUCCCGGUAAAUCUCUCAGGGCCUACUGUUCAAGUGCUAUGCAUUCGCACCAGUUAAGAUACUAUGGUAUGCGUGCUGAUGCUAUAGCUGAUGUUUAGAUAUACGUGAUGAUUGACUUCUCGAGUGUACGUCGUAUGUUUAUCUAAAUUGGGGAAGAUUACCCUACGCAUGGACCUGGAGUUGCGCGGGGUUGUGCUUGAAGCUCUGGCGGCAUUACUUGUACGGCACACUGCCAGAUUUUACUGAUCUAGAAAUCUCAAGUAUCUGUAUCACAAAAGGAGUUGAAUUUGAUCCAGCGUCGGUGGUUGAGUUCUGAAACUAAUUUGAAUCAUUCCAGUAUAUCCGGCAAGCAGCGAAUGUUGCGUCUGCAGAUGCGUCUAACGCUGGAAAGACAGCAUGCAGACGGCGAUGAUUCACUUUUCUUGAAGCUAGGAUUUGGUGAUAUAUCGUCGGUGAUUUUCUACUCAGUGAGCUCUAUAUUCUAACAUAAUUGAUUAUCGAGUGAUUAGCGAUAAGUAAGCUGAGACGGUGGACUCGAGAUAGUUUCCCUGGAUUUAUGCCUGAGAUUGAGCGAUUAUGAUCUUACAGACCCAUCUGUGUUGGACAGUUAAUUCGAGAGAACAGAGUGGAGAUCCACAGCUUGUCGAGGAUUCAGAGCGCUUGAGAUGCGGACAGGCUGAGGUUUUUUGCUGUGGGACGUGUCGGUGAGUACUAGCUCGCCCGGUACAGGAGGAGUUCGACUUGUGCUGUACCUAUGAUUUUAGAGAUCCGGACGUAUGAUACUUGCCAUCUGACAUGACUAUUUAACGAGGAAAAAGAAUUUCUCAAAUAAAAAGAAUAACACUUGCACAGUGAAAAGACAACAGGGGCACACACUACUGAUUAUUGAUAUUAUGUUCAGGAGGCUCACUGACUUGAUUAACGAACCUAUUAAAUUGUGAAAUUACUUCGCUAUUAUUCUCUUUUUGGUGAUGAGAAAAGAAAAUGCAAUAUCACUUAGUAUUACCAGGAUUUAGAAUUAAGUCAUGUUAAGUCAGGACCCGGUGUCUUUUCUAAAUCUCUUGAGGCUUUCGUCGAACCUGUCAAGUGGUAGGAAUGUCAUAGUAAGAAUUAUGUUAAUCGAAGGGAUGAUUAGUGCAGAUUGGAGAUUUUGAGAAAGAAAUUGGAGCUCUAAGUGUUCGAACAACAACCAUCGUUAAAAAGUUCAAGACAGAGAAUAUGGAGAAGUUGGUACUGUGUUACUUGGCUGUAGUCUUAAUAUGUGAGGCUUUUCCCGAAAUUGGGUAGAGUUAGGCUCAUCACCAUCUGCUGCAUGGUGCCACUGUCGCCACACUCAGUCCUAGCUACUGCAACUGCGCAUUGAAACUUGCAUACUCGUUAAUUCUCAAUUCGAAGGAAAGGAUAACUUAGGAAAUAAAUCAACGGCUAAAUCCACAUUUUUACUCUCCGCCCAUGCAUGCUCUAACAGAUGGUCACAAAUUGUGGGAGCACUGAGUUUCAAAGCAAUUGCCUGAGAGACGACACAGGAGUAGUUUUGAUGCGAUUGUAGGUUUGUGUGAUGGUGGGCAGACUGACCAGUGCACCUUUUACAGUGCAAGACCACUUGUUCCGAGAAAAAACAGCCAUAAUUCGACCAUGUUACUUGGAUGGGGAUAGUGAGGUUGCAAGUCAGGUAGUAUAGAGUAGUAGACUCUAACGCUUUUCAUAGAAUAGAAAGAGACGACAUAGCUUUUAUUUUGUUUCAACAAUAAACGUCAAUCCCAUGCUAUAAUGCGCCUUGCGCCACGCGAUCGGUAAACAGAUUAAUCCAAUCUACUUUCUUUGCGAGCUCCCUCUGAAAAUAAAAACGUAGUUGGGCAAAUUGCUCAAAUAGUUUUUUGGCUUACUGAAUAGAGGAAUGAAACAAAUAUUGAGCUUACUCGCAUUAGCGUAGGUGUAGGGUGUUUACUGUAAGUCAUGCAAGAACAAUAGGAAUUAGCUCUAAUUGGAGAACUAGAUUCAAGAACGAGAAAGAAACUUACAUUCCAUGGUCAGUCAACGGAAUCAGACUCUAUGAGGACAUAGUUGAGCGGUGUGUCCUGGACGGUUGGAGCGAGCGGUGUAGGCAUUGAGACUGGUUUGAGUUUGCGGAUUACAACAAGCAGCUAUCAGGCGAGAUUUCCAGAUGGCUCCGUUUUUGAAGUUAUGGGUCACUAAGCUAGUUCUCUUCAUCAAUCAUGGAUGUUGCAUACUGAGUUCAUUUGACAAAACCUAUCCUUGAUUCUUGCGCCAGAAAAAAUCGUGUUCUCUAAUCAGUAAUCUCCUCCUCCAUGGAUAUCCAACAAUAUUCGUUUUCGGGCUUCCUCAGGGGGCACAAGCCUCCUUCUGCCCUAAAAGCCAAUCCUUAUAAAAAGGGCAGAUUGUAAAGUAUUGAUGUCCAUUUGUUUUUAACAAAUUAUUGCACUAUACAAUAUUGAUAUAUGCAAUUAAAAGGUAGCCUUCAAUCUGUCCAAGACCUGAAUGGUUUUGGACCAGGAUGUCAGAUCAUGAAAUUUCCCUUAGUUUUGCUGCACGGAGCAAGAAAAUUUUUUCGUCACAGCAGGUCAACAGCUGAAAGGCGUUGUAGUGCCAUAAAAACCAAAUCAGAAUCUUCUUAUAGUUGAAGGACACUUUAUAAGUCAUUGUAUCUUAUAUGUUGAAUGACAGUUCUGUAUAAUCGUCUUAUUGCUUUAAUCACCAAAAAUACAUCCCUUAGGCCUUCAUAUACUUUCUGUAUUUCGUGUUGUUAGUCACACCUCUUAGUCUUUUCUUUUCCAAAGGAGAAGUUGAAGAAAAGUGCAUGAUAGACUGGUUUAAAGCUAUUCAAAGAUCUAGUAUUGGUUACGCAAAAUCAAAGGAGCUAACUUAUUUAACAAACUAUUUCUCUGGUUAUCAUAAUCCCAUAUCUAAUUCGAUCCAUUAUUAACAUAAAGGAUAAGAAACAGAUUCAUCUAAAAGAAUCUAAAGGGGAAAAGAAACACCUGUAGAAAAGUCACGGCAUAUCAUAGUUCAAAACAGGAAAUAAUAUUAUACUCUUAUUUGCAAAUUAGGCCAUAAGCACGCUUUUGAACCAAGGGCAAGUUUGUAUAGACGCAGAUGUCAGUUCACUUUGUUUUGGUGAUUUGAUUGGAGUGUCAACUUGGAGAGUAUUCCAGAAGAGUAACGCUUUUUGGUCCCUCUGUACUGUUACUCAUAUUUGUAGCCUGACUUGAAAUACACUCACUAAGGUUCUUCUUAUAAAGAGGAGGCAUUGCGCCAUCGCGUAAUUGUUAGUCAAGAGAUGGGAAUUCCAUGUGACAUUAGUAUCUAGCGAGUCGAGAACGACCCUAAUUGUUAUACUUCACCUACGGAGCGUAAGAUCAUUUAGAGUUUAAGCGUGUAGUGGAUUGUAUGAGUGCACUGUUAGUCUCUAUUUACCCGGGUCUCGGACCAUAAGAGAAGAAACAAUUCCACAGGGAAAUUUCCCGAUUGGCAGUGAGUGGAAAAAAGUUUUUCCAAAAAAAAACAAAAUUUACUCGAACGAUAAGUCCGUUGUAGGCCUUUUUUGAAGGGUAUUGGGAGGAGUCGGACUGCAGGUUACCUUACAGGAAUUGAAUAUACCCUCCUUAAUCCACCUUAAUGGAUACUGGUCAUUCGCUGAAUCUAUCUGUCCUAUCACAAACGUAUCUCAAUCAGGGACUAUGAGCGAAUAUUAGUUUUUCUCACCAUCCUUUAUCACUUUGUUGAGUCAAUAUAUCAUUUCAUCUCAUGAGAAAUAUUAACAUAGGCGGAAAGAAAUCUACUGGAUCAGAAGGAACAAAGGGGUCACGAGAUGCUGUGAGAUCUCUUGGCUGUUGAGGAACGUACAAGAACAUCUUACGCAACGUGGAUCUGUCAGAUCAUCUUACGAUGCGACCCGUUCGGACCGGGUGCAGCGAGAGGAGCAAUCCGAGGGGGCGCGCGGGACGGCGACGUCUUUCGGGUCUCAGAGGCGUGGGCAUGGAGAGAGAGUCCACUCGAAUCGUGCCACUCCUUCGGUGUGCGCUACUGACGUCUUGUAUGAUUAUUACUUUCGGUGCCGCCGUCGCACUAAGAAUCUCUGUUAGUGGGGGAGAGGUCAGACUAUCCUUGCUUUUUAUUUCUUCUCUAUUUAUUAUCUAUUUACCUUCCUCUUGUACGCGCCCUUCCUUCUCCCGACGCCCCGUUCCUCUCCUCCGCCACACGCACCUGGUAUAACUCGUUCCGUCAUGCACCGUUGAUAGGCACCACCUUCGAGCGCCACGCUCCCUCCUCCGUCGCUGCCGGCGCGUCCGGUCACAAUGCAUCGGGCUGAGUGGCUUGGGCUCCUCCACGGCGACACCAGUCCCGAGCCCAUGCUGCUCGUUAUUUGUAGCUAUAUGGCUUGAGAUGAGAGAAGAUUCGUCGUGUUACACUUAUCUUCUCCCUCUGCGCUUGAAAGGCGAGAAAUCAGUGGAGGUAUGUGGAGCUUGGAGUGACUAAUUGCCGGCGAGCGUUGGAGCGGCAGUGCGUCGUGGUAGUGCAUUGGGGAGGCAUGCUACUGCGAAUUUUUUCUGUCGAUUCUCCUACUUUGAAUUAGCUUUCGAGGUGGUUUACAUCGGUUUAUUUCCUAAGUAUGCAUUAGUCGACAUGUAUGAUGGUAGUUGUAUAAUAUGUANNNNNNNNNNNNNNNNNNNNNNNNNNNNNNNNNNNNNNNNNNNNNNNNNNNNNNNNNNNNNNNNNNNNNNNNNNNNNNNNNNNNNNNNNNNNNNNNNNNNAUGAUUUUGAAACAUAAGGUCAUUUUUUUAUUUCCAAAUUUUGAUGUUUCGAUGUAUUUUGAAAUCUUAUAAUAUUUUAUCUUCAUCAUAAUGGUUUUUGGAGUACAAGUUUUAAUAUUUAUGAAAUUAAUUUGAUUUUGAAGGAUUAAAAAAAAAAAUUCAAAAUUUUCGAAAUCCAGCAAAGUGUAUUGGUAGCCGCGGUUUUAAUACCGGUUACAGGUUUUCGUUUUUUCUCCAAACUUUAUCAAAACUUCUCCUUUCUCUUAAAACCUGUUACAGGGCACGUUUUUUCUCGACAAUAAAAAUGGAAAUUAAAAAAGAAAAUAAAAUAAAAGGGUUAAUGGCUUCUGUAAGGAGCAACAACAAUCCGAAGAGGCCACAGUUCUUCAAAGUGCUUCUUUCUGGUUCUUUCGAAAGUUGUGGAUUGUAUGUAGUCUAUGUGAAUUUAUCCUAUUCAUGCACUAACAUUAUUGGUACUCUCUCUGUUUUUGGUACUUUCUUUUGGCAAUUUUUGACAAAAAAAGGGAGAGAGAUUUAAGAUUUUCAUUGCCAAAGGGGGAGAUUGAGAGAUUUAAGAUUUUCAUGAACAAAUGGGGAGAGAUUUUCAUUGUUUUUAGAGAAGUUCAUUUUUUUUUUACCUAACUUUGUUCGAGGAGAAAGUAUUCUUUCUGCAGAUUCUCGAAGACUACAAGACUCCUUGUGUUUAAGUCAUAGAGUUUGUUUAGGAGUUGCAAAAUUGUAAUUUUGUAUUUUCUUUGGAUUUUUCACGCGAGAAGUUCAUUGUUUUGGUGAUGGCAAUGAAUUUUAUUUUUUUUGUUAGGAGAAUUGAGCAUUGUGAGUAUUUUGAUGUAUUUUUGAGUUUUGCCAGAAAUUGCCAAAGGGGGAGAUUGUUACGGAUUUUAUGUUGGCAUAUUUCGUGAAGUUAGUCGGAGUCUUGAAUGUUUGAAGAAGAAGAGAUGAAGAUCGAAGACUCGAAGACUCAAAACAUGAAUGCAUAAUGCUUGGUAAGUUUAAAUAUCAUUGGUGAUGAUUUAUAAAUAUUUAAAAGUGUUUGGAAGACUUAGGAUGGUUUUUAAAAUAUGAAUCUGGACACACUGAGUUUUUCAAUGUUCUGGGACCGGUCCCCGAGGGUCCUCACUGCGUGGGAUGUUGAGGCAACCAGUCUUUGGAAAGGGAGGCCGGUUCCCGAACAUGGGAUUUUCUAUCACGCAGCGAGGGACCGAUCUCUGGCAUGAGAGACCGGUUCCCAAAGCCUGUGUUUUCAGGCACGCAACGAGGGACCGGUCUCCCACUCGAGGGACCGGUCUCCUAAAGACCGGUCUCCUCGAGAAGACCGGUCUCUGAGGACGACAUAAGUUUUUAAAAUUGGGUUUUUGCAAUCCUAGUUGGUUUCUAGGUCUUCUAAACCUAUAAAUAAGAUGUAGGGAUGUUUCUAAAAUAUAACAAAAUAUAGAAUAUCUUUUUGAAACCCUAGAAAUUUGUUGGGUGCAUUCUUUCUUCUCUCGAACAACAAGUUUCUAUUGGAUCAAUUCUUGAAACCCUAAUUUCUUGUUCUUUAUGGAGAAUUGAUCCGGCUAUUGCUUAGAAACAUCUUCUAUGGUUCUUUAAUGAUUGUCUAAGCAAUAAAUCAUCAUCAAUCUUGGUAUUCUUGCUCCGGACGGAGUGUGCUCGUGGAUUCGAGUGGGCGUCAUGGAUUCGGCGUGAUCAAGGCUUCGUGGAUUCGAAGUGUGGACGUUUCGUGGAUUCGGGACGUGGCAUUCAUGGAUUCGGACGUGGGGCGUGGACAACCCGUUCGGGAAUCGGUCUCCCUUUCCAGAGACCGGUUGCCUCAACAUCCCACGCAGUGAGGACCCUCGGGGACCGGUCCCAGAACAUUGAAAAACUCAGUUUGUCCAGAUUCAUAUUUUAAAAACCAUCCUAAGUCUUCCAAACACUUUUAAACUUUUAUAAAUCAUCAUCAAUGAUAUUUAAACUUACCGAGCAUUAUGCAUUCAUGUUUUGAAUCUUCGAGUCUUCGAUCUUCAUUUCUUCUUCUUCAAACAUUCAAGACUCCGACUAACUUCACGAAAUAUGCCAACAUAAAAUCCGUAACAUGAACGAGGCGAAAUGAAAUCAUAGGUUUGUUUUCUCUGUCGUGCUGAUCGCACUGGUGCGAUCCGUUCGCAAAUCUGACCGACGGAUCUGCAGAUAUCGCACGUUGAUCGAGGAGGGGUCUUAGAUGGCAAAAUGGUAUUUUUCUGAAAAGCGCAAGAUUUUAUGUAUCGUUUUGCGUGAAAUCGAAGGCAGAGGUGUAUUCACGCAUUUUACUCGCGCUGUGAAGGACUCAGUUUAAAAUUCUGAGUUUAGCUUGACUUAUUUGCAAAAUUACACCAUGGUAUAUUUGGUCUUCUAGGGUUUCUUCAUGCUAACCCUAACCCUAGCGACCAAGCUAACCCCCAGCCACCUCCUUGCUUCCCCCUGUCCUAGCCGCACGCCUCCCGGUCGCCGCCGACCGAGCCCCGGCCGGCCAGCAGCAGCUGCAGCCUCCCUCUUCAUUUUUUUCAUCUCCUCCACCACCUUUCUCUUUGCCUCUUUGGCCGAGGUUGGUACUGAGCACCCCCUCCCUUGGUCCCCUCUCCGGCGUCACCCCCGGAGUCCCGGUGACCCUCGCUGCCAACCGCCGUCGCCUCUACGUGCCGCCGCUGCCACCCUUGCAGCCUACAGCCAUCCAGCCCGAGCUCGGGCCGAGGUCUGUGUGCGGCUUCUUCCCCGCGCCGCCGCCGCUUUAGUCUACCUCCGCGGCUUCCCUCCGGCCUCCUACCGUCCACCGCCGUUGUCCCUGAGCUCCCAAGCCACCGCCGUGGCCGCCAUUGCCUCUGGCCCCAAGCAGUAGCUUGUGCGGGCUUGGCUCGCUCCGCCGACAUCGCCGCCGCUCCUCGCCGCCGGCCAAGGUGAGCACCGUGGUCCUUCCCUCCCCCGCACCCACCUCUAGCCUUUUCGGCGGUGUCGCCCCUUUAGGGCCUUUUUGGUUGCUGUUUCUGGUUUGCGCAGGCUUUUUCGGUGAUCUGAGGCUGUCCCGAUGCCUCCGGAGGUGAGCACGGUGGUCGUUGGUCAGUGUCGAUCACAGUGCUCACCUCACUUUGGAUCAACGACUUCCGGAAUUGCAUUUUUGGCGUGGUUUUCCCCGAGUGCGCGCUAUUCACAGAACUUUCGGGUCACUCCUGCGCCUUGCACAGUGAGCCGUUGGGCUCCGGAUCGUGAGCACGACCUCCGGUAUGUCGAGACCAAUCAGUACACGUCUCGACGGACCUUGGAAGUCCUUGGUUUGUGAAAACGAGCCACAUAAUCACUCGAUUUACAUAAAAUGUCAGGAUUUUAUGUAAAUGUAGGGACUUUUAUGCAAUUGUGCACCUUGUGGCUACUGUGGGCAGUGUGUAUGUGUGUGUAGUGAUCUCUGGACUGAUUGUCCAAGGUCCGUGAGCCUUUGCGGAAAUUAAAAGUCGAUUUCGGUGCGUUUUUAAGCGAAAUUCACCGGCGGAACGCGGUUUCGGUUCGGAUUUCAUCCGACGGUGUUUGUUUGCUUCGUGAGUUGUUGCUGAGCCUUGUCGGUUGGUCACCAUCAUCAUAUCAUAGGUUCGAAGAUGACAGGUGAGCGACGGUGGGUUCCGGUGUCGAAAUUGACACUUUCGGGAACCCGUAUACGUACAAUUAUCCGGCGAUAAUUGUGUAGUUGUGUAAACUUGUGUUUGCUGUCAAGACGUCCAAAUCGGGAUGUUUUGUGGCAGCGGGUGACUCGUGAUGCGAGUCGGUGAGUUUCGGGACAUUUAGUGGGUCCCGACGGUAUCCCGGUGUGAUUUUCAGGACUUCUGGCGAGUUACGAUGAUCGAUUUUGGAAAACCAAUUUUGGGGAAUUGUGUGGGGUUUGUGAGUCAUGUAUUCUAGAUUUUUGGGUUAGUUACUAACUCGGUGGACCUUCGUAGGUCCGAUUGUCGAUCGUAUACAGUUUGGAGACCGGCGCGACUUUAGAACAGGUGGGUGCUUCGAGCUAGUAGUCGGUGAGAUCAUUUCACCUUCCUCUAUUUUUCUAUUCCAGCAUUGUACUCUUUACAUGUCGUUGCUUUGUUUAUCAUUCGUAUAUCUUACUUUAUUAGUUGCAUAUUGUUAGUUGUUGAUAAACAUGUAGAGCAGGCUUGCAUAUAGAUAUUGUAUCUUUGUGGACCUUGGGUCCAGGCAACACAUCGACUCCUUUGUCAUAUGUUUUGAUCUGGUUGAUCGUGGUUUGGCGUUGUACGCCCUUAUUUCUGGCUUCGGCCUAGGCACCAGCUUCAGCCGGCUUUCGCAUUUGAGCAUAUCAGCAUGACUUAGUCACAGCACUUGGGGGUAUUCAUGACACCAGGUCGGUUUGGCCACCGACUGGAGGUGUACUUAUCCGGAUAGGUCAUCCAGUGGGCAGAUGAAUCAGGUCGGUGCAAAUUUGUGACAGGCAACGCUUGAGGCCUACGGACCAAUAUAGCAGGCACUCGAUUGGGUACAGUUUCAGUUUGGUUACCUUGAGGCAUGUUUAGUAUUGUUUUCCAUACAAUAGCAGUCUUUAUUGCUUGCUUCUUAUCUAUCUGUUAUAGCUACUGUAGUUCUCUUCAUAUCACAGUAUCUGUAUUUUGUUUACCUUACUUCCUUUAGUUUUCGGUGAUUACGACUUGCCUUCGUGGCUCUAUCAUACCUACUGGGAAACCUUGAUUGCGGUUUCUCACCCCUCAUUUCCCCAGGUGAUUCGGGCAGGGAAUUGGCAUUGGGCACGAAAAGAGGACGAUCUAGCUAGCCUGCCGUAGCGACUGUCACCUGGAUUACUUUUAUUUUCGCAUUUAGUAGUUUAAUAAAUAAAUGGUUCAGUUAGAUGAUCUCUAUGAUUGUUUGAAUGUUCGUGAAUUGGUUUUAGUGGAUCUGUGGAUGUUUUUAGUAUACAUGCGAUUGGAUAAUUGGUUUUGGUUUUAUGUAUUCAUACUUGGUGGUUUUCUACCCAUCGAGGUAGUCGGUUUUCAAAAUGAUGUUUCCGAGUGGGAAACACUUGUUAAAAAGGUUUUCGAAUGAUUUUUGUAAAUGAUUGAAUUAGAGUUUAAAAAACAAAGCUUCCGGUUGGGGAGCACUUUUAAGUAGGAUGCUUGUUGUACUGUGCAUUGCAUCAUCCAGCGCUUAAGGAGUGUUUAGAAGCAUGCAUCAUUUCGAAGGAUCGCUAGCUGUAUGAAAAUGCAUGGCAUGAAUUGAUUGUUGAUUGAUAAAUGUAGGUUGUGGUUAAGAUCCUGAUGUAUCGUUGGUACAUCGUGCAAAUACAAAGGAGACUCUGUUUGAGUGGACAAAGAAACUUUGUAUUUGUGGCGGGUCUGUACGUCACGUGGGCCAGGUUAAAAAAAAAAAGACACGUUUUCUGCAACUCUGAUUUCAAAUAUUGUAUUCAUUUUAAAAAGGCCUUUAAAAUCGGCCUCGGGGCGUGACAUACAUAAUCU
rnacentral:lncRNA from 1 species